rnacentral:lncRNA from 1 species
UGAAAACUGCUAGCUAGAAAACAGGAGACAAUAACUCCUACUCAAGCACGAUGCAAACAAAUAACUACUACGAAAAAAAACUAACUCUACCACCCACUAAACUUAUUUAAUCAGCUCCUAUAAAAUCUCUACGGCUAACAUGUUUGAAAUUAUUACCAACAGUCUCCCCCCAUAAUUUCAAACAUAUAUCAGCCCAGAACUUUGAUACCCAGCAAGUUCCUCAUUCUCUCAAACUUCACAGCAAACAAAGCUUUAGUUAACAGAUCCGCCUUCUGAUUCUCACUGCUAAUAUGCUUGACAACGACUUCCCCACGUUCAAUACACUCCCGAAUGAAAUGGUACCUAAAUCAAUAUGUUUGCUCCUCCCGUGAAAAACAGAAUUUUUCGCCAAGUCUAUAGCAGACUUAUUAUCGAUAUAGAUUAGAACAGGAGGCACUUGUUCACACGCAGCAGCUGUGGCCGCCAUAAACUCCGCUUCACAGGAUGAUAACGCAACACACCGCUGUUUGUGGGAGACCCAAGUGACUAGACAUUCGUUUAGAUAAAACACCAUUCCCCCAGUGGAUUUUCUGUCUUCAAUAUGUCUUGCAAGAUCACUAUCAGAGUAACCUGUCAAAAGGUUAUUGCCAGCAUCCUUUGUAUAGAUUAAACCAUACUCCAACGUGCCUUUUAUAUACCGUAAAAUUCUCUUAGCUGCAUUCAAGUGUAUAGUGGUUGGUCUUUCCAUGUAUCGACUCACAAUGCCUACUGAAAAAGCUAUAUCUGGUCUGGUAUGUACCAGGUACCUCAGUCCUCCCACUAUACUCUUAAACUCUGUUGCAUCUACAGCUCUUCCACCUUCAUCUUUUGUUAAUCUUUCUUUUGGAUCCAUUGGAAAUUUACAAGGAUUGCAUUGAGACAUUCCAGCCCUUUCAAGUACUUUCUUCGCGUAGCCUGACUGUUUAAGCUCAAUAAACCCAGCACCCUGCUUGACUUCUAUUCCCAAAUAAUAACUUAACUUCCCCAUAUCAGUCAUUUCAAAUAUAUUGCUCAUCUGCUCCUUGAAGCUUCGAAUAAAAGACACAUCAGUACCCGUGAUUAGUAAAUCAUCCACGUAUACACCAACUAUUAUUGAUUCUCUUCCCUCCCGUUUUACAUAAACGGCAUGUUCAUAGGGACAUCUCACGAACCCAAGACUUUCAAGACACUUGUUGAGUUUCGAAUACCAAGCUCGAGGAGCUUGUUUGAGACCAUACAAGGCUUUGAGAAGCUUAUACACUCGCUUUUCUUGCCCCUUUUUCACAAACCCCUCCGGUUGAGUCACAUAUACUGUUGGAAACGUGAAUGGGCUUACCUCAAAUUCUUUAUCUCAAAACACAGUGUGUGUGUAUGGUGUGUACUGUAUUAGGUAAUCUUGAUAUUAAAACAAACAAACAAAGCACGCUUAUAUAUAUAUUGUUAAGACAUCUACAGCUUUUCCUUACAUAGGCUACAGCCUUUUCUCUUUUCACUCACAGAUAUAGAGCUUCAGCUCUCUGUAUUCUCUCUACUGAUUUUCUCACUCCAUAUUUUCACUCGGUGUGUAUUACAAUCUUGCUGGGUGUCCUAUUUAUAGGCUAUAUUGUACGUGUCGUUGCUUAUCUCAAUUUGCUAGCUGCUGCUCUUAAUACAUACGCGUAUAGCCACCUUAAUUUUAGGCUUUGAACAAAGACCAGAGAGAGCUGCUGCAUCUCACAGUAAUUUAUUACACACGCUUUUACCACGUACCUCGCAUGCUGAUAGCCUACCAUAUAUCCUGGAUGCAACAGAUGACCAGUUGCCAUUCUUGACUUCCACAAGCUGCUUCAAUUACUUCUCCUUCAUUCUUAUAUAUCUGUAUAUAUAUAUUAUGGUUUAAUUUUCCCAUGCACGUACAUCUGUUGUUUUAAUCCUGCUAGCUGUAUUUUACUAGAUUGCUGCUUGCUUCCAUUUAUAUCCCAGAAGACCUGGAAUCCAUUCUGCUGCAUUUACCUUUGCUGCAUGCUUAUUUCAAACCCAUUUGUUAUAAUUAAUAUAUUGCUAGCUGGAGAGCUUGAAAUUCUAACACUCCCCCUCAAACUCGACUUUGCAUUCCGAGCUUUUCUUUCAUUUUCUGAAACACUUCCGGCUUCAAUGACUUCGUAAAAAUAUCUGCUAAAUUUUCUUCCGUCCUGCAGUGUACCAACUCUACAAUUUUAUCAUUCACUUGUUCUCGAAGAAAAUGAUAUUUAAUAUUGAUGUGCUUGCUGCGACUGUGUAACACCGGAUUUUUCGCAAGUGAAAUUGCGGAUUUGUUGUCCACGAAAAUAGUAACCGGUUCUUCCUUGGCAAGAUUUAACUCGCCCAAUAUAUAGCUUAACCAAAUAGCUUGACAUGUUGUUCCUGCUGCUGCAAUAUAUUCUGCCUCACCUGUUGAGAGAGCGACUGUCUGUUGCUUCUUUGAUGACCAUGAGAAUAUCGCCGAGCCAAUAUGAAAAGCAUAUCCCGAUGUGCUUUUCCCGUCACCCAAAUCUCCACCAUAAUCACUGUCUGAGUAGCCAACUAAUUUUGAAUCUUGAGAAUUGAUGUAAAAUAAUCCAUUAUUUAGUGUACCUUUAAUAUAUCUCAAAAUUCUUUUAGCCGCCAUGAAAUGAUCUUGCUUCGGCUUCUCCAUGUACCUACUAACCAAUCCGACUGCAUACAUGAUAUCCGGACGAGUGAAAGUUAGGUACCUCAGACUUCCAACCAAACUUUUAAAUAAUGUCGGAUUUACCGACUCUCUUGUUGAAUCAAUUCUGAGCUUUAUGCUUGCUUCUGCUGGCGUGCUCACUGGCUUGCAUUCUUCCAUUCUGAAUUUCUUUAAAAUCUGCUCGGCAUAUUUUUUCUGAGACAUAAAAAUCCCAUCUUUGCUUUGCUUCACCUCGACUCCAAGAAAGUAUGACAUUUGACCAAUAUCUGUCAUCUCAAAUUCAUUAGUCAUAACUUUCUUAAAAUCAUCAAACAUACCAGGAUUGUUUCCGGUAAAUAUCAUGUCAUCCACGUAUAAGCAAACGAUCAUAAUAUCUCCCCCUGAAUUUGUUUUCGUGUAGAGUGCAUGCUCAUAUGGACUCUUCACAAAACCAUUCUUCUUAAAAUACUCAUCAACCCUUGUGUUCCAUGCUCUCGGGGCUUGCUUUAACCCGUAUAGUGCUUUCUUCAGUUUGCAGAUGAAAGGAUAUCUUCGAUAUACAAUUAUUUAUAUAUUUGUUUUGGUAUUUGUGACAAACAUUAAAUUUAAAUUCACUUAGUAAUCCUCCCAAUAGGUCAUUGAUUAAAUUGAUUAAUCAAAGGUGGAUAGUUAUUUUUGGCAAGUGUUUUAAAACUCAUUUUUACUAAAAUACAUAUGUUUUCAAAAAGAAUUUUCUUUAUGCAAUAGUCGUGCUGAGGAGUUUCGGUAUUAUCGAUUGCCUCUUUCUUCCUAUUGCAACAUCAAAAUACAUGAGCUAGGAUGAAGUAUCAUCUACAUAUGAUAUUCUUUAAAUAUCUCAUGUAACAUUAUUUUUCAAAAUAUAUUUUAGGUAAUUUAUUCCUUAUUCAAAUAUUUAUUAUCUUUCGGAAUAAAUUAUUUUAGAUCCUUCAUUUUUCAAAAGUCUUAUUUUUCUCAAGAAUGAUUUAUAUUCUCCAUAUUAAUAUUUAUCUCAAAAAUAUUAAUUUCAAAUUUUAUCUCAUUUUGGGAUAUUUUUCUCGGUCUCUCAAAUUCAUUGUUUUUCAAAGAAAAAUAUUUCUGAUACUUAGAAAGCUCUUUCAACUUAUCAAAAUCAUUAUUUAUCAUGAACAAUAUUUUUCUAAGUAUUUUGGCAUAAAAACUUUCGUGAAAAAGUCUAAAUGAUUUGACUAAAACACGAACUGUAUCGGUUUUUCAAAUAUCGGUAUUCGUUAAGAAAAUUGAUUUAAAUACUCUAAAAUAUUUCCCCAUAUUCAAAAGUAUUUUAUAUUUAAGGUAAUAUAUUUUAAGUAUUUAAUCAAGUCUUAACUUUGGUCAAAAACUCUCUUCAAAAUCUCAAAAGAAUUUUCAUUCGUUAUUUGGACCCGAAAAACAUUUUAUUCGUUUUAAUUCCAAAUAAAAUACUUCCACUUGUCCAAAUGACUUGAAACUUGAGAUUAGCCAGUUAUAUAUUUUUCUUAGUGCAUGGUUAAAUUUUCAUAAUUUUUCGAGGACUUUCGUUCCGGAGCGUUUUUCUAUCUGUCGUCUCGAUCUUCCACCGAACGUUUGACCAAGCUAGAGUUGACCAAAAAUUACCAAACUUGGCAGGAUACCAUUUUCCAAUAUUCUAAGAUUUAUCAUAUUUUUUCCGGAAUUUAUUGAGCACGUUCCGAAAAUCGUAAUAUUUCAUGUAACGGAAUUUAACCGUUUUCUCGAUAUGCGUGCCAAUCAUCCACAAGCCUUAUGCAUUGAAAUGUGUGCCAAUAAAUGCAGGUCAACUAGACCAUUUAAUGCAUUGGAAAGCAUGGGGGACAAGUAUGACAAGCAUGAGCACAAGUGGGGACCAUGUAACUUUAAUUUGAAUUUAUUCCUUUUUAAUUCAAAUACUUCCACCCAUCUUUGCCUAUAAAUACAAGGCUCCCCCAAUUCAUUCUUCACAAGCUAGCAAGCAACAAAGUGCUGAGAUUUUGCAAGUAGAAGCUCUCUCCAAAUUUAUACAAACACAUUUCUCAUCUACUUCAUCUUUAAAACCUCCGUUCCGAUCGGUAUAUUCGUAUAUUCUCGAGGUUUUAAACACCGAGGCUUUGCUCCACCCAACCAAGCCCCGCACCACUUUGCUUGUUCACAAACCACUCUUUUCGACCUCCCGAAGGGCUGUCCGAAGUUCGUCCAUAAGCCAAAUUCCUACCGAACCUCCGACGAAUUUUUCCGGCGAACUUUUUGCGAAAAUCGUGUAAGUGGUUUCUUUAGCUUCGUCUUAUCCGAGUCUUAACCGACCAAAUUUAAAAGAGCUAUCAAGCCAAAUUUCUCUUCAUCUCAAAGCUCUCUUUUUCUUUAACAAUACAAAAGCACAAGAGUUGGUCGCUCGUAUUAUUUAUAAUAUACCUACGUGUGCGUGUGUGUGUUAUACCCUCUCUUGUUGACGUGAAGAUUCUCAUACGUGCUGAGCUUUCGUGAGAAUAUUUGCUUAAACGAGUUUAGUGGUGGUCCUCACCUUAGUGAGUUGAUUNNNNNNNNNNNNNNNNNNNNNNNNNNNNNNNNNNNNNNNNNNNNNNNNNNNNNNNNNNNNNNNNNNNNNNNNNNNNNNNNNNNNNNNNNNNNNNNNNNNNNNNNNNNNNNNNNNNNNNNNNNNNNNNNNNNNNNNNNNNNNNNNNNNNNNNNNNNNNNNNAGUCAAGAACUCACUCUCUUGAUAUUUAUAUUUAAAGAGGGGUUAUCUUGAAACGAAGUUGUAAAAUAAAACACUUCGUAAUAUUCACUUCGAAGGUUAUCAUACCCGAAGUAUUUCAUAUACUUAGUCAAAGACAAGUAUAUUCGUCCAUAUAGCCAAAAGAGCUUAAAAGGACGUUAUUUUAUCUACAAACUCCAAGACACUCGAAUAUCAUUUAUUUGAAGGAUUUUGUACUAUAAACGUAUUCUUCGAUUAUAAAGACAAAGCUAUCAAAAAAGAAUACUCUCAAGGUCUUAAGCUUUAUAAAAGCUUAAAGAACACUUGAUCUUUAAUAUUCUAAGACCAAGAAUAUUAUUGAAACACUCGGACUAGUGAAUCUUGUCCAAAACUCUUUUUAUAACCAAGGUUGUCUUUUGUAGAUAUUGUUUUCUAGAUUUUGCAGUGAGGUGAAGUGAAGUGAGGUGAUCUUCGUUCUAAGACCCAAGUCCUAGACGAGCUAACGGGGAGUUAGUCGUCUUCGCACCGUGAGGAAGAGGAAAGACCCAAGACCUAAGACCUAAGAUCCAAGACCCGCUUAAGGCUAGAAGAACAAAGACUACACACUUGAAAGAUACAACGAUUUUGAGGAGGUGACGGAGAGUUACGCUCCAAGACAAGUCUUGUAAUUUACAUUUAUAGUGAGGAGGUAACGGGAAGUUAUGCACCAAGAUAUAUAUUUGUAAAGGCUUCUCCGCCUACUGUAAAGGAGUUUCUUUAUAGUAGAGAAAAUCUCGAGUCCGGGGAGGAGCUCGGGGACUGGAGUUGGGGUGAGUGGACUCCAAGGGUUGAGUUAGCCACCGCGAACCAGGAUAAAAUCGCUCGUGUGGUGAUUAGUCCAUAUUUUUGCAUAUUUAAGUGCCUAUUUUUUGUUUAUUUUCGUAGUAUUAUUCGCUUAUUUAUUUUAUUUCAGGAAAUUGUAGAUAAAUAAAGAAAGAAGAGAAAAUGCAAGAAAAAGAAGAAACGGAAAAGAAAAGAAGAAAAAGAAAAAGGGUUGGCAAGUAAAGGACACAUGGAUGGCCACAAUUCUCCCAACACUCAAGGCACAUGGAUGGUCAAGAUUGAGCCACCCUACCCCUAAACCCUAAUUCUUUAGUUAUAAAUACCCCCUUAUCUUUGCUUGUAAAAGAACCUAGCUACCUACCCACCUUUUCUACCUAGUCAUUUCCAUAGUUAGUAUCUUAGAUAGAUUUACAUUUUGCUAGCCCCAAUUUCCUUUCCAAGCUUGUAUACACUUUUUAAUUUAUAUGCAAAUCUCUUUUAGCUUAAUCUUGUAUUAUCUUUUUAAUGUUCUCCAAGUUGAAUGAUUCUCUUAAGUACCACCACAUGCUUUUAAGCUUUUGGGAAAUGAAGAAUCAUUGAGCUUGUGAUUAGUGUAGAUCUCUUAUUUAGAUUUAAUUUUUGGAAGAAGCUUAAAAUUCUAGCACAAAAUUAAUUUGUGUUAGGGUUUAAUUCUAAAACCCCAAAUUCAUCACAUUACUAGCUUCAUUAAUUUAAGUGCAAGUGUUAAAAUCAAAAAUCAACUCCCUCGUUUCGUUUAUUUCACUAAACGAUCUGAUUUUCUUGAUUAAUAUAAACAAAUCCCUUCCCCUGUUCUUUUUUUUAUUAAACAACCCAUCUCCCCUGUUUCUUUUUACUGCUCUGUUUUCUUGUUACUGAGUCAAGGCUGAGUCACACCGAGUCGCUGCUGAAUCACGAUGCUUGUUCGAUUCUGGCUUGCAAAUUUGAUUAGUGUACUGAGUUGUUAGUUUGUCUGUUGGUUUAAUUUCAUGGUUUCUGUUUUUAUGCCUGCUAGUUACCGAGUUGAUUCUGUGUAUUGCUUUGAGUCGAACGAGUUGCUGGGUUUGUUGUUUGCUCUGUAAAUCGAGUCAUUGAGUUGUUGAUAACCGAGUCGCCAUUUGUUGGAGUCCUGUUGUCUGUCCAUGAACCUGCGUUCGUUUUCCGAGUUUUAGUCAUCCAUCUGGGUUCGUAAUUCGCUUUGUUUUGAACUGUAUUUGUGCUUUGUUUGCUCGAGUUUUCGUCGAGUUUGAAUAUCGAGUCGUAGAGUCGAGUUUCUGCGUUUUUGAUUCUGUUUUACGGCCGAGUUCGAGUUACUGAGUCUGCUUCUCGAGUUCUUGAGUUUACUGAGUCAUUGUGCGAGUUGGGGGUGUUCGUUUGGCUAAAUUUGUGUUGAAAUCUGGGCGUGUUUCUUUCUUCUGUCUGCUGUGUAUCGACUGAGUUUUAGUCUUGUGUUUCGUCCGAGUCAAGCUGUUUCCGAGUCUGUGUUGAUGGGCUCGUUUCGUUUUGUUUAUUUGAGUGAGUCAAAGUAUAAAUCGAGUACUGAUUUGCUAAGUUUUGCCGAGUUUUUGUCUGAACUUGAGUCGUUGAAUUGUUCUGUUUACGGAGUCUAGUUCAGUGAUUUCGUUUAUACAUUUGGUUUUUACAGUAUCAAGUCUUGCUAAUUAAUCCACCUAUUUUUGUUUGGCACAUUAUUUUUUUUUUGACAAAUGCAAGAAAAUUUCAUUAACUUGAAUAUAAUACAGCCGGGACAAAUCCCCAACUGCCGAUACAACCAGGUGGUAAAACAAAUAACAUACUAAAAACAAUUAGAUGAUUUGUUUCCUGAUCGUUUAACACAUAGAAUUUAAAAAUUCUUGAAACUAAAAACGAAAUCAAAGACAUCCCAAGUGAUCCAAACUGCACCAACAUCUCUGGAAAUAGUACCAUCGCAAUUGACCGUAUCACGUAAAACCCAUUGUUAGCCCAAUGUUCAAAAACACCAAUCGCAUGAAUUGAGAUUGGAGAAACGGCACCACAGCUAUCUACAUGCCGGGCACCAGCUAUAGACAUGCCGAAAGUGUAACCCCGUGAAGAAUGAACAAUCUUUGAUUAUGAAAGGUGAGCUUUUGCAAUAAUCACCACCGUCUCAAAAUCAAUACAGUCUUUGCAGAUCACCAAAAAUAUCAAUAAACUCGUUCUCAAUAGAUCCAACACCAAAUGAGCAUAAUCACAGCUAGCCAAAAACAUAACAAAACACUCCAAAAGGAGAGACAAGACACACACUCCAAGAGGAGAGACACACAAACACCCAAAAGAUUGGGUUUUAUUGAAAGGAAAUUAACGAGAAUAAAAGAAAAAUGAAGAGGUUGGGGCUUUCCACCGGAGAAAACCAGUGGAAGCCCCUUGAUUUACUUGAAAAUGCACAAACCCUAGAUGAGAGAAGGAGAGGAGGGAGGCUAUUAUUUUACCGGAGACUGUUUGGCACAUUAUUAAUUUAGUUUAAAUACUGUUCUGCCAAGUUGGUUUUUGGUUAGAUUGAUUCUUGUCGCUUUGGUUAGUUCGAUUCUCACAUUUAAUUUUAUAAGAAUAAAAAUUAGUAAAUAUAAGUGUUGCUUGACCAUAGUUUUGGUGAUUUAAAUUGGUUUGGCUAGUCAAGGAUGCGAGUAUGCCAUGCCAGAUUUGUCUUAAUUAAUUUUACUUUCGAAUUCAUUUGCGUUAAAUAAUUUCUUAAUCAUUUCACAAAUUAGAUUUAGUUUUUAAAACUAAUUUCAAAAAUCUAUUGUUCUAAUUCGCCUAGGUUAAAAAUUAAGGUUUCGAAUAUAAUUUUAAUCUUUGUGGACGAAUCAUAAAUAUUAAAACGGUGAUCGUGCGCUUGCGAUUUUAAAAUCAUAUUUUCUAGCACAUCAAGUUUUUGGCGCCGCUGCCGGGGAUUAAAAUUAAUUUUUCGCUCCUUUAUUUUUAAUCUUUCGGAUUAGUUUGUUUCUCACUUUUUAUUUUUGAUCGUGCGCUUGCGAUUUUAAAANUCACUUUUUAUUUUUAUUUCAAGGAAUUUGGAGGAAUAUUCGGGAAUCAUGGAGUAAAGUGAACAAAUUUUGCUCGGAUUUGGAAGCUUGCUUUGGUAUCCCGUAUCUCUGCACUCUUAUUUUUCGUUUUUUAGAAAACCACAAACAAAUUUGAAAAUUUAAAAUCACAAAAAAAAUAAAAAAAUAAAAUUUUUUUAAAAUCCAAAAAUAUUAGUUAGAAAUACAUAUGUGUUGCAUCAUGCAUUUUUACACUUAGGGCACAUCAUUUAGAUUUUAAUUUUUGUUUUUAAAUUUUCGUACCUUUAAUUGUGGUGAUCGCUGGAGGACCCUAAGGUGCGUUAAUUUCUUUCUUUCUCUAGAUUAGGACACAUAGUUUAAGCAUCCAUAGUUGUUUAUCGCUUUAAUUAUCUCGUUGUGUGGUGCAUUAUUUUAAAUAAAUCUUAAGGGCAAAACCCACUCACAAGAUAAGGGAAGGGAUUUCAUCACUAUUUAAUUCUUCAUUUUGCAUUUCCCAAGCCUUUAAUAAAAUUGAAUUAGACGUUAGCCCCUAGGAUUUCGCGCUCAACUAGGAAGGUACCUAAAAGACGAGGUAAUCUUUAAUUAUUCCGACUCUUCGGUGUCUAAGGCAAGCGAAAGCUUACCUGGCCGAUUAAGGUUUGGUGUCUAAGCGCGGAGAUUGGCCUCUUGGCAAUGCCUGCUCCAAACUGGCCAAACCGGUCCAAAUAAUUUUGGAUUUAUCGAGUUUUUGGUGGUCCUUAACGUUAGGAGCAAGGUCUAGUUCUUUUUUAUUAGGGAACCCUAGAAUUCAGUUUUUUUUCGCUUUUACACCCUUUAUUUUGUUUGUUUUACAUUCUCGCACUUAUUUGCUACGUGUUUACUAUCUUGUGUAUGCGAACUACUUGGGUUAGGAACGAAUCGUCUAGAUUAAUUAGACCGAUCAUCGAAAUUCCUUCUUCGUCCUCUUCGGACUCCGAACCCAUAGAAGCUAGCGAACCGAUAGUAAACAUGGCGUUGUCUCUUAAAGACCGCUGUUACCCGUCCCGUUCCGCUCAACCAUCAUGCAUCACCCUUCCUCCCGUUAAUGGGAAUAAUUUCGAGAUUAAGGCACAUCACAUUAGUAUGUUGCCUAAAUUUUUAGGGAGUGAAGGUGAGGAUCCCUAUCUUUUUAUUCAAGAAUUUGAGGAGGUUUGCGGUUUGCAAAAACUCCAACAAUUGAGCGAAGACUCCAUUCGGCUUAGACUAAUCAACUUUGCUUUAAAAGAAAAUGCUAAAAAAUGGUUGUAUAGUCUUCCCGUCAAUUCUAUUUCCACUUGGGAGGGGUUUGUGGUAAUGUUUCUUAAAAAGUAUUUUCCAAACCAUAAAACGACUCGAAUUACAAAUGAAAUAAAUCAAUUCCAUCAAAGGGAAAAUGAGUCUUUUUGGAAAUUCUUUGAUCGUUUCCAAAAUCUUUUAUCACAAUGCCCCCACCAUGGAAUAGAGAAAUGGAGACUUUGUAAGAUUGUGUACGAGGCCUUAGAUAGUCAAACAACCGCUUUGUUAGAAUCUAUGUGCCAAGGCAAAUUCAUGGAGAAAGAUGAGGACCAAGGGUGAGAAUUUUUCGAGGAUUUAGCCGAGAAAACAAUGUUAUGGGAGUCUACUAGGGAACCCAAAAAGUCGAUCGAGGCGUCUAGCUCUAGGGGUUUGCACUCGAUAGGAAACAAUGUGGCAACCGAUGCCAAAUUAGCAACCCUUACUAAGAGACUCGAAGCUUUAGAGUCUCAUAGUGGCCCCUCAUCUAUGCCUAUGUUCCCGAACUAUAAUGCUCCCCAUCCCGAGAUCCAACAAUCUCAUGAUUUUGAGCAAGUGAACGCAAUGUUCCAACCCAAGCCUAGAAAUGACCCGUUUGCACCAACGUACAACCCCGGGUGGAAGAAUCACCCGAAUUUCUCGUGGAACCAAGGGCAAAAUUUUCAAGCUCCACAACCUAAUUUUCCUAGGCCCAAUCCCAAUUCUUUUCCGAAUUAUCAAAACCCGAGUCAAGCUCCGUUGAAUCCUCCCGGUUUUAAUGAUUCGGAUAAGAGACUCAAUUCCUUAGAAAAGAGCAUAGAGGCCUUAGUGAAAUCGCAAACUAACUUGACCCAAUCCCAACAAACUUUCAUGCAAACUUUAACCCAAGAUAGGCAACUUUUGCAUUCUAAUGUGCAAGCCGUCUCUAAGUUAGAGUCCCAAUUGAGUCAAUUAGCGAGCACGUUGUGUGAACGAGAAAAGAACAAAUUCCCUAGUCAACCGGAGCCGAACCCAAAAUUUCCACUUAAUCAAAGACCCCCGGAUAAUGUGCAUUCGGUCAUUUCUCUUAGGUCGGGUAAACAAGUUGAUACCCAAGUUGGUGAGAACCUCGGUAAGAAAGGGGAUUCGACUUCUAACCCAAGUCCACCCCGCACUACCAUUAAUCAUGACAAACCCGAGUGUUCAAAAGCCCGUGAGGAGUCGAGUGACCCAAACCCGGAACCCGAGUUGCAAAGUGAAGUAGUCUAUAAACCGAGAGUCCCUUACCCACAAAGACUUAUUUCACCGAAGCAAUCGGCUCAAAUGGAGAAGAUUUUGGAAGUGUUUAAGCAAGUCAAGGUCAACAUACCCCUUUUAGAUGCAAUUCAACAAAUUCCUUCCUAUGCUAAGUGUCUUAAGGAGCUAUGUACCCAUAAGAGGACCAACCAUGUUCCUAAGAAAGCUUUCCUUACGUCUCACAUAAGUUCGAUUCUCUCAAACCAAAUUCCCGUGAAAUACAAGGACCCCGGGUGUCCUACAAUUUCAUGUGUUAUAGGAGAAACUUUUGUGGAUAAGGCGUUACUUGAUUUAGGGGCUAGUGUUAAUCUCCUUCCAUAUUCUGUCUACCAAGCCUUAGGUUUAGGGGAGCUCCGACAAACCAAUGUCACACUUCAAUUAGCCGAUCGAUCCGUGAAAAUUCCUAAGGGAAUGAUCGAAGAUGUGCUAAUUAAAGUAGGUGACUUUGUGUUUCCCGUAGAUUUUGUCGUCCUAGAGACCGAGCCGGUUAGGAACCCGAAGAAUCAAAUUCCCAUCAUCCUAGGACGACCCUUUUUAGCUACAUCCAACGCGUUGAUUAAUUGUAGGAACGGCUUAAUGAAGCUAACAUUUGGCAACAUGACAAUCGACCUCAACAUCUUUCAUGUGGGGAAACAAUCCGAUGAUUUCUAUGAUCAACCUUUGGACGUUAAUCUAAUUGAUGAAAUAGUUGAUCAAGAUCUGAUGAAUCCUAAAGAUGCCCUUGAAUUUUGCUUAAAACAUUUUGGAGAGGAUUGGGAUGUUUCCGACUACACACAUGAGGUCAACCAAAUGUUAGAAUCCACCAUUCCGACAACGAGUCAAGAGCGUGAUGUUGAACCCGAGCAUUUGCCUUUACCUAAGAAAACCGUUGAGUCACAACCGUCGGAGUUAGAACUCAAACCUCUUCCCGACACUCUUAAGUAUGCUUUUCUAGGCCCUAACGAGUCAUAUCCCGUUAUCAUUGCCUCUAAUUUGACUACGUCACAAGAGGAAGAACUUUUAGGAAUCCUUAGAAAGCAUAAGGGAGCGAUAGGGUGGAGCAUUUCGGACAUUAAAGGAAUUAGCCCGGCGAUUGUCCAACAUAGGAUUCAUUUGGUAGAAGAUGCAAAGCCCGUGAGAGAACCUCAAAGGAGGUUGAAUCCUCCCAUGAUGGAGGUAGUUCAGAAAGAAAUUCUUAAGUGCUUAGACAAUGGGAUCAUUUAUCCCAUUUCCGAUAGUAAGUGGGUGAGUCCCGUCCAUGUAGUGCCUAAAAAGUCGGGCAUUACUUUGGUGACCAAUGAGAACAAUGAGCAAGUUCCAACCCGUGUCCAAUCCGGUUGGAGAAUGUGCAUAGACUUUAGGAAGCUCAAUGCCGUCACUAGGAAAGAUCAUUUUCCUUUGCCUUUUAUCGAUCAAAUGCUAGAGAGGUUAGCGGGUCAUGCGUUUUAUUGCUUCUUAGAUGGUUACUCGGGAUAUUUUCAAAUCCCAAUCGCACCCGAGGACCAAGAAAAGACCACCUUCACUUGCCCUUUUGGAACCUUCGCUUAUAGACGUCUAGCUUUCGGCCUAACCACGGGCCCGUCCACGUUCCAAAGGUGCAUGACUAGCAUCUUCUCGGAAAUGAUAGGUGACUUUCUAGAAGUCUUCAUAGAUGACUUUUCCAUCUUUGGACCAUCUUUUCACCAAUGCCUUAACAAUCUAGAUCGAGUGUUGAAAAGAUGUGAGGAAACGGAUCUAGUGUUAAAUUGGGAGAAAUGUCAUUUCAUGGUUAAGGAGGGAAUCGUUUUAGGACACAAAAUUUCUGAAAAAGGGAUCGAAGUAGACAAGGCUAAGGUCGACCUAAUAGCUAAUCUCCCACCUCCCAAGUCCGUUAAGGAAAUUCGUUCUUUCCUUGGACAUGCGGGAUUUUAUCGUAGAUUCAUCCAAGAUUUUAGCAAAAAGGCCCGACCUUUGACCAACCUUCUAGCUAAGGAUGUCAAAUUCGAGUUCACAAGCGAGUGUGUUCAUGCCUUCGAAGACCUUAAGAGAGAAUUGACUUCGGCCCCGAUCAUGAAGUCUCCCGAUUGGAGUCAACCUUUUGAGCUUAUGUGUGACGCAUCCGAUUAUGCCAUAGGAGCGGUUUUAGGACAACGAAUAGAUAAGAGGCCUCAUGUCAUUUACUACGCUAGUAAGACCUUAAAUGAUGCCCAACUCAAUUACUCUACCACCGAGAAGGAACUUCUAGCCGUAGUCUUUGCCUUAGAAAAAUUUCGCUCUUAUCUUAUCGGGUCCAAAAUCAUUGUUUACACCGACCAUGCCGCUCUUAAGUACCUUUUCUCUAAAAAAGACUCAAAAGCCCGCUUAAUUAGAUGGAUUUUGUUGCUCCAAGAGUUUGACUUAGAGAUUAGGGAUAAGAAAGGUUGUGAGAAUGUCGUCGCCGAUCAUCUCUCUCGAUUAGUGGUUGAAUCCACUAACGACUUGCCCUUAAGCGAGUCAUUUCCCGACGAACACCUUCUCUCAAUUUCCACUCUCCCUUGGUUCGCCGACAUAGUCAAUUACUUAGCAACCGGUGACAUUCCCUCGACAUGGUCCAAAAAUGACAAAGCUAAGUUCUUUUCUCAAGUGAAACAUUUCUUUUGGGACGACCCGUAUCUCUUUAAGCAUUGUCCCGAUCAAAUCAUUAGGAGGUGUGUCCCAAAUAGUGAGUUUCAUAGCAUCCUCUCCUUUUGUCACGAUCAAGCAUGUGGAGGUCAUUUUAGUGCGAAGAAGACCGCCGCUAAAAUCCUCCAAUGCGGUUUUUAUUGGCCUAGUUUGUUUAAGGAUGCCGCCGAGUAUUGUUCCGCAUGUAGUAGGUGUCAACAUCUAGGAAGAAUCACUAGGAGGAACAUGAUGCCUAUGAGCCCAAUCCUUGUUAUAGAGCUCUUUGAUGUGUGGGGCAUAGAUUUCAUGGGCCCAUUCCCUAGUUCGUUUGGCCACCUUUACAUCCUUCUAGCGGUAGAUUACGUUUCUAAGUGGGUAGAAGCCAUCCCGACCCGGUCUAAUGACAACAAAGUUGUCCUUCGCUUCCUUAAAGAGAAUAUCUUUUCUCGAUUUGGUACACCUAGGGCUAUCAUUAGUGACCAAGGGACACAUUUCAAGAACCGUCAAUUCGAGUCUCUUCUUAAGAAGUACUCCAUCACUCAUAGGCUUGCUACCCCUUAUCAUCCUCAAACUAGUGGCCAAGUAGAGGUCUCAAACCGGCAAAUUAAGCAAAUCUUAGAAAAGACGGUCAACUCGAAUAGGAAGGAUUGGUCAACCAAGUUGAUAGAUGCCUUAUGGGCAUAUCGGACCGCCUUUAAGACCGUCUUAGGAAUGUCUCCUUAUAGACUCGUGUUUGGUAAAGCUUGUUAUUUGCCGGUUGAGCUAGAACAUAGGGCCAUGUGGGCCAUUAGAGAAUUGAACUUCGACUUACCCACCGCCAGUAGUCAUCGGAAGUUACAAUUGACCGAGUUAGAUGAACUUAGGAACGAUGCCUACGAAAAUGCCAAAAUUUACAAAGAGAGAACCAAGGCCUUCCAUGAUAAAACUAUUUGGAGAAAAUCCUUUUCUCCCGGCCAAAAAGUUCUUCUCUACAACUCUAGGCUUCAUUUGUUUCCCGGAAAGUUGCGUUCUAGAUGGAACGGUCCUUACAUUGUUCAAGUUGUUUUUCCUCAUGGUGCUGUUGAAAUUCAGGAUCCUAAAAAUGGUAAUGUUUUUAAAGUUAAUGGUCAACGUCUUAAACCAUUUUUAGAAUUGCCUGUUGAUUCGGAGGAAGAGGUCAUCCACCUCAUCGACCCUUGAUCAUGUAAGUUGCUUCAGUAGUUAAUAAAAAUCCCCUUCAUCUCCUAUUCAGGUAUUUUUCCUCUUUACUCUCUCAUUUCAAUUCUCUCUUUUGCAUACAUUGAGGACAAUGCAUGAUUUAGGUAUGGGGAGGGCUUUAGUGUAAUUCUUAAAAAAUGAAAAUCCCUAAAAAAUGAAAAAAUUAGAAAAUCCAAAAAUAGAGAUUCUUUUAGCUAAGUUGUCUUUCCCUCACUCGAACUUUAGGUGUAGUUGGUGUUUAGCAUGUUUUCGAAAAGUAUAUAUAUGUAGUGUCUUUUAGAUAAUUUGAACGUAGUUGAGUAAGGUUGUCUUUUUGAGACUUGUAUCGACCGAUUUGUACUCUAAAUUCCAAGAUGGCACACACAUUUGCACAAGACCUUUGAUGGAGAGAUUGUCUAGUGAUAUUAUUCGAUACCUGAGAGAGAACCCACAUGUUGAGAUAAAAAAAAAAACGAAGAAGGAAUAACUACUUCAAUACCCAUUGUUCUUUAUAGAUAAAAUCUUUAGAUAAAUGGGCAAAAGUAGAUUGGCUAGUCCCGUUUUGUGGCCUUUGUUACUCGAGUUAUUAAGUCCGUCGGGGGAUUUCAAAACCUAGUGCCCUAAGACCGUUUGGUUUGGGAGUCACUGACCUAAAGCUCGCUACAUGGGUAACAUAGAAAGCCUAAGAAAACGGACAAAAUAAAGUCAAUGCAAAAAAAAGAAAAAAAAAAGAAUAAGAGUUUGUGAAGUUUGGCUAGAUAUUUGUUUCGAUAGAGAUUGGGUCAGUUCAAAAUUGGUUGAAAAAGAGAAAAUGUUCUUAGACGAUUAGGAUCCAUCAAAGGCCCUAAAUUCAUUACACUCCUUGGAUUUCUAGUAAAUUUUUGAGUCGAUUUCAAGUAGAUUAGAGACAACUGUAUGUAUUAUUAGUAAAAGAGUCUUUGAGUCGUAUUUUCCUUAAAAAUGCUUUUUGUUAACACCGGUGAAAUUAGAGUAGAGUCGAGUAGACACUUGCUAGAAGGUCUCGAAGAUUUUAUGGGUAUAUCUUCUGUAAACCCUUAGGAGACAACACUCCUAUUGUAGAGAUCGUCUACGAGUUUAACGGGUUGGUGAACCUAAAAUCACCCGUCACGCCUACGAAAAGGAGCCUAGGAAUCGCAUCUAGUUUUCUUAGUUUAUUUUCUUUUCUUUUGAUUUUUACUCGAGGACGAGCAAAAGAUAGGUAUGGGGAAGUUUGAUUAGUCCAUAUUUUUGCAUAUUUAAGUGCCUAUUUUUUGUUUAUUUUCGUAGUAUUAAUCGCUUAUUUAUUUUAUUUCAGGAAAUUGUAGAUAAAUAAAGAAAGAAGAGAAAAUGCAAGAAAAAGAAGAAAAGGAAAAGAAAAGAAGAAAAAGAAAAAGGGUUGGCAAGUAAAGGACACAUGGAUGGCCACAAUUCUCCCAACACUCAAGGCAGAUGGUCAAGAUUGAGCCACCCUACCCCUAAACCCUAAUUCUUUAGUUAUAAAUACCCCCAUUCUCUUUACUUGUAAAAGAACCUAGCUACCUACCCACCUUUUCUACCUAGUCAUUUCCAUAGUUAGUAUCUUAGAUAGAUUUACAUUUUGCUAGCCCAAUUUCCUUUCCAAGCUUGUAUACACUUUUUAAUUUAUAUGCAAAUCUCUUUUAGCUUAAUCUUGUAUUAUCUUUUUAAUGUUCUCCAAGUUGAAUGAUUCUCUUAAGUACCACCACAUGCUUUUAAGCUUUUGGGAAAUGAAGAAUCAUUGAGCUUGUGAUUAGUGUAGAUCUCUUAUUUAGAUUUAAUUUUUGGAAGAAGCUUAAAAUUCUAGCACAAAAUUAAUUUGUGUUAGGGUUUAAUUCUAAAACCCCAAAUUCAUCACAUUACUAGCUUCAUUAAUCUAAGUGCAAGUGUUAAAAUCAAAAAUCAACUCCCUCGUUUCGUUUAUUUCACUAAACGAUCUGAUUUUCUUGAUUAAUAUAUACAAAUCCCUUCCCCUGUUCUUUUUUUUAUUAAACAACCCAUCUCCCCUGUUUCUUUUUACUGCUCUGUUUUCUUGUUACUGAGUCAAGGCUGAGUCACACUAGUCGCUGCUGAGUCACGAUGUUUGUUCGAUUCUGGCUUGCAAAUUUGAUUAGUGUACUGAGUUGUUAGUUUGUCUGUUAGUUUAAUUUCAUGGUUUCUGUUUUUAUGCCUGCUAGUUACCGAGUUUAUUCUGUGUAUUGCUUUGAGUCGAACGAGUUGCUGGGUUUGUUGUUUGCUCUGUAAAUCGAGUCAUUGAGUUGUUGAUAACCGAGUCGCCAUUUGUUGGAGUCCUGUUGUCUGUCCAUGAACCUGCGUUCGUUUUCCGAGUUUUAGUCAUCCAUCUGGGUUCGUAAUUCGCUUUGUUUUGAACUGUAUUUGUGCUUUGUUUGCUCGAGUUUUCGUCGAGUUUGAAUAUCGAGUUGUAGAGUCGAGUUUCUGCGUUUUUGAUUCUGUUUUACGGCCGAGUUCGAGUUACUGAGUCUGCUUCUCGAGUUCUUGAGUUUACUGAGUCAUUGUGCGAGUUGGGGGUGUUCGUUUGGCUAAAUUUGUGUUGAAAUCUGGGCGUGUUUCUUUAUUCUGUCUGUUGUGUAUCGACUGAGUUUUAGUCUUGUGUUUCGUCCGAGUCAAGCUGUUUCCGAGUCUGUGUUGAUGGGCUCGUUUCGUUUUGUUUAUUUGAGUGAGUCAAAGUAUAAAUCGAGUACUGAUUUGCUAAGUUUUGCCGAGUUUUUGUCUGAACUUGAGUCGUUGAGUUGUUCUGUUUACGGAGUCUAGUUCAGUGAUUUCGUUUAUACAUUUGGUUUUUACAAUAUCAAGUCUUGCUAAUUAAUCCACCUAUUUUUGUUUGGCACAUUAUUAAUUUAGUUUAAAUACUGUUCUGCCAAGUUGGUUUUUGGUUAGAUUGAUUCUUGUCGCUUUGGUUAGUUCGAUUCUCACAUUUAAUUUUAUAAGAAUAAAAAUUAGUAAAUAUAAGUGUUGCUUGACCAUAGUUUUGGUGAUUUAAAUUGGUUUGGCUAGUCAAGGAUGCGAGUAUGCCAUGCCAGAUUUGUCUUAAUUAAUUUUACUUUCGAAUUCAUUUGCGUUAAAUAAUUUCUUAAACAUUUCACAAAUUAGAUUUAGUUUUUAAAACUAAUUUCCAAAAUCUAUUGUUCUAAUUCGCCUAGGUUAAAAAUUAAGGUUUCGAAUAUAAUUUUAAUCUCUGUGGACGAAUCAUAAAUAUUAAAACGGUGAUCGUGCGCUUGCGAUUUUAAAAUCAUAUUUUCUAGCACAUCAUGUGGUAUUUGUCUUUCUUUCCAUUUACUUUCGCACAUCAUAACUGCUUAAACUCUCGAUACAAGCUUUUAAAAAGGGGAUAAACUUUUUUAAAACUAUAUUAUUAUUUUUAAAUUGGCUAUUAAGCUAUUCAACCCCCCCCCCCCCCCCUUCUAGCUUAAUCAUCCCCUAUAUCGGGACCUAACAAUUGGUAUCAGAGCAGUUACUUUUAUACGUGCUAUUUGAUAUAAAAGCACUCCCAAAAGUAGAUCCGAUAUGGCUUAUAUCAAUGUCAUCGGUUGUAGUGAAGGUCUCUCAAAUUCUAGACCUCCUUUAUUUGAUGGUACCAACUUUGCCACCUGGAAAACACAAUUUUGCAUAUAUGCUAGAAGUCAAGGUGUCAAAGUUUGGAUGGCCAUAGAAGAUGGUAUAAUUAUUCCGACGAAAAUAGUCGAUGAUAUUACUAUUGAAAAGAAAGUAAGUGAAUAUACGCACGAUGAAGAAGAUCGUAUGAAUAUCGCCGCUAAAGCGGAAAUGGUUCUCACAAGUGCACUUGCAGAAAAAGAAUACAAAGAGUAAACAACUGCAAGUCCGCACAAGAAAUGUGGAACAAAUUAGUAGUUACCUAUGAAGGAACUACUGAUAUUAAAGAUUCUCGAAUGGAUACAUUAAUCCAAGAAUACGAGAACUUUAAACUCCAAGAUGGAGAAAAUAUCAUCGAUAUGGAAACGAGAUUUACUCGCAUAAUCAAUGAAUUAGAUCAACUCGGAAAGAACUAUACUCAAAACGAGAAAAAUCGUAGAGUUCUUAAAUCAUUGCCUCCGAGUUGGAAAGUUAAAGUUACUACAAUCAAAGAGAUGCAUAAUCUCAAUGAUUACCACAUCGAUAACUUAUUCGGAAAUCUUCGUGCAUACGAAGAAGAUAAUAUUCCGGAUCUUGUCACUCCUAAAGUGGAAGACAAGAAGAAAAAUAUGGCACUAAAAUCCAUAUUAAUCGAUGAGGAUGAAAACGACGAAGAUUUAAACGAAGAAAUCAAAAAUCUCGAUGAAAGCGAAAUAGCGCUUCUUACGAGACAACUUCGUCGUGUGAUUCAAAGCAAAGCUCAAAGAUACGGAAAAGGCUUCCUUAAAUCAAAUAAUCAACAAAGAGUUUUUAACUCUAAUGGUAGUCCAAAUUACUCUCAAAAUUAUACUACAAGCUAUAAGAGUAAUUAUCCGUCUACGGGCUAUAAUAAGGGCAAGAUCAAUCAAAGCCCUAAUGGCUAUAAUAAUGCCAACAAUAAUAAUAAUACUUACACUCCUCCAAAACCAAAGGAACAAACUCCGGAGGAAACACAAGAUGUGUGUUUUGAGUGUAAGCUACCCGGUCACUUUAAACGAGAAUGUCCUAAACUUUCUAAAGGACGAACUCUCGUGGCCGAAAAUGGAUGGGAUUUGAGUGAAGACGAAGAGUCAUCAGAAGCAAAUGAAGAAGUGGUUAAUCUUUGCUUAAAUGCUCUCGAGGAAGAAGCUUCAUCAACGGAUGUCUCCACUUCAAAUCAAGAGGUAAGUAGUUCUCCUAUGCUUUUACAUAAUCAAGAACUUUUUAGUCUUUCAAAUUUGAAUUUAGUAGAUAUGUGUAAAAGUGAUUUGAUUGAACUAUUAUUGGAAUUGAGUAGACAAAAUAAUGAUGUUAGUCAACGAUUCCUUACUAUGUGGUCCGAGAAAGAAAAGAUUGAUGAUUUAUAUAAAGCUCAAAUAAAAGAGUUAUCUCGGAUCAUGGAAUCAAACCUCAAAUACGAGGAAGAAAUCUCAUCUCUUUGUGAACAAAAUGAUCUAUUAAAAAAUGAGAUUAAUAAGAACAAGGAUGAUGUGAUUAAACUGGAAAUCGAAAACACAUCCUUGGUCUUACAUAAUGAAGUAUUGGAAAACGAGAAGCUACAAUUAAAUGAGAAUUCUCAAAAGCUUCAUGUUGACUUACUAAACUUGAAAAUUCAAAAUCAGUCAUUAACUCAUGAGAAGUCAAUUUCGUCUUUCCAACACAAUCUCGAAAAUGUUCAUGCCUUGAAAGAAAAAGAUGAAAAAUUCGAGUUUGAAACUCAAAGGCUUAAAGAUGAACAUUCUAAGAUCUUAGCUCAAGUUUUAAAUCAAGAAAAGAUUUUAAACGAAAAGAUUAAAGUCUUGAGCAAAGAAAAAGAAGAUCUUGAGAUUACAAUUCAAAAGUUCACAAAAGGAAAUGAGAUGUUGGAUAGGAUGGUACAUUCAAAAAUAUCCUAUAAUCAUGAAGGAUUAGGAUAUGAUAAAAAUGUUCAACCAAAGAAGUUUGUACAAAAUAAGCAAACUACUUUUGUUCCCGCUACACCAAAAUACAAAUGUUCUUAUUGCAACAAGAAUGGGCAUACCGUUCAAUAUUGCAAAAUAAAGAAUGGUGAGAUUAAGGGGAAGCACAUAUGGGUUCGAAAAGGAACUAAACCAUAUGUGAAGGUUGAACAUGUACCAACCAAAAAGGUUUCAUCUAAUCAAAAGCAACCAAGGUUUAGUUAUGAUCAAAAACCUAUUGCUUACCAAAAUAGAAAUUCAAGUCAUAAUGCUCGACAAAUUGGUCAAUCAUCUAGAAGUCAUUAUACUCCUAGUCAACAAUUCUAUCAUCAAAAUGCUAUGUAUUAUCGGAAUGAUAGAAAUAACAUGUAUCGAGGUGGAAACUCACAAAGAUAUAAUUUCUCGAAAAACACUCGAUAUGUUGAUAACAAUAUGUAUGCUAGGAAUAAUGCAUCUAGAAACUCUUAUAUGUCAACUUAUGCUUAUUCCAUGCCUAGUUUCUAUCAUGCUAAUCCAAAUGCUUUUUAUGAUACACUAACCCGAGGACCAUCAAGACAAAAGGGUACCAACAAAUUUAAUUGAUUUGUUUUGUAGGUGUGCCUUGUUGCUAAACAAGAAAUGUGGUACCUUGAUAGUGGAUGUUCGAGACAUAUGACCGGUAAUAAGUCACUUUUGAACGAUAUUAAAAAGGUUACCACAGGAAGCGUUACUUUUGGAGAUAGCAGCAAGGGUACUAUCAUUGGCAUUGGAAAUAUUGGAAAUGAUCACUUCAAAAUUGCUAAUGUACAACUAGUUACGGGACUUAAGUACAAUCUUCUAUCCAUUAGUCAAUUAUGUGACAAUGGAUUCAAGGUGAUUUUCUAUCCUACUCAUUGUUCUAUUUUAAAUAAGGAUGGAAAAUUAGUACUUACUUGUCCUCGUAGCAAAAAUGUGUACACAUGUGAUAUUAGUAAACAUAAAAAUAUAUGUCUAAUCUCUACUCAAGAUGACCCUUGGUUAUGGCAUCGAAGAUUAGGACAUGCUAACAUGAAGUUGAUCAAAAAUAUAUCGACAAAUGAUCAUGUUAGAGGUAUACCGAAAUUGAACUUUCAAAAAGAUCAUAUUUAUGAAGCUUGUGAGAUUGGAAAACAAAUACGUACCACUCACAAAGCAAAAUUCAUGGUAUCUACCUCUAGACCUCUCGAGCUAUUACAUAUGGACUUAGUUGGUCCGGUUCCGGUCCAAAGUCUCGGAGGAUGUUCUUAUACUUUGGUAGUUGUUGAUGAUUAUUCACGCUUCACUUGGACAGAAUUUCUUAAAUCAAAAAGUGAUGCAUUUGAAUCAUUCUCUUCUCUAUGUAAGAAGAUUCAAAAUCAACAAAAUAAUACCAUUGUGUAUAUAAGAACUGAUCAUGGCAAAGAAUUUGAAAAUUCUAGCUUUACUACUUUUUGUGAGGAGAAUGGAAUCACUCACAAUUUUUCUGCCCCAUAUACUCCUCAAUCAAAUGGAGUGGUAGAAAGAAAAAAUAGAACUUUGCAAGAAAUGGCAAGUACUAUGCUAAAUGAAUAUCGGCGACCAAAAUAUUUUUGGGCCGAAGCUAUGUCAACUGCUUGUCAUAUUCUAAAUAGAGUCUUAUUAAGACCAAUAACUCAAAAGACUCCAUACGAGCUUUAUUAUGGAAAAACUCCUAAAUUGAGUUAUUUUAGAGUAUUCGGUAGUAAAUGCUUUAUCUUAAACUCUAAAGAUUAUCUUACAAAGUUUGAUCCUAAAUCAAGUGAAGGAAUAUUCCUUGGUUAUUCAAACAAUAGUAAAGCAUACCGAGUAUUUAAUCUUAAAACUCUUGUGGUGGAAGAAUCAAUGAAUGUUGCUUUUGAUGAAUCAAAACCACCCUCGAAGUAUAUUGAUCUUGUUGAUAAAGAAGAUGGUCAACAAGACAAUGUUGAAAAUGUUAUUCGACAAUUCGAAAAUAUGGAUAUGGGUAUUUCCCCUCCUAAUAAUCCAUUAGAAUUGUUAGAAACCGAAGACGAACUACCUAAAGAAGUCCCUAUUAUUCGAAGUCAUCCUUUGGAUAAUGUCUUAGGGGACUUAACGAAAGGAGUUCAAACUCGGUCACAAGUUCAAAAUGUUGUGAAUCAUCUGAGUUUUCUUUCACAAAUUGAACCUAAAACUGCUAAAGAAGCUUUGCUUGACGAGGAUUGGAUAUCCGCAAUGCAAGAUGAAUUAACACAAUUCACUCGCAGCAAAGUUUGGGAACUCGUUCCACAACCCGAAAAUACUUCCAUAAUUGGAACAAAAUGGGUGUUUAGAAAUAAACUUGAUGAAAAUGGAACGGUAGUUCGAAAUAAAGCAAGAUUAGUUGCUCAAGGAUACACUCAAAUGGAAGGAAUAGAUUUUGAUGAAACUUAUGCACUGGUAGCUCGAAUUGAAUCAAUUCGUAUGCUAUUAGCUUUUGCGUGUCAUAAAGAUUUCAAAGUGUAUCAAAUGGAUGUUAAAUCCGCCUUCUUAAACGGGAUAUUAGAAGAAGAAGUUUAUGUUAAACAACCUCCCGGUUUUGAAGAUGCUACUAACCCUGAAUACGUGUAUAAGCUAUAUAAAGCCUUAUAUGGGUUAAAACAAGCUCCAAGAGCUUGGUACGAAAGGCUAAGUAAAUUCCUCUUAGAAAAUAAUUUCAAGAUGGGAACGGCCGAUAAAACAUUAUUUACGCGACAAGAAAAAGAUGAUAUAUUACUUGUCCAAAUAUACGUAGAUAUUUUUGGAUCAACAAAUAAUGAUCUAUGUAAAGAAUUCUCUGAAAAAAUGAGUAAGGAAUUCGAAAUGAGUAUGAUGGGUGAGUUAAAUUUCUUUUUGGGUUUGCAAAUUAGGCAAUCCGAUGAAGGCAUUCAUAUAUCGCAAUCUAAGUAUUGCAAAGAAAUGCUAAAGAAAUUUGACAUGGAAAAUACAAAACCCGUAUCUACUCCUAUGUCUACUUCCGAUAAAUUAACGGAAGAUCCUAAAGGGAUUCCAGUUGACACUAAGAAAUAUCGUGGUAUAAUAGGUAGCUUAUUAUAUAUUACCGCUAGUAGACCCGAUAUACAAUAUAAUGUUUGUAAAUGUGCACGUUUUCAGUUUUCAAGCGGCACCAAAGGAAUCUCAUUUAUCCGCCGUAAAACGGAUAUUGCGAUACUUAAAUGGUACAAUAAAUCUUGGCCUUUGGUAUCCAAAAGGUGUACCAUUUAAUCUAGUAUGCUUUUCUGAUUCAGAUUAUGCCGGACAUUUAGUCGACAGAAAAAGCACUAGUGGUACAUGUCAAUUUCUGGGUGGAUGUUUAGUUUCAUGGUUUUCGAAGAAACAAAACUCCGUAUCUAUAUCCACUACAGAAGCUGAAUAUAUAGCCGCCGCAAAAUGUUGUGCCCAAAUAUUAUGGAUGAAACAAACAUUGGCGGACUAUAAUGUUAAAUUCGAUGUUAUAUCUAUUUGGUGUGAUAACACGAGUGCUAUUGAUUUAAGCAAAAAUCCUGUGUUACACUCAAGAUCUAAACACAUAGAUAUACGUCAUCAUUUCUUACGUGAUCAUGUCAAUAAAGGCGACAUAAAAAUAUCUCAUAUAGAAACUGAGAAUAAUAUCGCAGACAUUUUCACUAAGUCAUUAAGGUCCGAACGAUUCGCUAAACUCCGAUUGGAUUUAGGAAUGUUGGAAUAUUCAAAGUGAUUAUUCUUGGCUUAUAAAUAAUCUUUAGAAUAUUUAUCAUGUAUAUUAGUCAUCUUACGUGUAAGGAGUAUUGUCAACCAAAUUUUAAGUAUACUCUGAAAAUUCAGAUUUGUCAAUAAUUAAUUUAUUGAUCGGAUUUUCAUGAGUCAAAAUUUAAAAUUGGAAUCAUUGACGGUAUUACUUGGGCGAGCGAAUAUUUUUGGAUAUCCGGAAAUAUUUCUAAGAUACUAAGUAUAUGGCAUUUGUUCUAAAUGAGUAUAAGAGUAUACUUGCCAAAUAAUUACUUAUUUAACAAUAACAAAUUGUUAAAUGACUAAAAAUCCAUUCAAAAAUUUAUGGAUUAUAUUUAUUUACCUAUAGUAAAGGGUAAAAUAUUAUUAAUAUUAUUAUAUCUCCAAUAUGUCAUUUAGAGAAAUUACCCAAUAAAACCAAUUUUAGUUACAUAAAUUGGGUAAAUUAUUUCAUUGGAGAAUUAUAUUAUAUUAUUAUUACACAUAAAUUAUUUUAUCCAAGAUGUGCUAAACAUAUUUUUUCUCUUCAAAAAAAAAAUUAUUGGACAAAAUUUAUUUAUGUGAAAAACUAUCUUUAUCUUUCUUUACAAAAAUUAUUUUGAUUUUACAAAAUCAAAAUAGAUUCAAAAAUUAUUUAAAAAAUCAGUUUAUACAUUCAAAAUUUGGUCAAACCCGACCCAUCUACAUUGACCCGAUCCAGUUUUAAAACUUUUAAUCUGAUCCGUUGAUUAAAACCCUCAAACAAAUCACAGCCGUUUAUUACUAAAAUACAUAUACGGAUUAAUCAGUUUUUAUCACAAAACUCUCGCCUCCUUACUGUAGCUCUCCGAACUCUCUCGAGUUCUCUUUCGAUUUUCCGGCGAUUCAUGGCGAUUUCUUACUGAUUUUCUCAAAAUCAUUACAAAUACUACACAAAUCGAGUCUCCUCUAUCAUUAUUUGAUGAGAUUCGGUUCGAUUACUGAUGGGUUGGGUAACAUUAAUCGAGAGUCGACUGCGAAACCCGCCGGCGUCUCAAUCGACGGCGAGUCUAAGUCGCUUCUCCACAUUUAGGAGCUCUUCUGAUCUCCUGCAUCUGUGUCUCUUUGAUUUCGAUCAAAAGCCCUAAUUUUUGGAUCGAAAUUUCAAAACCCUAACUUGAAUGUCGAGUAGUUUUGCAGGUACUCUACGGCGAUGGUGAAAUUGAAGCAGGAAAAAGAUAAAUCGAGGCCAAAAUCAGCAAUCGCAGCUCGGUAAAGGAGAAACCCUAAUUAGGGUUCAUGAAGCCAGAGUCGAGCGCUGUGAAUCAGUGGAAAUAGAGGCUCAAAAUCAAGCUGCUCGAGGCUAUUUGAAGCUGUCAAAGUCUCCAACACCUCCAUCUAAACUAAUAUCGGCAUAAGGUGAGGAUCCAAGCUUGUUUCCAAGCGCUUGGACAAGGUGAGGGGUCCUAGACGACUGUGCGUCGGCCCUCGUAGGAUUAGAACACACAAAAUUGCAUGUUUCACUCGCACUUAGUAUAGCUUGAACUGUUUGUUGGGUUUGUUUGAAAUUUUGAUAUGUUCGAAUGAAUAUCUGUUGCUAUAUGACUGAUUGGUAUGACUCUUGAUGUUGCAUGUUAUGGUACUGUAUUUCUCUGGAUGGUUUUAAUUUGAAAUUGGUGAUUUUUAGCUCAUUUUGGUUCGACUCUACUGAAUUGUGAUUAUGUGAUCGAUUGGAUUAAAUUUGAGUAUAUGGACUGAAUAGGUGUUAUGACUUGAGUCUCUGGGAAAUUACAUAGUAUAUAUGAUAAUAAAGUGUGUGAGGUUUUGAUGAAUUCUACUUGUUAUGUCAAAAUAUGAUAAAAUUGGUCUUUGUGUUGGUUUUCUGAUCUUAACAUGCCUAAUUACUUGUGUAAAUCAUGACUUUAUGUGAUUAUAUGGAUUUACUUGAGUUUUUAUGAGUUAUCUGUGAUGACUGUUGAACUCAACCUGUCAUGCCUUAAAUUGGUCACUUAGUCCUUGUUGAUGAAUAAUUGAUCAUAAAUAUUAUCUGACAUAUAUGCAAAUUUUCCUGUAAAGACUAUGUUUUCUGUGCUUAUAUGAACAAUCUGAAGUCAAAUGUGAUGAUUUUGUGGUAAAUUGAGUUAGUCAUGUUUUAUUGAAAUGAUUAAGAUAAUUUUAGAAGUGUAUCUUAGUGUAUUCUGUCAAAUUGGCUCCCAUUGAAUUCAAAAUGCUAUGUACUUGAUCUUUUUUGUUGAAUUUGUGUACUUAUACUCUGUCUUGGGUAGUUUGGAUCUUGUUUGAAAUAAUAUGCAUGCUCUGAGUUGCUGCAGUUGGAUAAGAUAAGGUGUUGUGUCAUAAAAUGUUCAAUUACAAUGUCAACUGCUAGAAAAGGUUAUAAUUUCACUAUCUAGAGUACUUGAAAUCACCUAGGUGAGUAAAUUUUGUGUUUAGAUUAAUUAAAUCUGUCUGUCUUGCACUCUUCUUAUAUGGUUAAUUGAUACUAAUUAGAAAUUAUGCUAGAAAUGCCAUGAUUAAAUGAUUUGAGUGUACAUAAUAAUAACUCUGUUGAAUAUGUGUGUUGUGCCAUAAUUUAUAAUUGUGACAUGUGUUAAGUUGAUAUAUAGAGGUAAUAGGACAUCUUGUUUAGAAAUUCACUUCAGAACACUAUAUUUGUAGAUAAUCAGAGUCCUUAACUUGAUUAAAAUUGAAAUUCUAUCUGUGUAUGCUUAAUAUGUUUGAUUACAUGUCUAAAUGUUAAUUUGCUUAAAACUGGAUUUAAAAACUUAUGUGUUUUAAAUCAUGAUUAGAUUCUAUUAAAUCUGGUAAUGAGUAUGCUAGAACUGAACCUAUUUCUGUGCUUAUCUAUGAUGGUCUGCAUAAAAUUGGCUAGCUGAAGUUUUGUAUUGAUAUAUCUCUAUAACUCUGUGACUUGCAAGUUGGAUGAAUUAAAUGUUAGCUGCCAUUUUUGGUUGCUACUGGUUGAGUCUAGUGAACAUAUAUUUAAUAGAACUAGGAGAUGCUGCACUUCAGUUGCCCAUACUAGAUUAGGAACACACACACAUGCCCUCACAUUAAGACCUGGCUGGGGUUCCCCUUGAGAACCUUAGUAUCUGGAUCACUGGUGUGAAACGGCCACUUAGAUUUUAAGUCAUUUUUGCACAAAUUGUAUAUACUUGUGUAUGUAUUUAUGUGAUGAUGGCUCUGCAAAUGUGUGUGACUGAUUUGCCUAAUUGCUUUGGUGGUUUGAAAACUUGCUUAUAUGAUAUAUUAGUUUAUAAAACUAAUUGAGAACCUGUGCUUGCUUUUUAGAAACUCAGUAUGUGUCUCCUGGUCUUAAGUCCUGACAUGUAUAUUUUAAUAAGAAACAAAAGAGGUUUUUGACUCUGGUUUUUAAAAUUACCCCUGUUUUGCUUCAUAAAGUCACUUUAUAUUUAAUAAUGGGGUCCAUGAGGUCAUAUCUAUUUAAAGGAAGUCAGAUUCUCUUUCCAACCUUCUUUUUAUGUGUCCGUGUGCUAUGUGUAUAUUUGCUGGUUAUGUAUAUCUGUUACAUGUGUCUAUAUAAAGUAUACACUUGCAUGAUGCACACACUAUCACAUGACUUGGGGCCCAGUUAAUUACUUCCAUUUCUUCUGUCCACAACCCAAAACCAAAAGUGCAAUUACUUUAUUCUUCUAUCUCCCCAAACAGCCACUGCCUUUUCUAUAUAAAGCCAGCACUUCACUUAGACAAAACAUCACUUUCUACACAUCUUUCCCACUUUACGCUCACCUGAUGGAAUUCAAACCACUUCCAAACCCUAACCCUAAACCUAACUCACACAACUACAAUCCCAACUUACUUCAAAACAUGGAGAUGAACCAGUACUUUCACUCAACCUUAUCUCCAUUUUCAAGCUUCAAACAAACACAUCCCUCCUCUUCAUCAAACAACAAGAAACACAAGCCUGAUAACCAAAACUAUAAACCUGAAAACUACAUCUACAUAGGAAACCCCAACUAUAGGAACCCUAACCCUAAUCCAAAGCCUAACCCUAAUCCAAACCCUAACCUUAGAUCUAUAACCAAAUUUUAUACUCCUCCAACCCAAACACCAAACCUUCAAGAAAUAUCACCCAUCACUUAUAACAGGAGGAAUAAGUAUGCUACUGGUCCAAGGUCUCCUAAGUUGUUGAAUCUGUCAAAUGUGGGUAAAUUACCUAAGAUGAUGGUAGCUUGUCAACCUGGUAUGAUGGUGUCCUUGCCUCAACAAGGUGAAGUUCAUAAUAUUAGUAAUGGCUGUAAGUGGGAUAACAUCAUUUUCUAUAGAGGUCAAAACUUUCAUACUUAUAUAAUGGGAGAGUUUUAUGAAAAUAUGAUAACCACUAAAAAUCAGUAUGGUCUAUUUGAGAUUAACACCAUGGUUCAGGAUAGACAUAUACAUGUAGAUGUUAACACAGUGUGCAAAACUUUGAAAAUUGAUACUGGUAUAUUCCCUCAGCCUUGCAUCAACAUCUAUGAUACUUUUAAGUUUGAGAAAGAUGGAUUUGAAAAGUUUCUUAAGUUGUUCUGUGGUUGUGAAAUGCCUAUUGGUCUGUCUGUGGAAAAUUGUGGAAUUAGCUUCAAACAUUUCUUGCCUGUCUAUCAACAGAUUGCUAUUAUUAUAAGAGCUAAUGUGUUGCCUAAACCUGCAAAUGAUCAAUACUUUGAUUUUGUUGAUCUAAAAGUUAUGUAUCAAAUGGUCACAAACUCUGUGGAAUUCAAUAUUGCCUAUGUGAUCAUUUUACAUAUGUUCUUAGCUUUCCAACUUGACUAUAUGCCAUAUGGAUUGCUCUUGACUGCCAUAUUUGAGUUAUAUCAUAUCUCAAUGCCUAGAGUGUUUGCUGAGAAAAUUGAAUUCUGCUAUAUUGAGAAGUUGGUUAUUCCUAAGGUUCCCUUGUGUGAAGUUAAGCCCUAUAGGUUCAUCCCCCUAGGAAAAACAAAGGAGGAGGCCACACAUGAUUACAUUAGGGAAAAUGAGAUUCUUAAGCAUGUUAUCAAAGAUUUCCAAGUUAAAAUUGAUGAUAACAAUACAAAGAUUAGGGGACUUGAGGAUGAUAACAUAGAAAUCAAUGCUAGGCUCACUGAGAUUGAGACUAAACUUGGAGCUCCUAAGACUGUUGAUUCUGUGGUUUUAAGUGCUAAAUGUGAUGACUUGAAUCAAGUGAUUACUGAGACUGAGCUUGCAGAGGUUGGUGUUUCUGUGAAGCCUUGUGACUUGCCUGAGUUGAAUGAUUUCCCACCAGAUCUUGGUUAUGUGGCUGCUGUGGAAGCUGUGUUGGAAGAGUAGCUUGGAUAUACUACUCAGUUUUUAUCUAAUGACUUUGUUUUUGCAGGACAGUGCUGAGUCCUGAUUUCCUUCAGUUUUUUUGUUUAUGUGUUCCAAAAAGGCUUGGUGAGCUUCUAUCUAUGUUUGAGUGUUGUUAUUCCUGUUAUUCAGUACAGAGAACUGAAUUCAUGGAGUUAAGUUUGUUUUAAUAUAAUCAAGUUUUAUUACUAAUUCAAGUUGCAAAUUUUAUUCCUGCAAACACAUACACACACAAAUUAUAUUAUUGAAUGUUGAAUCGAUUUAUCUGCACUUCGAUCACAUUUUUAUAAACGUGUUUCGAUCUAUCUGCAUUUUGAAACACUUAAACAUGAAUUAUCAAUGAUACUUGAUAUAUGAAUUCGAGCUCUUUUAUUCAUUUGAUUUACUCGAAUGAAAUUUUCUGAAUUAACUGAAAAAAUAUCGAAUCUAUUCAUCCAUUUGGAAAUCGAUCUAUAUACAUUUCGAUUAUUUAUUCAUAUAUAAGCUGUUGGAAUGAGAAGUGUGUUAGAAGAACUCUAAAUCAAAUUUAAUACAUCAGCAUCUCUCGAACCAUUUUACUGAAAUGAAAAACUCUCGGAUUUAGCUGAGUUUGAGAAACUCCAUUAAAUCAUUUUACUUUAUCCAAUCUUUGGUAUAUAUCAAAACCAAAGUAAAGUAAUACAAAAGAUCAUCAGGAUUGAUAUCUAUUAUUAAAUAAAGGAGAAGGAUAAAUAUACACCUCCUUAAAACACUUUCUUGAUCAAAAGGAGGUUUUUUUUUAACAGGGGAAGAGAAGUAUUUUGAAUGACACAAAGGAAAGAAUAUUUUAAUUAAGAUCCUUUGAAAUACUUCUUUAUAGGAACUUAUUCUCUUACUGAGGGGAAGCAAUUAUCUCCUAUAAAAAUUAUUAUCAAAAAGGGAAGAGAAGUUUUCCUCCGCAAAGGAAAUAAAAUUCUUUUUGGUCCUUUGUCAAACAAAAGGGGAAGAGAAGUUAUAUAGAAGUUAUAUAACUAUCAAAAUUUAAAUAUACCCUAAGGCCAAAAAGAGAAAUUAUAAAUGUUUAAAUCUCUAACAAAUUUUUUGACUGUUGCAGGUACUAUCAAGGAUUACUAGUGCUUCUAGGAUUUUUUUCGUGUGAGAAAAAUAUUUUUAAAACUCAUGCAUACACUGAGGGGAAGCACACACUUUUAAAAUUUAAAUUUUGUGUUUGUUCGACAAAUACCAAAAAGGGAAAGAUUGAAAGGAUAUCUUCGAUAUACAAUUAUUUAUAUAUUUGUUUUGGUAUUUGUGACAAACAUUAAAUUUACAUUCACUUAGUAAUCCUUCCAAUAGGUCAUUGAUUAAAUUGAUUAAUCAAAGGUGGAUAGUUAUUUUUGGCAAGUGUUUUGAAACUCAUUUUUACUAAAAUACAUAUGUUUUCAAAAAGAAUUUUCUUUACGCAAUAGUCGUGCUGAGGAGUUUUGGUAUUAUCGAUUGCCUCUUUCUUCCUAUUGCAACAUCAAAAUACAUGAGCUAGGAUGAAGUAUCAUCUACAUAUGAUAUUCUUUAAAUAUCUCAUGUAACAUUAUUUUUCAAAAUAUAUUUUAGGUAAUUUAUUCCUUAUUCAAAUAUUUAUUAUCUUUCGGAAUAAAUUAUUUUAGAUCCUUCAUUUUUCAAAAGUCUUAUUUUUCUCAAGAAGGAUUUAUAUUCUCCAUAUUAAUAUUUAUCUCAAAAAUAUUAAUUUCAAAUUUUAUCUCAUUUUGGGAUAUUUUUCUCGGUCUCUCAAAUUCAUUGUUUUUCAAAGAAAAAUAUUUCCGAUACUUAGAAAGCUCUUUCAACUUAUCAAAAUCAUGAUUUAUCAUGAACAAUAUUUUUCUAAGUAUUUUGGGAUAAAAACUUUCGUGAAAGAGUCUAAAUGAUUUGACUAAAACACGAACUGUAUCAAUUUUUCAAAUAUCGGUAUUCGUUAAGAAAAUUGAUUUAAAUACUCUAAAAUAUUUCCCCAUAUUCAAAAGUAUUUUAUAUUUAAGGUAAUAUAUUUUAAGUAUUUAAUCAAGUCUUAACUUUGGUCAAAAACUCUCUUCAAAAUCUCAAAAGAAUUUUCAUUCGUUAUUUGGACCCGAAAAACAUUUUAUUCGUUUUAAUUCCAAAUAAAAUACUUCCACUUGUCCAAAUGACUUGAAACUUGAUAUUAGCCAGUUAUAUAUUUUUCUUAGUGCAUGGUUAAAUUUUCAUAAUUUUUCGAGGACUUUCGUUCUGGAGCGUUUUUCUGUCUGUCGUCUCGAUCUUCCACCGAACGUUUGACCAAGCUAGAGUUGACCAAAAAUUACCAAACUUGUCAGGAUACCAUUUUCCAAUAUUAUAAGAUUUAUCAUAUUUUUUCCGGAAUUUAUUGAGCACGUUCCGAAAAUCGUAAUGUUUCAUGUAACGGAAUUUAACCGUUUUCUCGAUAUGCGUGCCAAUCAUCCACAAGCCUUAUCCAUUGAAAUGUGUGCCAAUAAAUGCAGGUCAACUAGACCAUUUAAUGCAUUGGAAAGCAUGGGGGACAAGUAUGACAAGCAUGGGCACAAGUGGGGACCAUGUAACUUUAAUUUGAAUUUAUUCCUUUUUAAUUCAAAUACUUCCACCCAUCUUUGCCUAUAAAUACAAGGCUCCCCCAAUUCAUUCUUCACAAGCUGGCAAGCAACAAAGUGCUGAGAUUUUUCAAGUAGAAGCUCUCUCCAAAUUUAUACAAACACAUUUCUCAUCUACUUCAUCUUUAAAACCUCUGUUCCGCUCGGUAUAUUCGUAUAUUCUCGAGGUUUUAAACACCGAGGCUUUGCUCCACCCAACCAAGCCCCGUACCACUUUGCUUGUUCACAAACCACUCUUUUCGACCUCCCGAAGGGCUGUCCGAAGUUCGUCCAUAAGCCAAAUUCCUACCGAACCUCCGACGAAUUUUUCCGGCGAACUUUUUGCGAAAAUCGUGUAAGUGGUUUCUUUAGCUUCGUCUUAUCCGAGUCUUAACCGACCAAAUUUAAAAGAGCUAUCAAGCCAAAUUUCUCUUCAUCUCAAAGCUCUCUUUUUCUUUAACAAUACAAAAGCACAAGAGUUGGCCGCUCGUAUUAUUUAUAAUAUACCUACGUGUGCGUGUGUAUGUUAUACCCUCUCUAGUUGACGUGAAGAUUCUCAUACGUGCUGAGCUUUCGUGAGAAUAUUUGCUUAAACGAGUUUAGUGGUGGUCCUCACCUUAGUGAGUUGAUUAAUAUAUAUAUAUAUAUAUAUAUAUAUAUAUAUAUAUACACUUUGUUCACACACCACAAAAUACCCGUAGCUUGUCCCACGCGAGAUUCGCUCGGUAUUUCUAAAAUCAACUAUAUAUAUAUUAUAGCGGUGUUAUAAUCGUAAAUUAUUGUGGCCCAAAACUCUAUAUCAUUGUGCAAUUGUUAAAGAUAGUCAAGAACUCACUCUCUUGUGCAAAACGAUAUUUAUAUUUAAACUGGAGUUAUCUUGCAACGAAGUUGUAAAAUAAAACACUUCGUAAUAUUCACUUCGAAGGUUAUCAUACUCGAAGUAUUUCAUAUACUUAGUCAAAGACAAGUAUAUUCGUCCAUAUAGCCAAAAGAGCUUAAAAGGACGUUAUUAUCUACAAACUCCAAGACACUCGAAUAUCAUUCAUUUGAAGGAUUUUGUACUAUAAACGUAUUCUUCGAUUAUAAAGACAAAGCUAUCGAAAAAGAAUACUCUCAAGGUCUUAAGCUUUAUAAAAGCUUAAAGAACACUUGAUCUUUAAUAUUCUAAGACCAAGAAUAUUAUUGAAACACUCGGACUAGUGAAUCUUGUCCAAAACUCUUUUUAUAACCAAGGUUGUCUUUCGUAGAUAUUGUUUUCUAGAUUUUGCAGUGAGGUGAAGUGAAGUGAAGUGAUCUUCGUUCUAAGACCCAAGUCCUAGACGAGCUAACGGGGAGUUAGUCGUCUUCGCACCGUGAGGAAGAGGAAAGACCCAAGACCUAAGAUCCAAAACCCGCUUAAGGCUAGAAGAACAAAGACUACACACUUGAGAGAUACAACGAUUUUGAGGAGGUGACGGGGAGUUACGCUCCAAGACAAGUCUUGUAAUUUACAUUUAUAGUGAGGAGGUAACGGGAAGUUACGCUCCAAGAUAUAUACUUGUAAAGGCUUCUCCGCCUACUGUAAAGGAGUUUCUUUAUAGUAGAGAAAAUCUCGAGUCCGGGGAGGAGCUCGGGGACUGGAGUAGGGGUGAGUGGACUCCAAGGGUUGAGUUAGCCACCGCGAACCAGGAUAAAAUCGCUCGUGUGGUAUUUGUCUUUCUUUCCAUUUACUUCCGCACAUCAUAACUGCUUAAACUCUCGAUACAAGCUUUUAAAAAGGGGAUAAACUUUUUAAAACUAUAUUAUUAUUUUUAAAUUGGCUAUUAAGCUAUUCAACCCCCCCUUCUAGCUUAAUCAUCCCCUAUAUCGGGACCUAACAGUAGACUUUAUUCUCCUGGCCUUUCUAAACAUAUCCCUGAGGUUGCUCGAUGUAAACUUCUUCUUCGAGAUAACCAUUUAGGAAUGCUGACUUCACAUCCAUUUGAAAAAUCUUCCAUUGAUUCUGAGCGGCAAUUGCUGUAAGAAGUCUGAUGGUGUCAACUCGUGCAACUGGAGCAAACACCUCAUCAUAGUCAAUUCCGUAUCUUUGCUUGUAGCCUUUAGCCACCAACCUCGCCUUGUAUUUUUCCACUUCACCAUCUUGAUUUGUCUUUGUCUUAUAGACCCAUUUGACACCAAUUGCUUUGUGUCCUUCUGGAAGAUCUGUGAGCUCCCAAGUAUCAUUCUUCUUAAUUGCACCAAUUUCUUCAUCCAUGGCUUUGUUCCAUUUGCUUUCUUCAGAAGCUUCCUCAAAUGUAACUGGAUCACAUUCAACCAUUAAACAAAAUAGUGAAUAAUCAAAGGUUGUUUGUACCGGACUUGUAGCUUCGUAGAUAUUAUCCAGACUCCGCAUUUUUCUUGGUGCUCCUUCUGAACUUUUGCUUCCACUUGAUUCUGAUUGUGUUGAUGCGGGAGUUGGUCGAUUCGGAGGAGUUUGAUGAUCAUCCUCGUCGCCUCCUAUAUUGGGAUCGUCAUUGCCAUCAUCAUCAUCAUCAUUGAAAAAUAACCCAGCGACUUUUCUUUCCUCCUCGCUCCAUCUCCAAUAAUUUGAUUCAUCAAACUCAACAUCUCGAGAAAUGAUUAAUUUCUUCGUCAGGGGAUUAUAGAGCCUGUACGCCUUGCUCCUCUUGUCAUAUCCGCUAAAGAUGCACUUCUCGCCUUUAUCAUCUAGCUUCUUUCUUUUCUGAUCUGGGACAUGGGCAUAUGCAAUACACCCAAAAAUUCUGAGAUGUCCAACUGAUGGUUUGCUACCACUCCAUGCUUCAUUUGGAGUUUUGUUUCUGACACUUUUUGUGGGACAACGAUUCAACAAAUAAACGGCACAUAAAGCAGCUUCGGCCCAAAAAGUUCUCGGCAAGUGCUUUGCUUUCACCAUGCUCCUUGCCAUGUCUAGAAUAGUGCGAUUCUUUCUUUCUGCAACGCCAUUUUGUUGAGGAGUAUAGGCCGUUGUCAGCUGAUGAUUGAUUCCAUGUGCUCUGCAAAAACUUCUGAACAGAUUAGAAGUAUACUCGCCUCCUCUGUCUGAUCUGAGUACCUUCAAGUAAUGACCACUUUGCUUUUCUACCAGUGCUUUGAACUCCUUGAAUUUAUCAAGAGCCUCCGACUUUUCUUUGAUGAUAUACACCCAGCUUUUCCUGCUAAAAUCAUCAAUAAAUGUUAGGUAAUAUUUAUUACCUCCAAGUGAUGAGAUAUCAAAUGGACCAGCAAUAUCUGUGUGAACAAUCUCCAAUGGCCUCCUGGCUCUCCAUGAUUUUCCAACGGGAAAACUUUGUCGAUGUUGCUUCCCCUUUACACACGCUUGACACAAAUUUUCUGGUUCAUUGAUUUCUGGCAAGCCGUUCACCAUCUUUGUCUUUGACAAUAGUUUCAAGCCAGAAAAUCCAAGAUGACCAUAUCUCAAGUGCCACAACCAUGAGUCAUUAUGUUGUGACAUCCAUCGAGGAGUCAAAAGACCUGCCCACAAUUUCAAUUGAUGAGCUCGUAGGUUCUCUUCAAGCCCACGAGCAGCGAAUGAACCAGUAUGAUGAUGCAAGCCAUUUGGAAAAGGCGUUGUAAAGUAAGGUGUCCGUUGGUGACAGUUCUGGCAGUAGCAGUUCUGCACGUGGCAGAGGUGUCUUUAGAGGUGGCUACCGUGGUGGACGAGGACGAGGAAGACAGUCCUUCAAUAGAGGCCAGAAUUUUGAAGGCUAUCAGCCAUCUGGUCGUGGUCAAAAUUUCAGAGGCCGAGGACGAGGCGGAUAUCAACAAAGAGGUGAUAAGUCUCAAUAUCAGUGCUAUAACUGUAAUAAAUAUGGCCAUUUCAGUUAUGAGUGUAGAGCCCCAAAGGUGGAAUAAAGAAGUCAUUUUGCUGAAGCAAAAGAAGAUAAAGAUGUUGGCUCUGCUAUGUUUCUCACUUAUAAAGAAGAUGAAGGAGGCAAGAAAAAUACAUGGUAUCUUGACUCGGGAGCCAGCAAUCACAUGACUGGCCAUAAAGAAUUAUUCACGGAGAUAGACCACACCAUCAGCGGAGAAGUUACUUUUGGUGACUCGUCAAAAAUUUCGGUCAAAGGAAAAGGUACCGUCACGAUCAUGACAAAGAAAGGUGAAAAGAAAUAUAUAAAUGAUUUUUAUUAUAUUCCUGCGUUGAAAACUAAUAUUAUCAGUCUUGGCCAACUUGUGGAGAAAGGAUAUAAUAUACGGAUGCAGGACAAUUCCCUCGUUAUCAGAAAUCAAGCUCGUUGGAAACGUGUAUGGGCCUCACAAAUAUUUAAACUUGAUUUGAAUAAAAAAGACACACAAUAUAUAUGUGUAGGAGAAUAUUAUAAUAAAGAAGACACACUCUUGUUAAUAAUAAUAAUAAGCUACAGCUUCUUUUUAGUACAUGCAGAGAGAGAGCUACGGCUCUGUUUGUUUUCUCUCAAUUUCUACUCUUUCUUUUUCUGCUGUAUAUUACAAUCUUGCUGGGAGUCCUAUUUAUAGGCUAUAUUGUACGUGUCAUGGCUUCUCUCUAUCUGCUAGCUGCUGCUAUUAAUACUUACGCGUAGCCACCUUAUUUCAUGGGAUGAGUAAAGUACACAUGCAUGCAUUGCCAGCUUCCAUUAUUUCAUUUCAACCUUUCAUACACAUUCUGAUCUCCUUCUUCUUUGUUUCACAUGUGGAUAUUUGAGCCGCCUACCAUUUUUUGCUCCUGUAUAUUUACUGCUAGCAUUAACCAACCUCCUUACUUUGAACAACUGCUACACCAGGUUUCCAGGAAGACUAGCGUAUGAAUACUUGACCAUGCAUGCAUGCCAUCAGACCCAGCUGUUAUUACUUCUUCACCAAUUUCUCCAUUUAAGAAAGCCGUCUUGACGUCAAGAUGAUGCACUUCCCAUGAAUUUUCUGCUGCCAAUGGCAGUAGUAAGCGAACUGUUUCUAAGCGUGUAACUGGUGCAAAGAUCUCGUUGAAAUCAAUUCCCUUUUCUUGCACAUAUCCUUUUGCAACCAAUCGGGCCUUAUGCUUCACAAUGUUCCCAUUUGCGUCCUUUUUUAACUUGAAUAUCCACUUCAAACCAAUUUCUUUCUUGCCUGGCGGCAAGUCAGUGAGUUUCCAAGUUCUGUUUUUCUCAAUUGAAUCCAUUUCAUUCUGCAUAGCUGUUCUCCAGGCCUUCUCUUUUACGGCAUGAACAUACGAAUUUGGCUCAUCAAUUUCCACAAGCAGAAGCUCGUCUUCAAUCUCAAGCUCUUCAGUAUCUCGAUAAACAUUUUCAAGUAAUCUGAAUUUUCUGGGUGUUAUACUUGUUGGAAAUUUGUCAUUUUGAGCACCAAUUUGAGUGAGGCUCGGCUAUGUGCUCGUGGCGGGUUAUGCUUGGAUUAUGUUCUCCUCCGAGAGAGCUUUCCAAUGCAUGUUUAUUCACUCAAAACGACUAAGGAAUGGAUGAGUUAUGAUGAUCCAAAGUUGCUUCCUUGGUAGUGGAAAUUUGGAGAAAAAAACAUGAGUCCCACAUUGAUUCCAUAAAGAGCCUUUAAAGGCUUUAUAUAGCAGAACACUCUUGUAGUGUUUAACUUGUCUUAGUAUGUUAUGCUCCACCACCUACGUGCGCGCAGGGGGGGGUGCAAAUUGUGGGAUUUCGAGGGGAGUUUCGUGGCUUCGCAAGCCUCGGGCUUUUCCGCGUGUACGACCUGCGGACACGAAUGCAGCAAAAUCUGGGCCCGAAGAAUUACGGACUAGUUUUGCUGAAUUUAAUUUUCCACUGGGCUUGGGCUGAUUUGAUUUCGGAUUAAUUGUUUGGUUUUAAAUUAAUUUGAUGGGGAGUUUCGUGGCUUCGNNNNNNNNNNNNNNNNNNNNUAUACACAGCCUCUCACGUCCAAAAACCUUAGCCGCGUCGGUGAUAGUUCUCAGCCUUGUUCUGGUUCGUCGAAGGUGCUUACUGCAUCGUUCAAUCCGUUUUAUCCUGGGAGGCGAUCGUUCAUCACACACGGUGAGGGCGAAAUACGCUUUAAGGAGACAGUUACGCACUGGACUCGGAUUUCUGUUCAUAUAUCCUUCGUUCUAUCCUGCCUCCUUACAUUUACUGUUUUUCUCACGCACACACACACAAACGCACAUAUUGAAUCGUUGGUUUUGCACAGAUUGUUUAACAAUCUUAAAGCGUAUUUUUAUUCUGUUUUACAUCUGUGGUUGAUCUGAUUUGGUUUGUUUGCGUGUUGAUUCACAGUAUAAUGGAGAAUGUUAAUAAUGCUAUCCCCACGAGCGGUACGGCUGUUGAUCCCAACGCACUGGUUAAUCCAGAUGGGGGUCAGACGCAGCAGUCGCAGGCUAACCCCAACGCACUGGUUAAUCCAGAUGGGGGUGUGCCAUCUGCUUCUGGACCUACGCCUGCGGGCUCUGGUUCUGGACCUACACCUGCGGGCUUCGACUUCGGGACUACGCCUCCGGGCUACGGUUCUGGGACUACGCCUCCGGGCUAUGGUCCUGCGGGACAGAUGACCUUUGGUCAGUUCAGUGUUCCACUUACACACUGUCCGGCAGGACAUGUUCCUCAGCCGAUUGGGACUGCUGUGCAUACAGCGCCUGUUGCGCCUGUUGCGCCCUUUGCGCCAGCUGUGCCUCAUGUGCCUACUUCUCACGCUGAAAGGCCAGAAAAGUUCAACGGAACGAACUUCAAACAGUGGCAGCAGAAGAUGUUGUUCUACCUGACCACACUGAAUUUGUCUCGCUAUCUGAGAGAAGAGACACCUAUGCUCACUGCUGAGAGCGAUACGCAGGCGGUGUUUGCCGUUGAUGCAUGGAAGCACUCCGAUUAUAUCUGUCGGAACUAUAUGCUUAAUGGUCUGACUGGCCCGCUGUAUGAUGUGUACAGUUCGAAGGUAACAUCUAAGGACUUAUGGGAAUCACUUGACCGUAAGUAUAAAACCGAAGAUGCCGGUGCCAAGAAGUGGAUUGUUGGACGCUUUCUUGACUACAAGAUGGUGGAUUCCAAGACUGUUGACAGUCAGGUGCAAGAGUUGCAGCUGAUUAUUCAUGAGAUGCAUGCCGAGCGGAUGGGUCUCACGGAAUCUUUCCAAGUUGCUGCUGUGAUAGAGAAGCUGCCUCCUGGAUGGAAAGAUUUUCAGAACUACCUUAAGCAUAAGCGAAAGGAGAUGACUAUGGAGGAUCUGAUUGUUAGACUUUGCAUUGAAGAAAAUAACAGGGGAUCCGGAAAGAAGCCUAUUGCCGGUGAAAAGGCAAAUGUGGUGGAGCAUGCACAAAGCUCCAAGUCCAAGAAGACCAGUUCCGGGAAAGGGGCUAAACUGGCACCCAAAGGAGGAGUUUCGAAGCCUUCGAAGUUCCAAGGAAAGUGCUUCAACUGUGACAAAGUUGGUCAUAGGUCUGCUGACUGUAGGAAGCCUAAGAAGACCAAGAAGAAAGAAGCAAACAUGGUUGAUGAUAUCUCCAAGGAGAUAGGUGAUAUAGACCUCUGUGCUACGGUCUCUGAGGUGAACCUGGUUGGAUCUAAUCCGCGAGAAUGGUGGAUUGAUACAGGAGCAUCUAGGCAUAUUUGCUCCGACAAGGCGACUUUCUCUAGCCUUGUAGCUUCUGAUGCUGGUGAGAAGCUCUACAUGGGAGACUCUGCGACUUCUACCAUUGAAGGGGAAGGCACGGUGAUUCUGAAGAUGACCUCUGGGAAGAAUCUGACUUUGAAGAAUGUACUUUAUGUGCCUGAUAUUCGCAAGAACCUUGUGUCCGGUUCUUUGUUGAGUAAACAUGGCUUUCGCAUUGUAAUAGAGUCAGAUAAAGUUGUUUUGUCUAAGAGUGGUAUGUUUGUAGGCAAGGGCUAUGCUAGUGAUGGGCUGUUUAAGCUCAAUGUAAUGUCCGUUAAGGAAAAUAAUGAAAUGAAGAAUUCUUCUGCUUACUUGCUUGAGUCUCCUAAUUUAUGGCAUGCUAGAUUAGGACAUGUGAAUUAUGACACUUUACGAAGAUUAAGUGCAAAAGAAUACAUACCAAAGCUAACUAUUGAUUCAAAACAUAAGUGUGAAACUUGUGUUGAGGCAAAAUUAACGAGAUCAUCUUUUAAACGUGUGGAAAGAAACACCAAGGUGUUGGACCUAAUACAUAGCGAUAUAUGUGAUUUGAAAUUCGCUCCAACAAGAGGAGGAAAUAAGUAUUUUAUUACAUUCAUAGAUGAUUGUACAAAAUACUCCUAUGUAUAUUUGCUGAAAAGCAAAGAUGAAGCCAUAGAUAAAUUUAAAAUCUACAAGGAAGAAGUCGAGAGACAACAAACUGAGAAAAUCAAAAGGAUUCGUAGCGAUCGUGGAGGUGAAUAUGUUGAACCUUUUGGGGAAUUCUGUUCACAACAUGGUAUAAUCCAUGAGGUCACUGCACCAUACUCCCCUCAGUCAAAUGGAGUGGCUGAGAGGAAGAAUCGCACUCUCAAAGAGAUGAUGAAUGCGAUGUUGCUAAGCUCUGGACUUCCGCAAUCGAUGUGGGGGGAAGCCAUCUUAAGCGCAAAUAAUAUUUUAAAUAUUACUAUGCGCCAGAAUAAGGAUGUGAGUCCUUAUGAAAUGUGGGAGAAAAAGAAACCGAGCUACAAACACCUGAAAGUGUGGGGGUGCCUUGCUAAGGUACUGAUCCCUACACCUAAGAAGGUGAAGAUUGGUCCGAAAACCGUGGAUUGUAUCUUCAUCGGAUAUCCUCCGCGUAGUACAGCAUAUCGGUUUCUUGUGUAUGAUUCUAAGAUUCCUGAGAUUCAAAAGAAUACGAUCAUGGAAUCAAGAAAUGCCUCAUUCUUUGAGACUACGUUUCCUUGUAAUCCAAGAAACGAGCACCCUACGACAUCUAAACGAACUCAUGAAUCUGUAGAUGAUGAAAAUGAGAAUGACGAAAGUGAAGAUGAAAAUGUGGGGGUUGUGAGGAGGAGCAAAAGACAACGAACGGAGAAAUCUUUUGGGUCUGACUUCAUGACCUAUUUGCUCGAAGAAGGAAAACCUAUAAGGAAGCGGUCACCUCACCUGAUGGACCUAUGUGGAAAGAGGCCAUCAAAAGCGAAAUUGAUUCUAUCCUACAGAAUCAUACUUGGGAGUUAGUGGACCUGCCACCUGGUUGUAAAGCACUAGGCAGCAAAUGGGUUUUCAAAAAGAAAUUGAAACCUGACGGAACCAUUGAUAAGUAUAAGGCCAGACUUGUAAUCAAAGGAUACAAGCAGCAGAAAGGCCUUGAUUAUUUUGAUACGUAUUCUCCUGUGACGAGAAUCACGUCCAUAAGGAUGAUGUUUGCAAUCGCUGCGAUGCGAAACUUAACAGUGCAUCAGAUGGAUGUGAAAACAGCUUUUCUAAAUGGGGAUAUAGAUGAGGAAAUCUAUAUGGAACAACCUGAAGGGUUUGCUGUCCCUGGGCAAGAAAGGAAAGUCUGUAAAUUAGUGAAAUCACUAUAUGGCUUGAAGCAAGCGCCUAUGAAAUGGCAUGAGAAAUUUGAUGAAGUCGUGUUAGCACACAACUUCAAGAUCAACGAAUGUGAUAGCUGUGCCUAUUACAAGGAUGACGAGAGCGGUUAUGUCAUGAUGACAUUGUAUGUGGAUGAUCUACUUAUUGCCGGAAGCAAUGAUAAAGUGAUCAAAUCCACAAAGGACAUGUUAAAAUCAAGAUUUGACAUGAAAGACAUGGGACUGGCAAAUGUAAUUCUAGGAAUCCAAAUUUCUAGAACAUCAGAGGGUCUCGCACUAAGUCAACCUCAUUACGUUGACAAGAUCCUUGAGAGGUUUCUUAAGGAUGAUACUGAGAAAGCUAGGACACCUGUGGAUAUGACUUUACAUCUAUCCAAGAAUAAAGGUGAGGGGGUCUCUCAGUUGGAGUACUCUAGGAUAAUUGGAAGUCUGAUGUACUUAAUGAGUUGUACAAGACCAGACAUUGCGUACUCAAUUAGCAAAUUGAGUAGGUUCACGAGUAAUCCUGGAGAUGAUCACUGGAAAGCGAUCAUAAGGGUACUAAGGUACCUAAGGGGAACUCGAGACUAUGGAUUGCACUAUGGCAGAUACCCAGCAGUAUUUGAAGGAUAUACUGACGCAAACUGGAUAUCUAGCAAGAAGGCACUAAAGUCUACGAGUGGCUACGUGUUUACACUAGCUGGAGCAGCAGUAUCAUGGAAAUCCUCCAAGCAAAUGGUUAUAACUCACUCCACUAUGGAAGCUGAGUUCGUGGCUUUAGAUAAAUGCGCUGAAGAGGCUGAAUAUCUACGCCAAUUUCUGGAGGAUAUUCCAAGAUGGCCGAGGCCUGUGACUGCAAUAGGGAUACACUGUGAUAGUCAAUCCGCUAUUGGCAGAGCACAGAGCACAAUGUAUAAUGGAAAGUCCCGUCAUAUACGACGACGACAUAGUUCCAUUAGACAAUUAAUCUCAACCGGAAUUAUCACUAUUGACUAUAUACCGUCAAAGGAUAAUAUUGCGGAUCCGCUAACCAAAGGGUUACCAAGAGAAGUGGUUGAGAAAUCAUCGAGAGGAAUGGGUCUUAAGCCUAUAGCUUAACGGCAUCAUGGUGGACACCCAACCAUUGCUGACUGGAGAUCCCAAGAACUUGGUUCAAUGGGACAACUAAAUCAUGAUGACCUAAUCACUGUGGGGGUAACCCCUGGCCUGUUCCUAUGAUGAAGAAACAGUGAGACCCGUAAGGUACGAGGUUAAGCCAUGAGCUUUUAAUGAUCUUUGGUGAAUACAUGGAGUGGUACACGCAUGGAAUUCAGUUGAGUAAACGCAGGUUACUCUUUAAGAUAAAGAUCACCUAUGUAGGAGAGAAGUGGGGCCGCUUCAAAGGAGAAUUGCGAGGCACAAUUCUUUAGAAACUCCCGCAGAACCAGGACGAUGUUCCAUGGCCAAAAUGGACAUACUCAUGAGAACUGAACAAGUCAGAAAGGAUAUAGUGAUAAGUAUAUCAUCGUUUACACAAACGGUCGAACAGUUCAAGGACAAGCACGUCCACUGUCUACCAGUAAAGUCGAUGUGCUUAAUCGAGCGAAGGUUCAAGGAGCAUUCUCUACCUAUCGUAUGCUAUAUCUGAUCGCAGAAACUAUCACCAAAAGUCAAACCCCGUGUCUGUCUGUCUGGUGUGUGCUACUGAAAAUCAUCAAUCUCACCCAUGUGGGGGAUUGUUGGAAGUUUGUCAUUUUGAGCACCAAUUUGAGUGAGGCUCGGCUACGUGCUCGUGGCGGGUUAUGCUUGGAUUAUGUUCUCCUCCGAGAGAGCUUUCCAAUGCAUGUUUAUUCACUCAAAACGACUAAGGAAUGGAUGAGUUAUGAUGAUCCAAAGUUGCUUCCUUGGUAGUGGAAAUUUGGAGAAAAAAACAUGAGUCCCACAUUGAUUCUAUAAAGAGCCUUUAAAGGCUUUAUAUAGGAGAACACUCUUGUAGUGUUUAACUUGUGUUAGUAUGUUAUGCUCAACCACCUACGUGCGCGCAGGGGGGUGCAAAUUGUGGGAUUUCGAGGGGAGUUUCGUGGCUUCACAAGCCUCGGGCUUUUCCGCGUGUGCGACCUGCGGACACGAAUGCAGCAAAAUCUGGGCCCGAAGAAUUACGGACUAGUUUUGCUGAAUUUAAUUUUCCACUGGGCUUGGGCUGAUUUGAUUUCGGAUUAAUUGUUUGGUUUUAAAUUAAUUCGAUUUGAUUUUGGAUUUAAUUUAUAACCGUGUGAAUUAAUUAACGCGUUUUAAUUAAUUACAAAGCGUAGCGCACAAGUCUUGCAUUGCCUAUAUAUAUUCAUUAUAGUUUAGGAUUUGCAUUCACGAAAUACACACAGCCUCUCACGUCCAAAAACCCUAGCCGCGUCGGUGAUAGUUUUCAGUCCUUGUUCUAGUUCGUCGAAGGUGCUUCUCGCAUCGUCAAUCCGUUUUAUCCUGGGAGGCGAUCGUUCAUCACACACGGUGAGGGCGAAAUACGCUUUAAGGAGACAGUUACGCACUGGACUCGGAUUUCUGUUCAUAUAUCCUUCGUUCUAUCCUGCCUCCUUACGUUUACUGUUUUUCUCACGCACACACACAAACGCACAUAUUGAAUCGUUGGUUUUGCACAGAUUGUUUAACAAUACUAUCAUCAUAAGCAUCUCUGUCAAUACUUGAACUUGAACGGUGCGACUGGGGAGUCCCGAUUUCUGUUUCUUCUGUGGCGCCAGUGACCACUGGUCUGGGGCUUUCAGCAUCAAUACUCUCAACUACAGACACUUUUGGCACAUCAAAGAAAUAAUUCUUGCUGAUAUCUGACUCUCCCUGAUCAUUCCAAUCCCAAGCUCUUUCUUCUUCAAAAAUCACAUCACGGCUAACAUACAAUUUGUGUUAGAAUUUCAAGCUCUCCAGCUAGCAAUAUAUUAAUUAUAACAAAUGGGUUUGAAAUAAACAUGCAGCAAAGGUAAAUGCAGCAGAAUGGAUUCCAGGUCUUCUGGGAUAUAAAUGGAAGCAAGCAGCAAUCUAGUAAAAUACAGCUAGCAGGAUUAAAACAACAGAUGUACGUGCAUGGGAAAAUUAAACCAUAAUAUAUAUAUACGGAUAUAUAAGAAUGAAGGAGAAGUAAUUGAAGCAGCUUGUGGAAGUCAAGAACGACAACUGGUCAUAUGUUGCAUCCAGGAUAUAUGGUAGGCUAUCAGCAUGCAAGGUGGUAAAAGCGUGUGUAAUAAAUUACUGUGAGAUGCAGCAGCUCUCUCUGGUCUUUGUUCAAAGUCUAAAAUUAAGGUGGCUAUACGCGUAUGUAUUAAGAGCAGCAGCUAGCAAAUUGAGAUAAGCAACGACACGUACAAUAUAGCCUAUAAAUAGGACACCCAGCAAGAUUGUAAUACACACCGAGUGAAAAUAUAGAGUGAGAAAAUCAGUAGAGAGAAUACAGAGAGAUGAAGCUCUAUAUCUGUGAGUGAAAAGAGAAAAGGCUGUAGCCUAUGUAAGGAAAAGCUGUAGCUGUCUUAACAAUAUAUAUAUAAGCGUGCUUUGUUUGUUUGUUUUAAUAUCAAGUUUACCUAAUACAGUACACACCAUACACACACACUGUGUUUUGAGAUAAAGAAUUCGAGGUAAGCCCAUUCACGUUUCCAACAAGUGGGAUCAGAGCCGAGGUUUCGUUCGAGAAAAAAUAAUGGUAAGUUUCCUCGAAGCCCAAGUUCCAAUGUUGACGGGCACAAAUUAUGGAGACUGGAGUAUCCAAAUGAAGGAAUUACUCGGUUUCUAUGAUAUUUGGGAUAUUGUCGAAAGUGGGUAUAAUGAGCUCACAAAAGCUGCUGAAGUAGCUCUGUCAGAAGCCGAGAAGACGACAUUAAAUGGGUGCAGGAGCAAAAAUAACAAGGCAUGUUUCAUGAUUUAUCAAGGUGUUGACGAAUCCACCUUUGAUGAUAUUGCACAUGAAAAAAAAAGCAAAAGACGCCUGGGAGAUUCUGCAGAAAUCAUUCCAAGGAGUCAACAAAGAAGACGAGGUGCAGCCUCAAGUAUUGCAUGAUGAGUUCAAAAAUAUGAAAAUGGAAAAUUGUGAAAAUAUUGGCGAAAAUGUUACGCGUUUGAAAACGGUGACAAGUGAGAUAAAAGGAAAUGGUGAAAGUCUUGAUGAUGUUCAAGUCAUGGAAAAGCUCCUUCCUCCAUUGACAACAAAAUUUGAUUGUAUCGUUACAUUUACAGGGAAGACAAAGGAGUACUACUCCUCCAGAAUUUCAAGUGAUAAGCUUGGAGAUUCUUUUCUGGACCACAAGCAAAGAAUGACUCAAUAUGAUGAUAAGAAUCAACUGGAGGAAAUACUAGAAACUAAGGAGUCCAGACAUUACAAUUCAUGCAGAAGCGGCUUUCUAUGUAGAAAAGGUGGUUAUCGAGGUGGACGUGAAUGUUGAAAGAAACUGUCUGAGAGACGCCAGAAAAAUGAAGGUCACCAAUCGUGUGGUCGUGGUAAAAAUUUUAAAGGCCACAAGAAGAGAUACAAAAUUUUUAUAUGGCCUGACAAAUAUUAUCAUGAAGCUGAUAAGGUAGCAUAUAUUUCCAAAAAAUGAGAAAGAAGCUCGGAUAGAAAUACGAGUUUGAGGGGGAGUGUUAUAAUUCAAACUCGUAUUAAUUAUAAUAACUAGGUGAUCCUGAAAUUAUGGUAGGCUGCAAGAAUAUAUGCAGAAUAAAUGGUUGGCUAUUAAGUGAGUUAUGGAGUUCAGCUUGUGUGUACCGGAUAACAUGGAAGACCAUAUUAGCAGCUGAUAUUAAUGAAAAUGUUAGCCUGUUAAGAAAGUAGGACUUAAGUCAUAAAUAAUAGCUGGGUGUUUAUAAGAUGUAUAGAUGUAGUAGUAUCAAGGGAAGAAAAUAAAGGAGCUGGUUACAAUGAAGACUUGAAUGUAUGGACUGUUAUAUGGGAGAGAUCAAAGAAAGAAACAUAGCUCCUGGAUAUAAGGUGGGCUCUCUUUAACACAGGCUGGUGACAAUCUGCAGCAUUCUCCAGGUCAAAGAUGGCAGGCUGAUAAAAGUCUAGAGCAGCAAUAAAUAUGUGCUACAAGUUGUAAUCUGUAACCUAUAUAUAAGGCUGCUAGAGGAAGAAGAAAUAACACACACUGAGAGAAACUACAACAGCAGUUGUAGAGAGAAAUUUAGAAGAGCUGAAGCUCUGAGUGAAAAGGCCGUGUGCCAUCUCUGUGUGUAACAAGAAAGGCUGAAGCCUAGCUAGUGUGUGUAAGAAAAUUAUAAGUAUUGUAGCUGCGUGUUACAUUAAUAUACAAGUUGUGGUUUGCACAUCUGAUUAUUAUCGAAGUUUUUGGUUGUAAGGCCCAUCACGUUUCCAACAAUUUGUUUGUUCUAGGAUCGAGCAAGCGAUAAGCCUUAGUGCCGGGUUCUUUGCCAAGAUUGACUACCAUCAAGCUUCUAUCAUCAAGUUUUUUUUCAUUAUCACCUCGUACUUUCAUGUAAACAACACACCCAAAUACUCGGAUAUGUCCGAUAUCUGGUUUAUACCCCAUCCAUGCUUCAUAUGGAGUUUGCCCCGACAAAGCUCGGGUGGGUAACCUAUUGAGAACAUAAACAGCAUGCCUUAUUGCCUCUGCCCACAUCACAGAUGGCAUCUUCAUUUGCUUCAAAUAGCUCCUCCCCAUCUCAACCACAGUUCGAUUUCUCCUUUCCACCACGCCGUUUUGUUGGGGCGUGUAUGGUGCCGUAAAGUCUCUGGUAAUUCCAUGAUCUUCACAAUAAGAAACGAACUCCUUUGACAUGAAUUCCCCUCCCCUGUCAGUCCUAAAGGUUCCAAUCCUUCCUUUCUGUCCCUUCUCGACUUGGGCUCGGAAUUUCUUGAAAACAUCGAAUGCAUCACUCUUAUUUUUUAACAUAUACACCCACAUAAUUCGAGUGUAGUCAUCAACCAACAGAAAAAAAAUAACGGUUUCCAGCUAGAGUUGUGGGUGUGAUUGGCCCACACAAGUCUCAAUGAAUGAGUUCUAGUGCAUGACUAGCUUUGAAAUUUGACUGAUAAGGGAAGGAUUUUCUUACUUGUUUAGCCAUCAAGCAUCCACUACAAAUUCCCUUUGGUUGUGCGAUAUCAGGCAUCCCUUUUACCAUCUUCUUUUUUGACAUCAACUCCAUGGCCUGGAAGUUUACAUGCCCGAGACGUGUGUGCCAGAGCCAAGAUACAUCUUCAGAUUUUGAAAGCAUACAAACAUUGUCACAUGGCUCGAUGAGAAUUCUGUAAAGUCUGUUGUUCGACCUGGGCACCUUCAUUAGUAAUUUCUCAUGAUUAUCAUAUACUCGAAGCAAAUUUCCACUGAUCACAAUCUUAUUACCUCCUUCAGAGAGCUGACCAAGGCUAAUGAUGUUAUUACACAAGGUUGGAAUGUAAUAAACAUCAUAAAGGGUUCUUUCUUCCCCGUUCUUGCAUCUGAACUUUAUUGUCCCCUUUCCUUCAAUUUUGAUUGUUGACCCAUCUCCAAAUCUCACAUUUCCGCUGAUUUCUUCGUUCAAAACAUUGAAUUUUGAUUUGUCGCCUGUCAUAUGGUUGCUCGCGCCAUUAUCCAAGUACCAUAUAUUUGAUUCUCCUACUUUCUCGUGACCAGAAGCCACUAGCUUUGGCUUCACCUCUUCGUUGUUCAACAAAACCAGAUUUUUUUUCAGUUUUCUCGAGUUUUGCCAACAAUAAGGCUGGCUCAUCGUCCUCAAUUGUUGCAAUAUUCACCUCCUGUUUCAAUUCUCUUGCUCGACGCGGUUUUCUGCACUCCGCCGCAUAGUGCCCCAGUAUGCCACAGUUGAAACACCUCACCUGACUUUUGUCACGAUUCCCACGUCCCUUCUGUCCUGAAGCUCCACUCGAAACCCCUCGACUCGACUUUUUCAACCAUUCUUCACGUGUAAGAAACAGUUUUUCGCCCUCAUUGUCUCUCUUUCGCCAUUCUUCCUCUGUCAACAUUAGCUGCAUGUCAUUAGUAGUAACCGUACCUUUUACUCUUUCUUCAUGAGCUUUCAGUGCUCCGAUUGCUUCCUCAAUUGACAUGGUAUCCAAGUUUCCAAAUUGUUCAAGAGUAGAAGCGAUUUGAAGAAACUUUGGUGGAACAGCACGUAAUAGGUUCUUCACCACAUAUGAUUCUGCCACUGCUUCUCCAAGUGCCCGUAUGUUUGACACUAUGCCAUUGAUUUUCAUGUAGAAAUCAUCAAGUUGAUCUGUAUCCUUCAUGCUUAAUGCCUCGAAUUCAGCCUUCAAUGUCUGAACUUUCGCCUUCUUCACUUUGUCCGCACCUUGACUCAUGGUUUUGAUCGCCUCCCAGGCGUCUUUUGCCGUUUUCUUCUCAGCAAUUGACAACAAGAACUCCUCAGGAAUGCCCUGAUAGAUCAUAGCCAAUGCGAUCUUGUCUGUCUUUCCUUCAACAACGACCUUGGGAUCACUACUCUCAACAGCAUCCCACACUCCAUGUGCCUGCAUAAAUACUCUCAUUUUCAAGGACCACGCCGUAUAGUUCCCUUUUGUUAGAGUCGGGUAACUAAGGCCAACUGAACCUUUGAGUUUAUCCAUCCCAGUCUUUGACAUACACUCGAUCACCUGCCUAGGCUCUGAUACCAAAUAUAGUUAUAUAAUCGUAUAGUUAUGUUAACCACUAUGAGAUAAAACUGAACAAACAAGGCAAGUAUUUUGUGUCAAAAGACAACUGCUUCAUACCAGUACUGAAUACAAAGAUUAAUAGUAAAACCUACUGCUGAAAACUGCUAGCUAGAAAACAGGAAACAAUAACUCCUACUCAAGCACGAUGCAAACAAAUAACUACUACGAAAAAAAAAACUAACUCUACCACCCACUAAACUUAUUUAAUCAGCUCCUAUAAAAUCUCUACGACUAGCAUGUUUGAAAUUAUUACCAACAAAAUUAUUGGGGCGUGUCUGUAAUUUUAAAUCAAUUAAUUUUUACUUUAUAUAAAGUUAAAAUAAUUUGUAUAAAUAAAAUGAACUUAAAAUACAAAUUUUAACAAGAAAUAUACUAAUUGCAAACUCUUUUCGAAUAUCUUGUAAAAAAAAAAAACACGUCCAAAAUAUUAUUUAUAGAUUUGGGCCUUUAUUGGCCAGGCUGUGCCGUCUCAGCCACCUCUGAUUGUGCAACUAUAAUUGUAUAUUAAGCAUCCACUUCCGAAGUACACAUAUACAUUUAUGCAAAUACUAUUAUAUAUUUAUAUUUACUGCAAGAACUAUAUCAGUUUAGCAACACAAAUAAACAAAAGAAAAAUCACAAAGUGAGGGUAGUGGUGAGUGGGUGUCAACCCAACUCCCGCAUCGUAAAGAUAAAACAGAUUUGUCUUCAAAAUAAGUAUCCAAACUAGUCCAUUAGCAUGAGUUCUUUUGAUACGAGAAGCCAAAAACAAAUCCGUGCAUGUGGGCUCCGCCACGACUAGAGCCAAUAAUAUCAGACUAACGAGAGCGGGGUACUUAUCACAAAACAUUAAGUGGUUGUGUUCCUUUUCAAUUUUGUUGGCUGGCCAUGAAUAAAAUCGAGGAAUUUAUUCUUUUAAAAUUCAUUUAAAUUUAUAAAAUAUGAACUAAAAAUUGAUCUUUUUCAAUUCCUACGAGUUUUAAGUAUAUGAAAUUUAUGUAUCAUAAUAUUCUAUAUUAUAAUAAAAUGUUAUAUUGUGUAGGCAAAUAAUUAAUGAUAUAUAGUAAUGGGAAAAAUGGUUCCUACUGUCCUCUCCGCAUAUAUAUAGACACACACACACACAUAUAUAUAUAUAUAUAUAUAUAUAUAUAUAUAUAUAUAUAUAUAUAUAUAUAUAUGCUUUGGAUCUAUUUAGAAAUAAAUUCCUAAUUAAAUUUGGUUGGAAGUUGGAACAUUCUACAUGCCCAUGCUUACAAAGAUGUAUAAAAGAUAUAUGAAAUUCGUAUACAUCUUAGAAAAUGGACCUAGCACAUCAAUAAUCAAAUGUGUAAAGUAAAGAAGGGGUGCAAAUCAUCUUAGCACAAUAAUACUUUAAUUUCUCCUCUUGUUUGUCUUGCACAACCUUUCCAUGAAAUCGACACCCUCACCUAAGGUUGCCGUCUUUCCUACUUUGAAAUUCCACAACUCGGGAACGGGAUAUCUUCCACUUGAAUUGUAAUCGUUUAAUUCUGUUAGUGCGGUCACCACCGAGUUAUACACUUCAUCACCCCACUCACUCUUUAUGAUCAUGAGGCUUUCAUCUUCGUCAUUGAUAACUCUCCAACAUGUCACAUGAAAUCAAAACAUACAAUACGGAAAUAGAGAGAGAGAUCGUGAGCAAGGAAAAGAGAAUAGAGUGAUCUAGAAACUCUCCCGUUACAAACUACUAAAAUGUCAGGGAGAAUACAAGUCAUUAAUCACAAUGAUGAGUGACUUUAAAAAGAUAUGGCCUGCGUAAAAGGGAGAAGCUAUGACUUUCGAGUUGACAAGUAAAUUUAUCUACAGAAUGCUUACCUUGCUAUCUUCACCAAAUGUUAUGACCUUAAAGGGGUACCAGUUUGGAUCCCGAAGUUUCUCCUCUAGCAGGGAUGAAAAUUCCAUUGCUUUCAAUUCAAUUUCGGCAGGAGGAUACUUUAUCUUUGCAGCAGAAAUUAUGGGUUUGAGGUUAAGGUCUCCCAUCAGCUUGACACCAGUAUAGGCCCUCAUGCUAGUCCGCCUAUCCUUCAAAGCCUAUUGAAACAAUAAAGUGAUCACCUUUGGUGGACACUAUCAAAACAAUACAUAUUUUUCAGUUCCUAUUUUCCCGAACUAGAAAUUGCAGACAUUUGCUUAUAUAUAAUUGUUAUCAACAAAAGAUAAUUGCUAUCGAGUGUGCAUGGUUUGUAGUAUAGGGAGAGUCAGGUUAUCAUGAAUGACUUGGCUAAAGUAUGCAGGCUGAACUUUUAUGGCCUUGAAUGGCUCAUAAUUUAUGCAAGUAGAUAUUCAUAACAAAAGAUAUUAAAUAUUUCAGUUCAUUUUCCAAUAAUAUUUCUGCUAGAUUCGGGAUCUUUUAUAUGUUGACAAUCAAAUUAGAUACAAAGAUUAAUAGUAAAACCUACUGCUGAAAACUGCUAGCUAGAAAACAGGAAACAAUAACUCCUACUCAAGCACGAUGCAAACAAAUAACUUCUACGAAAAAAAACUAACUCUACCACCCACUAAACUUAUUUAAUCAGCUCCUAUAAAAUCUCUACGACUAACAUGUUUGAAAUUAUUACCAACAAAAUUAUUGGGGCACACAUACUCACCAUUAUUAUUUGGUCUCAUUACACCAAUAUAACCAGCACCAACCCCAGCAUUAGCAGCCACAACACCUGCAUCACCAGCACCAACAACACCACAAAGCACACCAUCACCCUGCGAUCCUCUUUCCAAGUUGUGCUGCAUUUUAAUCUGUGCAUGCCAUAACAUUGGCCUGGUACCUCAGUUAUCCAGGUAAAAUUAUUGGGGUGUGUACAAAUUUCAAAUCAAUUAAUUUUUACUUUAUAUAUAAACUUAAAACAAUUGUAUAAAUAAAAUAAACUUAAAAUACAAAUUGUAACAACAAAUAUACUAUUUGAAAACUCUUUUUGAAUAUUUGAUAAAAAAAACAACACGUCCAUCCUAUUAUUUGUAAAUUUGGGCCCUUAUUGGCCGGGCGCGGUCUCCGCCCCCAUCUAUUGUGCAGCUAUAAUUGUAUAUAUAUUUAAGCAUCCACUUCCGAAAUACACAUAUACAUUUAUGAAACAACUAUCAUAUAUUAUUAUUUACUGCAAGAAUUAUAUCAGUUUAGCAACACAAAUAAACAAAAGAAAAAUCACAAAGUGAGGGUUGUGUUGAGUAGGUGUCAACCCAAGUCCCACAUCUUAAAGAUAAAGCAGGCUAUCACGUGAGCUCGUGGGUUUACCCAGUGCGCACCCGAAGGGUAGCGGUUGCGGGUUCCUACGUUAAAAAAAAAAAGAUAAAGCAGAUUUAUCUUCAAAAUAAGUAGCCAAACAAGUCCAUUAGCAUGAGUUCUUUUGAUACGCGGAGCCAAAAACAAAUACGUGCAUGGACCUCCGUCACGGCUAGAGCCAAUAAUAUCAUACUAAUGAGGCCGCCCGGCUAAGGUACUUAUCACAAAACAUUAAGUGGUUCGGCCUCUUUUCAAUUUUGUUGGCCGGCCAUGAAUAAAAUCGAGGAAUUUUAUUCAUUCAAAAUUAUAAAAUAUGCACUAAAAAUUGAUCUUUUUCAAUUCCUACAAGUUUUAAGUAUAUGAAAUUUAUGUAUCAUAAUAUUCUAUAUUAUAAAAAAAUGUUAUAUUGUGUAGGCAAAUAAUUAAUGAUAUAUAGUAAUGGGAAAAAUGGUUCCUGCUGUCGUCUCCGCAUAUAUAUAGAUAUACACACACAUAUAUAUAUAUCCGCGUUGGAUUUAUUUAGGAAUAAAUUCCUCCACAUCCUCACCAUUAUUAUUUGAUCUCAUUACACCAAUAUAACCAGGAGCANGCGUGUAUGUAAUUUUAAAUCAAUUAAUUUUUACUUUAUAUAAAGUUAAAAUAAUUUGUAUAAAUAAAAUGAACUUAAAAUACAAAUUGUAACAAGAAAUAUACUAAUUGCAAACUCUUUUUGAAUAUCUUGUAAAAAAAACAACACGUCCAAAAUAUUAUUUAUAGAUUUGGGCCUUUAUUGGCCAGGCUGUGCGGUCUCAGCCCCCUAUGAUUGUGCAGCUAUAAUUGUAUAUUAAGCAUCCACUUCCCAAGUACACAUAUACAUUUAUGCAAAUACUAUUAUAUAUUUAUAUUUACUGCAAGAACUAUAUCAGUUUAGCAACACAAAUAAACAAAAGAAAAAUCACAAAGUGAGGGUAGUGGUGAGUGGGUGUCAACCCAACUCCCGCAUCGUAAAGAUAAAACAGAUUUGUCUUCAAAAUAAGUAUCCAAACUAGUCCAUUAGCAUGAGUUCUUUUGAUACGAGAAGCCAAAAACAAAUCCGUGCAUGUGGGCUCCGCCACGGCUAGAGCCAAUGAUAUCAGACGAGGGCGGCUGUCAGGUACUUAUCACAAAACAUUAAGUGGUUGUGUCUCUUUUCAAUUUUGUUGGCCGGCCAUGAAUAAAAUCGAGGAAUUUAUUCUUUUAAAAUUCAUUCAAAAUUAUAAAAUAUGAACUAAAAAUUGAUCUUUUUCAAUUCCUACAAGUUUUAAGUAUAUGAAAUUUAUGCAUCAUAAUAUUCUAUAUUAAAAUAAAAUGUUAUAUUGUGUAGGCAAAUAAUUAAUGAUAUAUAGUAAUGUGAAAAAUGGUUCCUGCCGUCCUCUCCGCAUAUAUAUAGACAUACACACAUAUAUAUCCGCUUUGGAUUUAUUUAGGAAUAAAUUCCCUAAUUUGGUUGGAAGUUGAACAUUCUACAUGCUCAUGCUUAUAAAGAUGUAUAAAAAGAUAUAUGAAAUUCGUAUACAACAUAGAAAAAUGGUCCUAACACAUCGACAAUCAAACGGGUAAAGUAAAGAAGGGGUGCAAAUCAUUAGUACAAGAAUACUUUAAUUUCUCUUCCUCUUGUUUGUCUUGCACAACCUUUCCAUGAAAUCGACACCCUCACCUAAGGUUGCCUUCUUUCCUUCUUUGAAAUUCCACAACUCGGGAACGGGAUAUCUUCCACUUGAAUUGUACUCGUUUAAUUCUGUUAGUGCCUUCACCACCGAGUUAUACACUUCAUCACCCCACUCACUCUUUAUGAUCACCAGGCUUUCAUCUUCGUCAUUGAUAACUCUCUAACAUGUCACAUGAAAUCAAAACAUACAAUAAGGAAAUAGAGAGAGAGAGAGAGAGAGAGAGAGAGAGAGAGAGAGAGAUCGUGAGCAAGGAAACGAGAAUAUAUAGAGUGGUCUAGAAACUGUCCGGUUACAAACUACUACAAUGUCAGGGAGAAUACAAGUCAUUAAUCACAGUGAUGCAUGAGUGACUGUAAAAAGAUAUGGUCUGCGUAAAAGGGAGAAGCUAUGAAUUUCGAGUUGACAAGUAAAUUUAUCUAGAGAAUGCUUACCUUGCUAUCUUUACCAAAUGUUAUGACCUUAAAGGGGUACCAGUUUGGAUCCCGAAGUUUCUCCUCUAGCAGGGAUGAAAAUUCCAUUGCUUUCAAUUCAACUUCGGCAGGAGGAUACUUUUUCUUUGCAGCAGCAAAUAUGGGUUUGAGGUUAAGAUCUCCCAUCAGCUUGACACCAGUAUAGGCCCUCAUGUUAGUCCGCCUAUCCUUCAAAACCUAUUGAAACAAUAAAAUGAUCACCUUUGGUGGACACUAUCAAAACAAUACAUAUUUUUCAGUUCCUAUUUUCCCGAACUAGAAAUUGCAGACAUUUGCUUAUAUAUAAUUGUUAUCAACAAAAGAUAAUUGCUAUCGAGUGUGCAUGGUUUGUAGUAUAGGGAGAGUCAGGUUAUCAUGAAUGACUUGGCUAAAGUAUGCAGGCUGAACUUUUACGGCCUUGAAUGGCUCAUAAUUUACGCAAAUAGAUAUUCAUAACAAAAGAGAUUAAAUAUUUCAGUUCAUUUUCCUAUGUGUGGACAAUGAAAUUAUUACUCGAGCAAGACAUGUAAAGAAAACUCAGAUUCAUUGACAGUGAAGUCCAUAUUAAAAUGUAAGACAACCAAACAACUCACAUUUAUUAGCUUUUUUCGAGCAUCUUCUAACUGGUCAUUGUUGUUCCUCUCCUUUACAAGUAGAGCUUGAUAUGAAUCUUGAAGGCUUUCAAAAUCUUCAUCCUUCUCCUUCAGUUUUUCUUCCGUCUCCUUCAGUUUUUCUUCCAAGGACUCCAUCUUUUUCUUCAUUUCCUCCACAUCCUCACCAUGAUUAUUUGGUCUCAAUACACUAUCAACAGCAGCACCCCCACCAUUAGCAGCCACAACACCUGCAUCACCAGCACUAACAACACCACCAAGCACACCAUCACCCUGCGGUCCUCUUUCCGAGUUGUGCUCCAUUUUAAUCUGUGCAUGCCAUAACAUUAAGCUGGUACCUCAGUUAUCCAGGUAAAAUUAUUGGGGUGUGUAUGAAAUUUCAAAUCAAUUAAUUUUUACUUUAUAUAAAAUUAAACUAAUUUGUAUAAAUAAAAUGAACUUAAAAUACAAAUAAUAACAAGAAAUAUACUAAUUGUAAACUCCUUUUGAAUAUCUUGUAAAAAAAACAACACAGCAUAUUGUUUAUAAAUUUGGGCCCUUAUUGGCCCGGGAUCUCAGCCCCCUCUGAUAGUGCAGUGAUAAUUGUAUAUAUAGUUAAGCAUCCACGUCCCAAAUACAGAUGUACAUUUGAUUAUGCAAAUACUAUUAUAUAUUUAUAUUUACCGCAAGAACUAUAUCAGUUUAUAGCAAGACAAAUAAACAAAAGAAAAAUCACAAAUUAGUAAGAUGAAAUAUAACAAGAAAGCUACUGAAGGAGUGAAUUUAUGUUGAGCAAAAUAGCUUCAUCUCUACAUCAAAGCGCAUAUAUUUUUAAGUUUUAUUCAAACAAAUGAAGAGAAGUACCAUUAUUUCAUAUAACAUAUAAUACAUAAAUUUUUAAAUUUUAUCCACAUAAAUGAAGAGAAAUAUUAAAAUUUCUUACAACAUAUAUGAUACAUAGAAAAACUCACGUAUAUACGUCGGAAAUAGCCGCUCUUGUAGUAGUGUAUGUUUCACUUCACCCUUAAGAAGUAUUCAAAUAUCCAAAAUGAUAUAACUUACAAAAUGGAAGGGAGAGAGAGAGAGAGAGAGAGAGAGAAAACAAAAAUCAAGCUUGCAAUCUGAAAAUGGAGGUGUCAAAACCAAAUGAUAACAAUGAUUUACAUGCUCCAAUAUAAAGGCGUGUAGAAAGAAUAAAAUAUACUAUAGAAUCUUAAAUUUAGGUGUAAUAUCUUUACUUUUAUUAAUUAUUAUAAGAUAUGUAUUGUAUUGAUCUUUGUUGUGACCUUUUGCAAACAUAUAUUCUUAAAUUUUGCAUAUGUGAUUACAUUUAUGUCUUUUAUAUGUUUUUAAAUUUAUAAAAUUAAUAUUUAUCUCAUUUCAAAUUUCCAGAAUUUUAAAUAAAAUUUUUACAAAAAAUAAAUAUUUAUUAAUACUGAAAUCUUAGUGGCUAAUUACAUGCAUUUUUUCAUACUAUUAAAGUAUAUGAGAUAAUAGUACCAUAUAUUAAUUCUUUAUAAAAUAGUAAAAAUAAUAUUUUUUCCGCGCCACUAAAUUAUUAAUUAUUGUGGUAUUGAAAAGUGGAUGAAAUGAAAGGAACAGGUAAAUUUGUAUUAUAAUGUUUACAAAUUUUUUUUCAAAAUUUGAAAUGUAAGAAAUUGAGAAAUUAAGAAUUAAGAAUUAAAAAUAUAGUUGGAACAAAGGAAAUAGUAACACAUAUAAAAACAAGUCUACAUAUAUAAAAUUAUAUAUUCUACUGUCAUAUAUUUUUAAGUUAUAUUGUGUAAAUAAUAUUAGUCAAGCAUUGGUUGUUGGUAUAUUUGAUACAAGAAGGUAUGUUUUAGUUUUUAUCUCAUUAACUCGUGUUGAAAUACAUGCAAAUAUUGAUACUUUUACAGGGGUGUAUUGAAUUGGGAUUUUGAAGGAUNNNNNNNNNNNNNNNNNNNNNNNNNNNNNNNNNNNNNNNNNNNNNNNNNNNNNNNNNNNNNNNNNNNNNNNNNNNNNNNNNNNNNNNNNNNNNNNNNNNNNNNNNNNNNNNNNNNNNNNNNNNNNNNNNNNNNNNNNNNNNNNNNNNNNNNNNNNNNNNNNNNNNNNNNNNNNNNNNNNNNNNNNNNNNNNNNNNNNNNNNNNNNNNNNNNNNNNNNNNNNNNNNNNNNNNNNNNNNNNNNNNNNNNNNNNNNNNNNNNNNNNNNNNNNNNNNNNNNNNNNNNNNNNNNNNNNNNNNNNNNNNNNNNNNNNNNNNNNNNNNNNNNNNNNNNNNNNNNNNNNNNNNNNNNNNNNNNNNNNNNNNNNNNNNNNNNNNNNNNNNNNNNNNNNNNNNNNNNNNNNNNNNNNNNNNNNNNNNNNNNNNNNNNNNNNNNNNNNNNNNNNNNNNNNNNNNNNNNNNNNNNNNNNNNNNNNNNNNNNNNNNNNNNNNNNNNNNNNNNNNNNNNNNNNNNNNNNNNNNNNNNNNNNNNNNNNNNNNNNNNNNNNNNNNNNNNNNNNNNNNNNNNNNNNNNNNNNNNNNNNNNNNNNNNNNNNNNNNNNNNNNNNNNNNNNNNNNNNNNNNNNNNNNNNNNNNNNNNNNNNNNNNNNNNNNNNNNNNNNNNNNNNNNNNNNNNNNNNNNNNNNNNNNNNNNNNNNNNNNNNNNNNNNNNNNNNNNNNNNNNNNNNNNNNNNNNNNNNNNNNNNNNNNNNNNNNNNNNNNNNNNNNNNNNNNNNNNNNNNNNNNNNNNNNNNNNNNNNNNNNNNNNNNNNNNNNNNNNNNNNNNNNNNNNNNNNNNNNNNNNNNNNNNNNNNNNNNNNNNNNNNNNNNNNNNNNNNNNNNNNNNNNNNNNNNNNNNNNNNNNNNNNNNNNNNNNNNNNNNNNNNNNNNNNNNNNNNNNNNNNNNNNNNNNNNNNNNNNNNNNNNNNNNNNNNNNNNNNNNNNNNNNNNNNNNNNNNNNNNNNNNNNNNNNNNNNNNNNNNNNNNNNNNNNNNNNNNNNNNNNNNNNNNNNNNNNNNNNNNNNNNNNNNNNNNNNNNNNNNNNNNNNNNNNNNNNNNNNNNNNNNNNNNNNNNNNNNNNNNNNNNNNNNNNNNNNNNNNNNNNNNNNNNNNNNNNNNNNNNNNNNNNNNNNNNNNNNNNNNNNNNNNNNNNNNNNNNNNNNNNNNNNNNNNNNNNNNNNNNNNNNNNNNNNNNNNNNNNNNNNNNNNNNNNNNNNNNNNNNNNNNNNNNNNNNNNNNNNNNNNNNNNNNNNNNNNNNNNNNNNNNNNNNNNNNNNNNNNNNNNNNNNNNNNNNNNNNNNNNNNNNNNNNNNNNNNNNNNNNNNNNNNNNNNNNNNNNNNNNNNNNNNNNNNNNNNNNNNNNNNNNNNNNNNNNNNNNNNNNNNNNNNNNNNNNNNNNNNNNNNNNNNNNNNNNNNNNNNNNNNNNNNNNNNNNNNNNNNNNNNNNNNNNNNNNNNNNNNNNNNNNNNNNNNNNNNNNNNNNNNNNNNNNNNNNNNNNNNNNNNNNNNNNNNNNNNNNNNNNNNNNNNNNNNNNNNNNNNNNNNNNNNNNNNNNNNNNNNNNNNNNNNNNNNNNNNNNNNNNNNNNNNNNNNNNNNNNNNNNNNNNNNNNNNNNNNNNNNNNNNNNNNNNNNNNNNNNNNNNNNNNNNNNNNNNNNNNNNNNNNNNNNNNNNNNNNNNNNNNNNNNNNNNNNNNNNNNNNNNNNNNNNNNNNNNNNNNNNNNNNNNNNNNNNNNNNNNNNNNNNNNNNNNNNNNNNNNNNNNNNNNNNNNNNNNNNNNNNNNNNNNNNNNNNNNNNNNNNNNNNNNNNNNNNNNNNNNNNNNNNNNNNNNNNNNNNNNNNNNNNNNNNNNNNNNNNNNNNNNNNNNNNNNNNNNNNNNNNNNNNNNNNNNNNNNNNNNNNNNNNNNNNNNNNNNNNNNNNNNNNNNNNNNNNNNNNNNNNNNNNNNNNNNNNNNNNNNNNNNNNNNNNNNNNNNNNNNNNNNNNNNNNNNNNNNNNNNNNNNNNNNNNNNNNCCCGAAUUACACCCCUACAAAUCGUUUAACACAUAGAAUAUUAAAAUUCUUUAAUCUAAAAAUAUUACAAUGAUAUCUCGAACAAUCCAAUCUACUUCAGUUGUGAACAUUGACCUUCACAUAAGCACAAUUUGUAGCCCAAUGUUCAUAAAUAUCAGUUAAUCAACUCAUAUUGGAGCAACAAUUGCCCCCAAGAUAUGAACAAUUUUUUGUUGUGAAAUGUGAGCCCUUGCGAGAAUCACUACCGUUCCAUAUUUGAUUCAAGCUUUACGAAUUAGCCAAAUUAUCAUGUAAGUCCUUAUUAGAAAUAUUACCGAAAUCCAUAACAAGACUCACAAAAAUAUCAUAACAUAAAACAACAUCCAAAAAAAGGGCAUGAUCAACAACCUUUGAUAACAAGCACGAACUUAAUAAGAACUCACCCAAAAAGAAUCAGAUUUUGAUUUAUUAAAACAUUGCUAAAUAUGAGAGAUGAUGGAAGAUAGAAGAGGCUUAAUUAGUGAAGGGGAUGAAGAUUGAAUUAUCACAGCUCAGGUGAAUUAUAUUGCGUUUAAAGUUAAAGUUCAUAUUUUUUUUAUGUUCAACAUAAAACUACGUACUUGUAUAACCUGCCAAAAUAGUUACUCCACAGCAUUUUUCUUCAUUUAUAUACAUACUUGAUAGACAAGAUCACGUCCAAAAUAAACAUCGACAAAGAGGAUCUUGGGGAUCUCAAAAGACUCGGUGAAAAUUCACCAAUUCCUGAUAUCUCUUCAUCUCCAUCUGCUAUACUAUGGAAAUCUGCAUCGUUCUUGACAUUGUCAAACAACUUGUUUAUAGUACUUAAAAUAGAGAAUGUUAAAAGUACACAUUGAUAAGCCAAGUUAUCAUGUCCUCCAUUAUGCAUAACAUUGUUGGUGCAGAAGGAAGAAAAUUGUCACUUAAAAAAAGUAUUUUAAAUGGUCUUACUAAAUACAAGAUCUAUAUUUCGCAUGAUCAAACGGUGAAAGAUCUCUAGCUGGAUAGGUCAUUAAUAUUGCCACAUAAAAGGCUCAUGAUUACAAUUUGAAGCUGAUAUAAAAUAUGUUAACAUACACAAGGGUAUUUAAUAAUAUCGAUCAAAAAACUUUACAAAGUAAUAAUACUAAAUACUGUAAAAUCAGAAUACAGUUAAUAAUCAAAACUCCCAAUGGUCUCAUCGUCUUGGAGAUACUGGCCACAGAAAAUCAAACGUUNNNNNNNNNNNNNNNNNNNNNNNNNNNNNNNNNNNNNNNNNNNNNNNNNNNNNNNNNNNNNNNNNNNNNNNNNNNNNNNNNNNNNNNNNNNNNNNNNNNNNNNNNNNNNNNNNNNNNNNNNNNNNNNNNNNNNNNNNNNNNNNNNNNNNNNNNNNNNNNNNNNNNNNNNNNNNNNNNNNNNNNNNNNNNNNNNNNNNNNNNNNNNUUAAGCAUAUAUAGGUAUAAGAUGAACCUUGUUUUCCUCAAUUUCCUUGAUGGAACCCAAUGGGCCAGAGGCAGGUCUAUAAUUGCCUCAACAUUGUCCUUGUUCUCAGCUGGACUCGACUUGGUGAGGGUAGGGCAUACCCCAUUUAUGGUAUCAGAUUCUGGAAAUAAUAAGUUCAUCACAUAAGAUUUCAGGCUGAAUUAAAGAAACAAAAGGGAGAGACCAACAACAAAUACAUGUUCAGAAUCUUUUCCGAACAUAAGCCAAGCCAAAUACAUUUGCAUAUUAUGUAGAAUUCAUACAGCGUCCAAGUUUCCAAACUAGCAAAAAUAACUUUUUGUUAUAUUCAUCAUAGAUUCUUCUUCUCAAUAUUGAAAACAGCUCCUUCCUGAUAAUAUCUUUAAAGGGGUUUCAUAGCACUUGAUAAGCAGGACUGAUCACAAGUCCAAGAUUAAUUAAUCAUGCUAAAACAUUUGUGAGCACAAUAAAGCACAAAAGAAAUCAUGUAUUGUAAUAGACGCCUCUCAGAAUCCGAAGAAAGUUCAAGUAUCAAACACAAGUAAACUCAAAUAUAUUCCAGGCAAGUACAUCUAAUCGUAAAAUCAGAGCACAGAAUUCAAUCAUCCUCCAAGAAUAUAAGGAAACGUAUAAAAUAGAUUGGGGAAAUCAGGCUGAUCAGAUUCCAUCAACUCUACUAUAAUAAAUAUAAGGGCUAAUGAAAAUGCAUAUAAUUGAUGUGCGAAAAUCAACUCAUUAGCAUAAUCAACUAUAUAUACCCAUAAAAAUGCUUCAAAUCGUAUACUAGCCCUAACCAAAAUGCAUUCAAUCAUUUAGCAAGAAAAGAAGAAUCACUAAAUCUAUAUCCGGCACCAAAACAUAUUAAUUAAUUAGCGUAAAAAACCUCUUGAUGAAAAUGCAGAAAUGUAAGACUGAAUCAUAAGAAACGACCUUUUUGGUGAUGAGAAUUGAUUUGGACCGAGGGCUGGAUUUGGGUGAUAUCUCUUUUCUGUCUUCUGACAUAAGUCUUCAUGUUUUGCUUGUAAAAAUCUGAUUGUUGAUGAAUUUUUAUGAGCGAAGAAAACUAGGAAAUUAGGGUUUUGAGAUGGAAUGUGAUGGGUCUCUCGACUUCUGUUGGGUAUAUAUAUACACAAACACAUUAAUUUCAGCAGCAUGCCUGAGUUGUGGAUUUGCAGCGCAAUGCGUUUUCAUUCUUGAUUCACGAGUAUGAUUGUUCAAAUAUAUGCUUACACUACUGCUGUGGAUUUGAGUCCCCCCCACCUCUUAUAUACUCCUAGGAAAAUAAUUAUAUAUGAAUAAAAUUAUGUAUUUUGCAAACAAAGUCCGAAAUAAAUAAUCUUUUCCUACAAUUUUUAAGUAUUAAGUUUACUAUAAUAUAUUUAUGUAUUUAUAUACAUAUCAUUUGAUAUAAAUAACGUUAUAAAAAGAGCUACACUAUUAUAAUAAAUAAAUAUAUUAGAGUUUAAAUUGAUACCAUUAAUCAUUAACCAUAUAUAUAAUCUCUUCUUUUUGACCAGCGGAAACUCAUUAAACCCUAAAUAAUAUACUAUAUAUAUAUUCUAAAAUUUUAAUUAUUGAAAACCUAAUCAUAUAAUUUAAAAGGAAUAGAUCAGUUUCUGUAUAUUUGGGAAAAUAUGUCCGAGAAUUUAAAGUGCAUAUCAACCAUGAAAAAUUAACAUACACAAGGGUGUUGUUUUGAAAAAUUCAUGCAAUACAUAUAUUUAUCUAAUUUUUUAUUGAAUAUAAUGUAAAUUACAAUUAUUUAUAAAAAUAAAAAAAUUACAAAUUCUUUCUUUCAAAAUCAUUGAGAUUUAUGAAAUAGUCCAAAAUUAACUAUACAGUGGAAUCAUAAAUAUAACAAACAAUUUCUUUUUGAAGUUAUAAAUGUUUUAGAAAUGUACCAAAUAUUUGUUGAAUUUAGAAACCCUCAUUAUUUUGUACUUAUCUUAUUAUGCCUUAUAAACAUACUCGCUAGCCAUUUUUUUGGCUCAUACUUUCGUUUACUAAAGAUUGAUUGGAGAAACUUAGAUGCAUAAUUCGUAAGAGACGAGAGGUCAUUAUAUAAAUAAUCUUAUUUAUAAUAUCUGGAUUCAGUGUAAGGUCUACAUCGUCAAGUUCUAGUAGAUAUUUUGUAUUGAAUAGUUUUGACCCGGUACCACUAGUAUAAAAUUUGGGCUACAAAGAAUGUUGUAUAUAAUAUGGUGGUUUUUGGAUUCUACAUGUUUAUAGAGUUAUAGUCUAAAAGAUUCUUGUUUGUUGCUAACACAAUUGUUGUGUGUGAGUUAUUAAAUUAAUCAUACAUUAUUUUAUUUUACGGUUUUUCCCAUAACAAUUAUAUAUCCUGAUCCCGAAUUUGUGACGAUCACAAGUUAUAAUUGUUUAGAUUGUUGCUUACGAAGAUCACUUGUUGAGUGUAUACCUUUGACAACCACUACAACAAUUAUGGGUAUUUACGACGUAUUUUAACAUUAAAUCGGUCGUAAAUGGUCCAAUUACGACGAAUUUUUUCCGUCAUUUUACUCGCGUGAAAAGUUCAAAAAUCGAUCGCAAGUUCAUAUUUUCGUCUUAAGUCUCAUAUAAGUGGGUCCCAUCUUCUAAUAGAAUAAUAAACAACUUACGACGGAAUUUUUAUCAUUUUAAAUUCUUGGGCCCCAGUUUCUGUAAAUUUAAUUUUAAAAACAAGAGAAAAUAAAAUUGAUUUUCAAAAAUAAACAAAGAAUAUAUGAUAGAAAAUUCCGUCGUAAAGUAGAACUUACGAUGAAACUUGUAAUGAACAAAUGUCGGAAGUUGCAGAAACACUAAAUUAUGACGAAAAUUAUUCGUCAUAAGUUUGUCUGUUCAAAGGAAAAUUUUAGCUUGUUUUUUGGUUUCGUGCCAAUAUCCGGUAUCCAAAAUAUAUAUUGAACCUGUCCAUACAUAUAUUCACAUACAUCUAAAACCAAUAUGUACCACACUCACUAUCCAUCCAAAAUUCACAAUCAACCACGCAAUUAGAUAUAAGAAACCAUAACUUUUAUAAUUAACAUUCAUUCAUGUGCAGAACUUACACCAUAUCCUAGAUCCAUAUUCGUCCAUGUACAUAAGUCAAAUUAUCUUUACAUAAAAUUAGAUCGUCUUACAACAUAAAAACAUCCAUAAUAUGUCAAAAUCAGUUCAGAAUUACUAAAAUGUAACCCUUGAUUACUGGACCACCUUUAGAUAUAACAUUCAUUUUUAAACAGCUAUAUUUAUAUAAUCAUGUGAACUUACAACGGCGUAGUUACGACGGAAUCGGAACCCAUUCUAUUUUCACUUAUUUGUUUAUUUUUAAUUAGCCAAAUAUGUUAAUUUACGACGGAAAAAUAAAACAUACUAUUUUCAUUUAUUUUUCGUUUUAAAUAGCUAUAAUUAUGUGAACUUACGACGGUAUCGGAACCAUUUUAUUUUCAUUUAUUUUUUCUUUUUAAAUAGCUAAAUAUGUUAACUUAUGACGGUUUAGUUACGACGAAAAUGUAACUUACGGCGGUUAUUUACGACGAUUUUUUCAGCGGGAAAUUUUUUAUUAUAUUUUAUUAAUUUGCGCCUGAAUUCUUAGCGAAUCAUACAAUGGAAGUUUAAAGCAUUAAUAAGCCAUGUUAUCAUGUCCUCCCUAAUGCAUAACAUUGUUGGUGCAGAAGGAAGAAAAUUGUCACUUAAAAAGUACUCCCUCCGUCCCUUUUUACUUGUCACCUUUGAGUUUGUGCCGGUCAAAUUGACCAAAAUUUGAUUGAAAUUUUAAUAUUUCAUUAAGUGAAAAAAUAAAAAAAAUAUGUCACCGAAUAUAACUUUUAAUAUACUUUAAGAUGUAAUUUUCAGUUUUUUAAAAUAAUAAAAGAGUGACUUAUAAUCUUUGGUAAAAAAUGAGUCAAUUUGACCAACAAAAAUAGAAAUGUGACAACUAAAAAGGGACGGAGGAAGUAUUUUAAGUGGUCGAUCUAUAUUUCACAUGAUCAAACGGUGAAAGAUCUCUAGCUGGAUAGGUCAAAGGAGUGAAAGUUAAUGCCAAAUAAAAGGCUCAUGAUUACAACUUGAAGCUGAUAUGAGAUAUGUUAAAAGCUGAAAAUAAUCAGUGUGAAGUUCAGCCACUCAAACAUGUUAGCACUCUUCACUGCCGGAGUAUUUUACAAAAACUUGUCACUCAGCCACUUCGGUGUCAGAAUUAAUUUGGUGCAAGUUAUAACUCUCUUUCAAGACCUGAAAAAAUAAGGACCAUGGCUUCAGAGCCUGCAAAAGAGUCUAUUUAUUUUAAUUAUAUUACAUUCCAUAUGACGUAGGAUUCAUGAGAAUAUGAUAAAGUUCAAUAAAUAGUAUCAACUCAUAUAAAGAUUAGUGAUUAUAAAGAUGUGUUCUAAUUAAUAUUAUGUAAUCAUUGACGAGCAUGAGAAAAAGCUCAUAUCUUAAUUGAGAUUACUCUGGUGUAUUUAUAUAUAUUGGAAGCUAGUCAAGGAAAAAUGUUUUUCUGAGCCAACAUUCACCGACCAUAGUAGAGGAGGAACAUACCAUUCUCUUCUGAAAUUGAUAUUUGUCCUAGCUAUAUAAAGAAUAUCCUUCUAAUACUAUAAUCUGCUGAAGUAUGCUAGGGUUAAAAAGUUCACCGGACUCUCUCUCUAUAUAUAUAUAUAUAAACAAACUAGAAAAUAUAUAUGGUAGAUAGUAAACAUGUUUCCCACAAUAGCAGCGGAAACAAAAUUGUGCAAGAAAUUUAACAUACAGGAGGAUUGCCAAUCAACUUCUGCAGGCCACCAUAUCUCCGCUGCCCUUUUUGGCCAAACAACCUCUUGUGCUCUUUUUGCACAAGCAACAACACUCCCUAGACCUAUGUGCUCAUCAACACAACUAAAUUGGAAAAGAGAAAAAAGGUGGCUUACAAAUCAAAAUGGAAAGUUGUACUCGUAUCGAGUGUGCAUGGUUUGUAGUAUAGGUAGAGUCAUGCAAGUAGAUAUUUAUAACAAAAAAGAUUAUAUAUUUCAGUUCAUUUUCCUGUGUGUUGAAAAUGAAAUUAUUACUCGAGUAAUUAUUACUCGAGCAAGACAUGAAAAAUAACUCAGAUUCAUUGACAUGAAGUCCAUAUUAAAAUGUAAGACAACCAAACAACUCACAUUUAUUAGCUUUUCUCGAGCAUCUUGUAACUGGUAAUUGUUGUUCCUCUCCUUGACAAGUAGAGCUUGAUAUGAAUCUUGAAGACAUUCAAAAUCUUCAUCCUUCCCCUUCAGUUUUUCUUCCCUCUCCUACAAUUUUUCUUCCCUCUCCUUGAGUUUUUCUUCCAAGGACUCCAUCUUUUUCUUCAUUUCCAUAAUAUCCUCACCAUUAUUAUUUGGUCUCAUUACACCAAUAUAACCAGCAGCACCCCCAGCAUUAGCAGCCACAACACCUGCAUCACCAGCACCACGAAGCUGCACACCAUCACCCUGCGGUCCUCUUUCCAAGUUUUAAGUAUAUAAAAUUUAUGUAUCAUAAUAUUCUAUAUUAAAAUAAAAUGUUAUAUUGUGUAGGCAAAUAAUUGAUGAUAUAUAGUAAUGGGAAAAAUGGUUCCUACUGUCCUCUCCGCAUAUAUAUAAAUACACACACAUAUAUAUCCGCUUUGGAUUUAUUUAGGAAUAAAUUUCUAAAUUUGGCUGGAAGUUGGAUCAUUCUACAUGCCCAUGCUUAUAAAGAUGUAUAAAAGAUAUAAGAAAUUCAUAUACAUUAUAGAAAAUGGUUUUAACACAUCGAUAAUCAAACGGGAAAAGUAAAGAAGGGGUGCAAAUCAUCUGAGUACAAGGAUACUUUAAUUUCUCUUCCUCUUGUUUGUCUUGCACAACCUUUCCAUGAAAUCGACACCCUCACCUAAGGUUGCCUUCUUUCCUUCUUUAAAAUUCCACAACUCGGGUACGGGAUAUCUUCCACUUGAAUUAUACUCGUUUAACUCUGGUAGUGCCGUCACCACCAAGUUAUACACUUCAUCACCCCACUCACUCUUUAUGAUCAUGAGGCUUUCAUCUUCGUCAUUGAUAACUCUCUGACAGGUCACCUGAAAUCGAAGCAUACAAUAAGCAAAUAGAGAGAGAGAGAGAGAGAGAGAGAGAGAGAGAUCGUGAUGAGCAAGGAAAAGAAAAUAGAGUGAUGAGCAAGGAAAGGAAAACAGAUGUAAAUAUCUAACUACUGGUGCAAAGCGAAGCGCUUUUCAAACUUUGGGGUGUAUACUGCCAAAAAAAUUUGUUUGAGACCAAAUCGAAAAAGCGCUUAAACAUGAGGGGUGCAAAAUGUCAAUUACUCUUAAAUAUUUCACUUCAUUUUCCUAUGUGUGGACAAUGAAAUUAUUACUCGAGCAAGACAUGUAAAAAAAACUCAGAUUCAUUGACAAUGAAGUCCAUAUUAAAAUGUAAGACAACCAAACAACUCACAUUUAUUAGCUUUUCUCGAGCAUCUUGUAACUGGUAAUUGUUGUUCCUCUCCUUGACAAGUAGAGCUUGAUAUGAAUCUUGAAGACUUUCAAAAUCUUCAUCCUUCUCCUUCAGUUUUUCUUCCCUCUCCUUAGUUUUUCUUCCAAGGACUCCAUCUUUUUCUUCAUUUCCACAAUAUCCUCACCAUUAUUAUUUGGUCUCAUUACACCAAUAUAACCGGCAGGACCCAGCAUUAGCAGCCACAACACCUGCAUCACCAGCACCAACAACACCACCAAGCACACCAUCACCCUGCGGUCCUCUUUCCAAGUUGUGCUCCAUUUUAAUCUGUGCAUGCCAUAACAUUAAGCUGGUACCUCAGUUAUCCAGGUAAAAUUAUUGGGGUAUUUAUGAAAUUUCAAAUGAAUUAAUUUUUACUUUAUAUAAAGUUAAAAUAAUUUGUAUAAAUAAAAUGAACUUAAAAUACAAAUUGUAACAAGAAAUAUGUUAAUUGCAAACUCUUUUUGAAUAUCUUGUAAAAAAAACACACGUCCAAUAUAUUAUUAUAAAUUUGGGCCCUUAUUGGCCGGGAUGUAGGGUCUCAGAGUGCAGGGAUAAUUGUAUAUUUAAGCAUCCACUUCCCGAAUACACAUAUACAUUUAUGCAAAUAAUAUUAUAUAUUUAUAUUUAUUGCAAGAACUAUAUCAGUUUAUAGCAACACAAAUAAACAAAAGAAAUAAAAUCACAAGAUAGUAAGAUGAAAUGUAACAAGAAAGAGCUACGGAAGGAGUGAAUUUAUGUUGAGCAAAAUAGCUUCAUCCCCGCUUCUUCUCAUCAUCAAAGCACAGAUAUUUUUAAGUUUUAUUCAAGCAAAUGAAGAGAAGUACCAUUAUUUCAUAUAACAUGUAAUACAUAAAUUUUUAAAUUUUAUCCACACAAAUGAAGAGAAAUAUUAAAAUUUUUUACAACACAUAUAUGAUAUAUAGAAAAACUCACGUAUAUAGGUAGAAAAUAAUCGCUUUGUAGUGUGUUUCACUUCAGGUCUUCACCCUUAAGAAGUAUUCAAAUAUCCAAAAUGAUAUAACUUACAAAAUGGAAGGGAAAGAGAAAAAUCAAAAAUCAAGCUAGCAAUCUGAAAAUGGAGGUGCAAAAACCAAUUGAUAACAAUGACUUACAUGCUCCAAUAUAAAGGAGCGUAGAAAUAAUAAUAUAUACGGUGGAAUCUUAAAUUUGUGUGUAAUAUCUUUACUUUUAUUAAGUACUAUAAUGUAUGUAUUGUAUUGAUCUUUGUUGUGACCUUUUGCAAACAUAUAUUCUUAAGUUUUGCAUAUGUUAUUACAUUUAUGUCUUGUAUAUGUAAUUAAAUUUAUAAAAUUAAUAUUUAUAAAGAAUAUUUGAAUUAAGUUAAAAGUAAUAUCUACAGAAGGAAUAAAAGAUUAAGAUUUAUUAAAAAUAAAUGUCAAUUUGUUGGGCCUCAAUGGACUGGAUCAUAAAUGUGGAUCAUAAAAAUGGCCCGAUGACCUAAUUAGUGUUUUGGACCCUCAAAUUUGAGUAUAUAUUAUUUUAAAUGAGUCGUGAAGAUUGGGUAGGUAGUUAACACAUUUUAACGAGUUUAGUGGGCACUUUGAUAUAAAACCCAAAAAUAAAUUUAGCUCUAAUGAUGAUUAAGAAAACAAACCAAGUCUAAUCAAACACAUAUAGAAAUCCUUUAAUUUCCUCAAGAAGAUUAUCGAAGAAAAAAAACUAAACAAAAUAAAUGGAUGGUAUGGGUUUUCCACGAGAGAAAGUGGAUGGAAGCCCAUGAAAUAAUAGGUGGCUACUUAAAGAACAAAGAGAAUUUUGCAUUUAUGAGAUUACAUGUUAAAAUUAAAUGAGUCAUCUUCUAAUGUGAUCGGGAAUUGAAGAUAUCCUUGUAGGCAUGAACCAAAUGGAUCAAGAUACCUAUAUUUAUUUCGACAAAAUGGGAAGAAUUCAUCAAAAUACUGAAAUCCAGUCGGAACAAACUCCGAAUUGUCACCUACAAUCUGAUUAUGAAAUAAAAAAUAAGUUAAACAAGUAAUCAUUUUGUUUUCAGAUCGUUUAACACAUAUAAUAUCAAAAUUUUUUAAUCUAAAAAAUAUUACAAUGAAAUCUCGAACAAUCCAACCUACCUUUACAUAAGCACAAUUUGUAGCGCCCCAAUGUUCAAAAAUAUCAGUUAAUCAACUGAUAUUGGAGCAACAAUUGCACUUAAAAUAUGAACAAUUUUUGUUGUAAAAUGUGAGCUCUUACGAAAAUCAUCACCGUCCCAUAUUUGAUUCAAGCUUUAUGAAUAAGUCAAAAACUAUUAUGUAAGUCCUUAUUAGAAAAUUUACCGAAAUCCAUAACAAGACGCACAAAAAUAUCAAAACAUAAAACAACAUCCAAAAAAAAUGGGCAUGACCAGUAAUCUUCAUAGCAAGCACGAACUUUAUAAGAACUCACCCAAUAAAAUUAGAUCUUGAUUUAUUAAAACAAUGCUAAAUAUGAGAGAUGAUGGUAGAUAGAAGGGGCUUAAUUAGUGAAGGGGAUGAAGUUGAAUUAUCACAGCUCAGGUUAAUUAUAUUGCGUUUAUAUUUAAAGUUCAUUUUUUUUAUGUUCAACACAAAACUAUGUGCUUGUAUAACCUACCAAAAUAGUUACUACACUAAAUUUUAUAUGUUUGAGACAUUUUAAUUGGUGUGAUUAUUGUAUAGGAAGGGGGUUGACCAUUAUUAAGAAAUAAGAGCCAAUCAAAAUGAGUCAACUUAUAAUUUUUAGUGCUUAGCAUGUGCUCAUGGCACACACUAGAAAAAAUUAUAACAGUAUAUCUGUUAAUUUACCUGAAAAAAUUCCAAACCCCUCUACAAACAAUUUCCAGGAUAGCUAUGACUGCAAUCAUACUCUGCUCGUGCAGGAAUGGAACUUCCAAGUCCAAAACCAUUUGAAUCCACGAAAAUCUCAGUAACACAUUCAAAGCCUAUCAUAAAUAAAAAGAACCAUCAGUUUGUCUGUUAACCAGGGGAACAAUGUGUUUGAGCUCGACAAUUUGUUUUUAUAUCAUGAAAAUAAAUAGAAUUUGUAAUUGAAUAAAUUACUUACAAUGGCGGCAUAGUAUACACUUUUGUAGGGGACAAUGAGCUUGUCUCUUAACCAAGGGUUAGUUGAUUUUCUGUUGAGAAAUUUAACAUACAGGAGGAUAGCCAAUCAACUUCAGCAGGCCACCAUAUCUCCGCUGCCCUUUUUGGCCAAACAACCUCUUGUGCUUUUUGCACAAGCAACAACACUCCCUAGACCUAUGUGCUCAUCAACACAACUAAAUUGGAAAAAGAGAAAAAAUUCCAUAUUUAGUUAAAAAUCAAAAUGGAAAGUUGGAGCUCUCGUAUAUAUGACAAGUAGAACAAUGUUAAAAUUUCUCAUUCCAAGCUACGUACUCGAUCCGAUCCAAUUGUUGGAAAUCCUUAUAACAAUUAGGUGACUAAGAAUUUGAAGGAAAAGAAGUAUGGAAGUUUCAGGCCCUGUUAAGCUCACAAUAUAAGUCCAACUAUAUGCAAAACACAAACAUGAUGCUACUGCUUAGUUCUACAGAACACAAAUUUUUAAUAAUUGAUAAAUUCCAUAUAUAUCAGGUAAUGACUUCAGUGAAAAGUGCAGCUAUAGUUUUCCCAUAACUGAUAUCCAGUGAAAAUCUCUUUUAAGUAUCAUGCAACAUAUUAAGCAUAGGUAUAAGAAAACCUUGUUUUAAUUUCUUCCAAUUAUUUAAUGGAACCCAAUGCGCAAGAGGCAGGUCCAUAAUGUUCCCUACCCGGUCCUUGUUUUCGGCUGGACUCCACUUUAAGUGAGGGUAGUGUUGAGUGGGUGUCAAACAAAAUCCCACAUCGUAAAGAUAAAGUAGCCAAACAAGUUCAUUAACUUGAGUUCUUUUGAGAGGUGGAGCCUAAAACAAAUCCGCCUGAGCUUGGCCAUGGCUACAACCAAUAAUAUCAUACUAAUGUGGCUGCCAGGCUGUCAGGUACUUAUCACAAAACAAUAAGUGGUUGGGCCUCUUUUCAAUUUUGUUGGCCGACCAUGUAUAAAAUCGAGGAAUUUCAUUCUUUUAAAAUUCAUUCAAAAUUAUAAAAUAUGCUGCACUGAAAAUUGAUCUUUUUCUGAAAAUUGAUCUUUUUCCUACAAGUUUUAAGCAUAUAAAAUUUAUGUAUCAUAAUAUCCUAUCCUAUAUUAUAACUAGUGAAUAAAGCCGCGCUUCGAGGCGGCGUAAUGAAUUUUUUAUAAAUUUUGAUACGAAUUAAUAUUAUAAUUGCAUAAAACUUAUUUUGAGUCAUGUUCCCGUUAAAUAUAUCAUUAAUAAAAAUAUAUAAUAAUUAAUAUAAAAUUUGUUUAAGUGGUCCUCAUGUCAAACACAAUACUAAUAAAAAAACAAAAAUUGUUUGAACCGUCCUCCCAUCGAAAAUAAUAUUAAUCAAUAAUUAUUAUUAUAAUUAUGAUAAAAUUAAAUAUAAUAAUAUAGAUAAACUUUAUUUUGAGCCGUUCUCUUGUCAAACACAAUACUAAUAACAAAACAUUAUAACAUAAAUAUUAAUUUGAGUCGCCACUACUACAGAAAUGUGCUUAAGAGACGUUACUUAGAUAACGUUUCUAUGAUGGGCUAUGUAAGUUAUUUACUUACAUAGUGUUUUUUUCCACAAACGCUAUGUAAGCAUUAUAAAAAAUACAAAUAAAAAAAAAUAAUAAACAAACAUAACAUAUGAUAAAUGAGCGCUAUGUAAGUAUCAACUUAGAUAGCGUUUAUAUAAACGCUAUGGAAGAUAAUGAUUUUUAAGUAAUAUUAAAAUAUUUUUUUAAAAUUAUUGGCACUUCGAUGACGUUUUUAGAAACGCUAUUUAAGAUAGUGUAUUAUAAGUACCAACCUACAUAGCGCUUACUGAAAUGCUAUGGAAGUUAAUGUUUUCUAAGUAAUUUUAAAAUAUUUAUAUAAAAUUAUUGACACUUCAAUAACGUUUUUAGAAACGCUGUUUAAGAUAGUGCAUUAUAAGUAAUUUCUGUUAUUUACUUAACUAACUUACACAACCCAUGUCAAAAUAUUAUCUUGGAGAAUAAAAUCAAAAUAACUUAAUUUAGGGUUUUUAUUAUACAAAUUGUAUUAUACAAUUUUUUUUUUGUUUUCUUAAGCGAAUAUAUACAUUUUAGUUAAUCUAGUGUGUUAUAUCGUGAUCACCUCUAUAAAUCACAAAACUAACGAACAGCAAAAAUUUAAAAAAAUAUUAUAUUUAUAUUACAUACAAAAUACAUAUACACUAUCAAAAUAAUAUGAGUUUAAAUAUUAUAUAUUAAUAAAUAAAAACUAAAGUUACAUGAAAAUAUGUUAUUAUAUUAUACAAUACAUUAACAUCAAAGAAUUUUGUUUCUAAAUACAAGAUAAUAAAGCAUUAACUAAGUAUUAUAUUUUAAAUUAGCAUCAAAUAUUUUUAUUUAUAAAACCUUAUAUAAAAUAAAAAUAUUUAUAAUUAUGAUAUAAAAUUAAUUAAUAUAUAUAUAUAUAUNUAUAUAUAUAUAUAUAUAUAUAUAUAUAUAUAUAUAUAUAUAUAUAUAUAUAUAUAUAUAUAUAUAUAUGCGUGUGUGUGUGGAUUGGGUCUUUAACUAAUUAAUAGUUUUAUUUCAAUUAAUUAAAAGUGUAAGUUUUUUUGUUUUUUUUUUAAGGAUGAACACGUACGUAGCGACACUAACACAGAGGAUGUUGCAGUUUCUCUCGGCGUCUCCCUGCAUUACUCUCUACUCAGAGCAUCAAAAUUAGGGUAUAUCCUGGUCUCUCUAAUCGAACCAAAGGCACAAAAUAGGUACUUAGGUAUUCCAAUUAGGUAUUAAAUUGAUUUUUCUUUCAAUAGUGUUCACUGAUCUGUGCUCUUAUUGUUGUGUCCACUACAAUACACUUACAAAAAUAUAACUAGAAUGUUUGAUUGGUGGAUGGCAAUGUGAUAAUGUAACAUAUUAGAAUCAUCACGGCACAACGGGUGUAUUGUUGGUGAGUUUGGCUUUUUGUGUACGUAUUUUAUUACUCCCUCGGUCCCAUUUUAACUGCUUUUGACUUUUUUACACGUAUUUUAAGAUGUUAAAAAAAUCACAUCUAAACAUAAUAAUUUUUUAUAAAAUUUAUAUUAAAUAAAAGUUUGGAACCAAAACUUUUAUUUGAUAUAAAAAUUGAAUUAUUUUAUUGAGGGUAGAUAUUGUUUUUUUACAUCUCAAUAUACGUGCUAGAAAAUCAAACAUCAGUUAAAAUGGGACACCCUUGUAUAGUCCUAUGUUUCUCAUUCUGUCUCACGGUCUGUCCGAAUAACACCUUUUUAAGAUUUUCUCACCUUUUCCAAUAAUUCGCUUUGUUUGGUUCAUUUUUUUAACUUCAACUAAAGUAGUUAUCAAGAUGACCCUCACGUGUUUGGUAAUGUUAGAGGCUGUGAAACAAUAUAUGUAUGUUGUUAGUACAUUGAAAAGAGUUUUAAUCUCUAUUUUUGUGAAUAUUAUUGUUGCUUACUGGUAUUAGAAGGAUUUUAUUUUUUUUAUUUUCUUCCCUGCUUUAUUUUGCUUUUCCAGGUUAUACUUUAUUACUAUUUUAAUGGAUCGAAAUUGGAUAAAAUUUUUCUAGUGUGACACCUUAUUGGAAGGACUUUGUGGAAAACUCAACCAAAGAAGAUUUCUUGGUAUGUUUAUUCUUUAUCUUCUAGUGAUUAUCAAUAUCAUUGAUAUUUAAAUGACUAAUAUAAUACAAUUUAUAGGAAAAAAGUGAAGAAAAUAAAGCACGAGCAGAAGGAGUAGAAGCCAGAUACAAGAAGGCGUGUCUCGGAUAUGCACGUCUCAGAGAAAUGCUUGUAUGUACAUUUAAAUGAAUUGUGUUUGAAAUUUGGUAAAUUAUGAUAAAAAAAAUUGUAAUUAUAUAGUAAUUACUUGAAGUAGUAAUAUAUAACCAGCUAUUAUUUUUGGUUUAGAUUAAGAAAAAAAUUGAUGAUGGUGAAACGAACCCUAUUGUGACUAGACUAGAAUUGUGGGAGUAUGCUAGAAAAGAUGCAGGCGGUGUCAUAACUAUUCUAGCGCAUUGAAAAUUCUUGAGAAGGUAAUCAUAAAUAAGCUUCUUGAUCUAUAAAGCUAUCUUUGUCUUGCACUAUAUGCAGUAUAUGUUAACAAAUGAUAACUGUAUUUGAAUUGUAUUAUAUGUUACCAGGUUGCCACACAAGAAGAAUUGGCCGAACAUGAGCUUACAGGAACUAAUGAUUUGUUUGCUCAAUUGAUCCCAAAGGAAUAUUCUGGAAGAGUGAGAGCUGCAGGAUGGGGUGUAACAAAGAAAUCAUUGCAGAAAAUAUCAACCAUGAGUGAGCUAUCUCAAUUAAAAAAUGAUGUUGCUUAUUUGAUAAAUGAAAUUAAGGAGUUGAAAAGUAAGGGUUGCAAUCCCAGUAUGCAAUCCAGAGGUUCUAGCCAGAUGGAUAAUUUUGACAUGGAUAAAGAAUUUAUUUAUGAACAUAAUGACGAUCAUGAUCCUGUUAUUGGUGAAGAACUUCCCGAGGUAUUAAUUCAACUAUAACUUAUAGUUAAGCUUAAAUACCUUUUUUUGUCAGAAUUUGAUCUGACUUUUAUAUAUUGUGCUUAUUGAUAUAUCAAAUUACAAGGUAAACAUGCUUGUUAUUUGUAUUUGGAUCCCGGUCGUAAAUAUGUUGGACGUGGGAUCUUGCACAAUGAUGUCAAUAAUAGAGUCUUACACUGUAUACCACUAGAAGAAGGAUACGUGAGGGUGCAAUUUGAAGUUGCUGAAAAGUCAGAAUUUAAUACUCCCUUGCCUAAACCAUGUGAUGACGCUAACCUGAUUGGAGAAGCUCCGGGAUAUUUUCUUGCUUGGCCACGAAAACUGGUUUCCAUGGAACUUGAGGUUAUCUAUGUAAUCUAUAUUUGUUUUUAUGUAUAGUUUCAUUAUAUUGUCUCCAUUAAUUUAAAUUAUUAUUUUCAUGUCUAAGAUCUACUUGUUUUGCUAUUUGAUAGACACAUCAAAAAGAUAUGAACAAAGAAAGAGUUCAACAUGCAAAGGAACAUAAGAAAAUGGAUGAUAAAGAAAAUAAUAAGCUUGCACAUAAAGUGAAGGAAAAAACAAGAGAGUCGGUUGUUGGUGUAUCUUCGAGAAAGCUAGGUUAUCCCCUACCUGGUGAUAUUUGUGAUGAUGCAGUAUUGGAUUUUGUUCGUCUUGCUGUCAAGUUUAAUCGUGUCACUGAUGUAGUGGUUCAUAUGGGAAAUUAUUGGGAGAGGGAUGCGUGGAAUGAUUAUAUUAAUAAAGAGAAUGUUUUGGAGGUGCUAGAUAACCAAUGGUUAAGUGCAACUAGUCUUACCUUCUACAUCAGGUAUGACCAUUAAACUCAUAAUGAUGGCUUCAUUAACAAUGUUGUAAUUAUAAUUCUUUAAUUGAAGGUAUUUAUGUGAGGUCUAUUUAUCCAACAAUCCGGAUUUGGCAGCCAAGUUCUCUUUUAUUUCACCUCAUAUUGUGUCUCACAUGGUAGACAGCUCCAAUACAUCCUUGGCCAAUUGUUUGCUAAAAUAUGUGGACAAAGACCACCUACUCUUCGUGCCUUGGAAUGUCUCGUAAGUUUUAUUUUUCAAUACAUAUAUAAUAUUUUUAUGCUAUAUAAUAUGCUUCUAACUAAAACUCAAAAUAUAUAUAGAAAACAUUGGAUCUUGGUUGCUAUUAAUGCAAAAACAGAGUACAUUUAUUUUAUGGAUCCGGCUCCCAUGACAAAUAAUGCAUAUUACAAGAAUGUUAAAGCAUUUAUUGAAACGUAAGUACAUCUUUUAAGUGUUUUGAUUAAUUUAAAAUGCAAGAUACUUGUGAAGGAGUAAUGUGUUAUUUAUAGAUUUCUUAUUUUACAGAGCAAUGAUUAAGUUUCGAACUAAUGGUGGAAAGAAAUAUACCAUGACUUCAUUUAACAGUUUCAAAUGGAUGAAUGUCCAGGUACUUUGGAUAAUUUACGGUAAUUGUAAUGAUAGCUAAAUUUGAUUUUCUUUUGAUUAUUUAACUCAAUUAUUUUGUAUAGUGUCCCAAGCAGCGUGAUGGUAUCAGUUGUGGAUAUUAUGUUGGAUGUUUCAUAGAGGAUAUAUUAGGUACAGGUGAAACAAAAAUCAAUGUUAAUGUAAGUAAAUUUUAGAAUUUCUUGCACUUCUACUAUCUAUUAGUUUAAUAUUUACAAUUUCGUACAAUAUUAAUGUAUUUCAUUUAUUUUUGUAGUUUACUUAUACACCAAGACUCAAGACCUAUCCUUCUGAUAAAAUGCUUAGCUUCAAAAAAAAUUGGACCGGAUUCUUGUACAACCGCUAUCUCAAGGACGAAUUGUUAAAUUAGUUUUAGAUUUAAGUGAAGUAUGUAGUUGCUAGAUAUUAAGAAUAUUUUGAAGAUUUGACUUGUAAACUAUGACAUAUUUAAGGUUUAGGAAAUUUGUACAUUUUUGAAAGUCAUGGCAUUUUCAAUAUAUAUAUAUAUAGAGGAAAGUUCUAUGGAGACCGCUAUUUCAUCGGAGACCACGUAUGUUCUGCAAUCAAAACACUAUAAGAUACAUUAUUUUAUAAAAUAUGUUCUACAAAUAUCAUGUAUUCAUUAAAAUUGUUGAAAAUCAUCUAUGUUUAAUAAGUAGAUAAUGUAUGUUCUGCAAGUUGAACAAAUGUUCGGCAAACUAAACAUAUUUCACAGAACAAAACAUUUUGUAAUGUUCUACAUGUAAAACAUAUAUGAUAUUCAAGAUUUUAAAUGAAAUAAUGAUUUCGCAGAACAUGAUUUGUAAAACUGUACGUUUUGCAAUUUUUUUAUGAAAUAUUUUACUUGCAGAACAUAUGUGGUCUCCAGGUCUCCAGAAAAAAUGUGGUCUCCAUUGAAUUUAACUCUAAUAGAACUUUUAUUAUUUGAUGAUUUUGUUAAUGUUGUUAAGGAUAGAUUAAUUAAGAUUAGAAUAUAAUUAAAACAACGAUUAAUUUUAAAAUUAAAAUUUCAAUAUACAUAAAAUUUCAAAAUACAUAAAAUUUCACCAAUUUAUCAAUCACUACAGAAAAAUCAAAGAUAAAUAUUACCCGUGUUGAACUUCGAAAUGCACUAAUUGAGCAUUUGUGAGAAAAAUAUACUGAUUCUGAUAAUUAGUAUUUUAAUGUAAUAUUUUUAUGCUUUUAGUUUAUUUUUAUGCACUGUUUUAACUUUUUCGAAUUAUUUUGUAAUAUUUUAUCUUUGUCUAGUCGUUAAUUGUAUUAUUAUAAUUAAUGAUGAAAUUAGUAUUAUUUAAAAUCAGUGUUCUAUAUUUAUUAAUUACAUCCUACUUGUAUAUGUUAUAUAAUUAUUUUCAUAACUUUUAAAAAUGUUUUAUAUAAUUUUUGAUGUAUUUUAAUAUAGGUAGUAUAAUUUAAAAGCACACCUAAAAAAUUAAAAAUAUGGAUCAUCAAAAAUAUGAUAUUAAAAUAGAACGAAUUUAAAUAUUAAAAACACGCGGCAUAAAAGGAGGGCACUUACUUUUUUUUAAACCUAAUCACAUGUUCUGUAGACACAUACCAUCAGUUCUGUAACAUGUAUCAAAUAAAAUAUACUCAAAUCUAUAAGUAUAAAUAAUUAAUACACUACAUAAAAUACAUAACAUUAAAAAUUGAAGAACAAAAAAAUACAAUGUCCUGUAUUUCCUUAUAGUUUUUAGUUUUCUCACUUGUUCUGUAUUUCAUUUGUUUAUAUAUAAUAUGAACUUUUUUAUUUGUGUAAUUUUUAAUUUUUAUUUUGUCGCAUGUUCUGUAUUUUAUUUGUCAUAUAUUUCAAUUUUUGUUGUUUGUUCUUUCAUUUAUAAUUUUUAUAUAUUUAUAAUUUUUUUCUAUGAAAUAUGUAAUAUGAUUUUUAAACAUAGAAGAUAUUUUUCUAAAUUUUGUAAAAUAUUAUAUAUUAAAUAAAGCACUUAAAAUAAUUUAAAUACAUUUCUUAAAUUUUAAGUAUGUCCAGUAUAGUUUUUGAUGUAUUUUUAGUAUUGAUAGUAUUUAAAAGUACUUUAAAAAAUUAAAAGCACGGAUAAAAAUAUAUAAUAACAAAAUAAAAAUAUAAAAAGAAAUUGAUAAUAUAAAAUACAAAAACAAAAUAAAAAAGCUUACACAAGUGGGGUACGUGAAGGAUUGAUAUUUACAGAACACAGGGGGCGCGCAUGUACUAGCAGUUACACAGCAGUUGCAAAAAAAAAUAGGGUAUGUGUAGACUGUGUGGCUGAGAUUGAAAGUUACUCGGUUACCAGGAUGGGUGAGUUCCUCGAUGAACCAUACCCUAUAUAUAUAUAUAUAUAUAUACAUAUAUAUAUAUUCUAUUCAGGGAUUAGUUUUGGGCAAUUGCAUAUAAUUAAAUGGAUAAUCUAUACUAUACUAUAAAAAGCCAACAUAGGUUUAAUUUGUAGUCGUACAAAAUUUUGGUUAGGUUUUUUUGGUUUAGGUAUGUUUUAUUGACUUACCCAUUUUACCCCUCCUAAAAAAUACAUUCUCGAUAGAUAUCCAAGCAUCAGUCUCCCUCUCAAUCACCAGUACACUCGAAUUUUCCCUCUGUCUGUCUCUCCACCUCGGUGCUUAGUACCUUUGUUAAGCAGUUGAAGCAUCAAGAGAAGCAUCAAGAGAAAUACCGAGAUAAAAGACUAUACACAGAGGCAAGGCAAACAAAUAGCUUAAAGAGGUAAACCUAAUAGCUUUUUGAGUUCUAAUUGUUGUUUUAGAAAAACUUAUAAGAUGCUCGAGUAAUUACCUAUGAUAACUAUUUAUUUGGUUUUUGAUUUUUUGAGUUUUAAUCGUUGUUUUAGAGACACUUACAAGAUGCUCGAAUAAAUACCUGUGAUAAUUUCUUUGGCGUUGAACACUAAGGUGAAGAGAUUAGUGAUGAUGAAUUACAGAAUGUAGUGUGAUAGUGUGUAUACGCCAAUAUCAUUAUACAACUGGAAGUCUGAUAUGCGUCCGUCUAUUAAAAUGUGCAAAUCAAACUUCCAUGCCCUGUAUUAGAUGCUCCUUUCCUCUCGAGCCAGUUUUCCGAAGUUUACGUACUAUUAAUAAAGGUCUAUAUUUUGUUGUAAACUUUCCAUGCUAUUGUACUUAUGUUAGUAAACAAGCAUAAACUGAUGACUUUAUAGUUUAUAAUAUCCACCCCAACUCAUGUGCAAUUUUUACUUGAAAUGCAGGAAGAAGCUUUCUUCUCGACUUCCUUAUCCUGCCUCAAUAGCUUUGGUGUUACUUGGAUGUGGCUUGGUGUACUCAUUGAUUGUUUUCGCAAAAGGAUCACCUUCAUCAGUCUUAGGGGCAAUAGCAAAGUCAGGGUUCACUGCUGCAUUCUCUUUAAUUUUUGUGUCUGAAAUUGGAGACAAGGUACCUACCCAGAAAGUUAAUCUUCAUGUUUAUUUAAACAAAUGAUACUCUGGACUAGCCACACACUUCAUUUAAUUUGUAAAAAAAGCCUGGUUUUUAUUUUGAAUUCCUCACUUUUUCUGUGUAUUUUCAUGUGUGUGUGCACAAAUAUGCUUUUAGUUGAUCUACCAAGUUUUAAUUGCAGAAUUUGUUUUUAUCAAUUUAAAUUACCAUUCAUUUUUAUCUAAGCGGUCAUUAUAUUUGUUAUUUUAUUGUAUAUAUUAUAACUUUAAAUAAUUUUAUUAUGAAAAUAAAAUUAUGAUAGAAUAAUGCGGUUAAAUAAAUUUUUUAUUUAACAGAUGAAUAAAGUCUUAGUAGUUAAGUCCGUCAAAUGGCUGAUUUAAAAAUAGGUCGAAUAUAUCUAUAUUUUUGUUUUCCACUUUAACUGAUACAUAAAAAACUCAGUUACAAGUCUAACUACUAAGAAGGGAGGUUCUUGCUGACUGUAACACUAAGGUGGAGAGAUUAGUGAUAAUGAAUUACAGAAUGUAGUGUGAUAGUUAGCUAUUCUUACCAAGUCCAUGUAGAAGUAGAGUAGAGUUAUAUUGUAUGUCUAACCACUAAGAAGGGGGGUUCUUGCUGACUGUACCUGUAAUGGUCGCAAAGUGCUUCAACCAUGUUAAUAUAAUAAUACAAAUGUACAGUUUGUAGAUAGACCAGUUUCCACCUAGCAACAUCACCUGGACAAUAAUGUAGGAGGAAGGUGAAUGAUCCUCUAUUUCAGAUAAAAUAAAUUAACAUGAAUCUUACGAAUAGUAUAUAUGUAGAAGUGUUGGUCUAGGAAAUUAUACUGAUGAGUAGUGUUUUAGUUGUAUAGAAAUUCAUGACUGCCUAAAUCAUAAAGUCAGUUUAAUGUGUAAACAGAUAAAUAAGUGUACCUCAUGUAACAUGCUCCUUGCAUUUUCUGACAUCUUGUCAAAUUUAUCAAUACAGCAAAUGCCUUUAUCACUUAAAACUAAGGCUCCACUCUCUAGAUUAUUUUCCUUUUAAAUAUAAUUUAUAAUUAAUUAAAACACUUUACUUUUAUGGGAGCAUCUGAAUAUAGAAAAUAAUGUGGCAUGUGUGAAGCUAUAUGGCAAUACACUUAUAAAUACAAUUAGUCUAAUGUCUUAAGAUCCUUAGCAAUUGAACACACAGAUAAUUGAAUGCUUGCCUGUUUGUAGCACGAAAAUGUAAUCACAAAAGUUAGGUAGGCCCUUUACACUUAAAAUAAAUAAAAGAAAAAAGUUAAAUCAUUCUUUAUUAAAUGAAAGAAGUGAAUUUAGAAUGGACUUGAACAUAAAUAUAUAAGUAGGAAGUCCAAAACGUAAUUAAGGCCCUGUUCAAGACAGUUGAACAAGGCUGUGUAGAGGUGUCCCUCAAGUCGGAAGAACUAAAAAAAUGAUCACAUGUCGUUUAUAGAAUUUUACACAGAACAGCAGUUAAAUAAAUACCCAGAGAAUUCUUCUUCAAGUACUUGUCCUCGAAAUGAAGCCGGGGAUUAAGCUAUUUCAGGUGUAUGUCUUCCCGUUGCAGAGCUAUUUCAUCUAUUUCGAAAACAGAGGGAAGAGUAUUUCAAGACACGAAUAUAAAGUAAAUGAGAUAUACUUGAGUGGAGAAUCUGGAUAUUGACGAGUAUUGUUGAUUUUGAGUUUAUGGUGAGACUAUAUUGUAAAGAUGAUUAUCAUUUAGAUGAAGCUUUAAUGCAGAGUUGGCAUGGUCAGUUACACUUACAGCAAGGAAGGCUACCAAGAGCAGAAAAUAUAAUUAAAAAUGUUCCACAAUUGCACAAACAACCUCAAAUGAAAAUAGGAUAUUGUGCUUAACUAUUAUUCUAGAUCAUCAAAUUUACAGGUUAUUCUAUGGCGUUGUAAACUAAACCGAAAGGAUUAUCUCCCACUCAAGAGUGGAGAUCUUACACCUGUUAUUCUAAAUAACAUAUUGCAAAAUAUCAGUGGGUUAUGUUGUUAUUCUGAUAAAAGAUGCAGAGCUAUAGAAUCAGAUUUUGUUACUACUUAUCACCAUGUUGUUGUGUUUACAUUGUGCUUUGUUGUAAUUUUAUCUACAUGUUAAAAAGUUGUUAAAAAGUUUUUUUUUUUUUUAAAAUAGACAUUUACAACUGUAUUUUCAAUUUAGGCAUAUGGUUUUUUCACUUUUUGCUAUAUGCUUAUCAGGUUAAUGGAACACGAUGAGGAGCGUUGGAAAAAAUUCAAAGAAGACCAGUGGAAACGUUUACGUGAUAUUGAAGAACAGGUAUUCUGUACAAUAUAUAAAAAAAUUUAACUUUUACAAAUGUAGUUGGUUGCCACUUUUGAAUCAUAACCUCUGAAAUGUUAUAAAUGCACUUAAGAGCGUCCCGAAGAUGACGGAUUUGGAAAUUUUAGCUUGGAAACGCAGGAUUAAUCAUACAAUAGUAAAUACAAUUGUUGAUAGUUUCUUUGUAUGUGUUUCAUUCAUUUUUUAAGCUUGACAAAUUUAGUGAAUGAGGCUGGGGAUUUGAAGAUGGUAGUGGUGUAUUGUUUCGUUUAUAUAUACUCAGAUGUAUCUUUCGUUCAUCGGUAUAAAAAUUAAUAAUAAAACACGAAAAAAUGCUAUUAAGCUUACAAAUAAUAACAAAAAAAAAAUAUUUGGUCACCCGUGCUUCGCACGGGUUAUAGGCUAGUAUAUAUAAUAGGAUACCCGACAAAAUAUAUGUAUAUAUAUAAUAGGAUUUAUUUAAAAAAAUAAAACUACAAUAGUACAAUAGCGCUUUUGAAAAUGAUAUUUAAGUGAUAUUUCCUUCAAUAGUGUUUGAUAAAGUGUUAUGUAAGUGUUGUACAUAAUUAUUAAAAAAUUACUUUCAUAACACUUACAAAAACGCUAUUGAAGUCUAUACUAACAUAGCGCUUAUAGAAGCGCUAUAUAAGUAGAUUGCACUUGCAUAACGCUUACUACCAUAGCACUUCUGAAACCGCUAUUGAAGUACUCUACCACCAUAGCACUUAUACAAGCGCUUUGUAAGUAGAUUGAACUUACAUAACGCUGGCUUAGAGAGAGCUUAAAAGCGCUAUCUAAGCUAAAAAUUGAGUGUUAUGUAAGAUAAAAUGUGUAGUAGUGUUGUUUUCGGCUGGACUCCACUUUAAGUGAGGGUAGUGUUGAGUGGGUGUCAAACAAAAUCCCACAUCGUAAAGAUAAAGUAGCCAAACAAGUUCAUUAACUUGAGUUCUUUUGAGAGGUGGAGCCUAAAACAAAUCCGCCUGAGCUUGGCCAUGGCUACAACCAAUAAUAUCAUACUAAUGUGGCUGCCAGGCUGUCAGGUACUUAUCACAAAACAAUAAGUGGUUGGGCCUCUUUUCAAUUUUGUUGGCCGACCAUGUAUAAAAUCGAGGAAUUUCAUUCUUUUAAAAUUCAUUCAAAAUUAUAAAAUAUGCUGCACUGAAAAUUGAUCUUUUUGUGAAAAUUGAUCUUUUUCCUACAAGUUUUAAGCAUAUAAAAUUUAUGUAUCAUAAUAUCCUAUCCUAUAUUAUAACUAGUGAAUAAAGCCGCGCUUCGCGGCGGCGUUAUGAAUUUUUUAUAAAUUUUGAUACGAAUUAAUAUUAUAAUUGCAUAAAAGUUAUUUUGAGUCAUGUUCCCGUUAAAUAUAUCAUCAAUAAAAAUAUAUAAUAAUUAAUAUAAAAUUUGUUUAAGUGGCCCUCAUGUCAAACACAAUACUAAUAAAAAAACAAAAAUUGUUUGAACGGUCCUCCCAUCGAAAAUAAUAUUAAUCAAUAAUUAUUAUUAUAAUUAUGAUAAAAUUAAAUAUAAUAAUAUAGAUAAACUUUAUUUUGAGCCGUUCUCUUGUCAAACACAAUACUAAUAACAAAACAUUAUAACAUAAAUAUUAAUUUGAGUCGCGCGCCCUACCAUCAAACACAAUAGUAAUAAAAAAUUAUUAUAAUUAUGAUAAAGUUAAAGAUUAUAUUUGGAUAAAAAUUAUUUUAAGCCGUGGUCCCGUUUUAAUAAAAAAAUAUACAUUAUAGCUUAGAUAAAAAAUUGUUUUAGCAGCUUUCCUGUCAAACAUAAUACUAUAGAAAAUUUAUUAUUAUUAAGAUAAAAAUUAAUUUGGGCCGCCCUCCCCUCAAACACAAUACUAAUCUAAUCAGGAAUCUUUUUUAGAAUUUUUGAUACGAAUUAAUAUUAUAAUUGCAUAAAAUUUAUUUUGAGUCAUGUUCCUGUUAAACAUAUCAUUAAUAAAAAAUAUUAUAAUUAAUAUAAAAAUUUGUUUAAGUGGCCCUCUUGUCAAACACAAUACUGAUAAAAAAAUUGUUUGAUCCGCCCUCCCAUCAAAGACAAUAUUAAUCAAUAAUUAUUAUAAUCACGAUAAAAUAAAAUAUAAUAAUAUAGAUAAAAAUUAGUUUGAGCCGCUCUCUUGUCAAGCGCAAUACUAAUAACAAAAUAUUAUAAUAUAGAUAUUAGUUUGAGUCGUCCUACCGUCAAACACAAUAAUAAUAAAAAAUAUUAUAAUUAUGAUAAAGUUAAAGAUUAUAAUUGAAUAAAAAUUAUUUUAAGUUGUGGUCCCGUUUUAAUAAAAAAAUAUAUUAUAAUUUAGAUAAAAAGUUAUUUUAACCACUAUACCGUCAAACAUAAUAAUAAUAGAAAAUUUAUUAUUAUUUAGAUAAAAAUUAAUUUGAGCCAUCCUCCCCUCAAACACAAUACUAAUCAAACAAUUAUUUCAUGAUACAUCUAGAGAGAAAGGGCUUACGGUCUCACUAUGCAAGGGUGCUUACGGCCUCACUAUGCAGGGGUGCCUACUAGAGGUGGCCAAACGGGCCGAACCGACCGAACCGGCACGCCCCGAACCGACUUUUUAACCGCCCGUAACCGUCUAAACACGGGCCGGUUCAAAACCGACCUGAACCGAUACUGAGCACGUGCCGAAUACGGGUUAGGAAAUGGAAGACCGAACCGUAACCGGCCCGGAACCGCGGAAACCCGUGGAACCGGCCUGGUUUGAACCGCGGAACCGCGGUUUGAACCGCGGAACCGCGGAACCGUAGACUCGUGCAUCGACCACCAAUUUUUAGUCCAUCAGCAAACUUCACAAUGCUUUCUGUUCUUUUUGCAUGGGUUUUAAUUUGUUAGUUUUUGUUUUAUUUUGUUAAUUUUAGUUGUUGUUUAGUUAGUUUAGUUUAUUUUCGUUUAUUAUAUAAAAAAAUUACUUAAUUUUAUUUCGUUUCGUUUUAGUUUUUAAAUUUCAGUAAUUUUAUUUGCAAAAGAAUUAAUUAAUUUUGUUUCGGUUAAGUUUUUAAAUUUAGGUAAUUUUAUUUUUAAAAAUAAUUUAGUUAGUUUUAUUUCGGUUAAGUUUUUAAAUUUAGGUAAUUAUUUAUUAGUUUACACUUUAUUGAUAAUUAAUUACAUAAUAACACUAAACAAAAAUAAUUUCCAAAACUAAUAUCAUAUAAAAUUUUAUUAUCCAAUUUUUAACAUUAAAGAAUUGUUAAAAUUAGUUACAUAAUAAUACUUAACCCAUUAAUUUAUUAAUUAGUUGCAUAAUAAUACUUAAUCCAUUAAUUUACGAUCUCUUAAUUAGUUACAUAAUAAUACUUAAACUAAAUUAAAAAAAAAUAAAAACAAAAAUAAACCGGCAAAAAAAACAAAAAGAAACAAAAAAUAAAACAAGUACUAUGUGUCUCUGUUGGACUUGACAGUGACUCAGCCACUGACAAUUGUUGUACUUUAGUUACUAACACAAAGUCACAUGCGCAAACCCGUGAACCGUAUAACCGAACCGUAGAACCGCAGCAUGUUAUUAUUCGGCCCGAACCGCCGAACCGCAAAACCCGUGUAAACCGUAUACCACGGUUACGACUUUCUUUUUCCCAGCCCGGCCCGGGCACGGCACGGACCGCCAGUUUGACGGGCCGGUUACGGUUCCACCGAUGACGGUUCGGAACCCGCUUGAACCGGCCCGAACCGGCACGGCCCGCCCGUUUGGCCGGCUCUAGUGCCUGCCUACGGCCUCGUUGUAAGCUGCAUGGAUGGAUAAUCCUGCAGGAGGUGCUUAAGCUCGUAGACUUGAUUAGCCCACAGCUUUUUCUGCCAUCACUCUUCCAUCCAGAUUCAAGAGGUAUAUGAGGAAGAAGCGAAUAGCAGUCCAAGCUUAAAGGAUAUGUUGCUGUGGAAUGGGAUCAAUUUGCUCAUGCGGUAUCUAAUAGUCCAGUGUAGUUUUGCUUCUAGGAAGUCUAGGUUCCAGUGUCGUAGGUUUUGUUAUAUGUCGUAGAUUUGAUGGGUAGUAUUUUGUUGGCCAGCUUUUGUUAUAUGUCAAGGGUCUGUUAUUGUAUCUCAUCGACUAUCUCUUGUUGUACCGCUUCCUUCCGGUGGAAUUCAAAAUUUGCAUCAUUUGCUUCUCUCCACAAUUUCAAGAAUGAGACACGGGAGUUUUAAAUUUAUAUAAAAUCGCAUAGGACCGAAUAUAAAACCUUUUUUUUAAACUUAUUAUGAAGAGUAAUUCUGGUAAUUUUAAAUUAUUUUAAAAAAAUUAGAGAACUCAUUCUUAAAAUAGAAUCAUUGAAUAAUUAAGAUUUUGCAGCUGAAUUCUAAAUUUUAAUAAGUUCUAUAUUAAUAUGUAAUUAAAAAUAAGAAUUGUAUUAACUUUAUGAUUCCUAAAUAAGAAAAAGCAUUGUAUUACUUUAAGGAUUCUUUUUCUGGAUUCUAGAGUAUUAUCUUUAGAAUCCGAUAAGAAAAGAAUUGUAUUAUCUUUAGAAUUCUUGAACCUGAUUUUUUCUGAUUUUUUGAAUUAUAAUUAUAUUUUCUAUCCAAAAUUUAAGAAAAAUUAGAAUACUGAAUCGAACAAUUCUAGAGACGCCCGCACCCUCCUUUAUAUAUAUACUAGUGAAAAAAGCCGCGCUUCGCAGCGGCGUGAUAAAUUUUGGUAUGAAUCAGUAUUAUAAUAGCAUAAAAAUUAUUUUUGAAUCAUCAUCCCGUUAAACAUAUCACAAAUAAAAUAUUGUAAUUGGUAUAAAAAUUUGUUUAAGUGUGAAACACAAUACUAAUAAUAAAAUUGGUUCGAACACCCCUCCCGUCAAAAACAAUAUUAAUCCAUAAUUAUUACUUUUAUGAUAAAAUUAAAUUUUGUGAUUUUGAUAAAAAUUAGUUUGAGCCGCUCUAUUGUCAAACACAAUACUCAUAACAAAAUAUCAUAAUUUAGAUAUUAGUUUGAGUCGUUUUACAGUCAAACACAAUACUAAUAAAAAUUAUUCUAAUUAUGAUAAAAUUAAAUAUUAUAAUUGGAUAAAAAUUAUUUUGAACUGUGGUCCUGUUUUAACAAAAAAAAAAAUAUUAUAACAUAGAUAAAAAAAUUAUUUUAGCCACUUUCCCGUCAAACAUAAUACUAAUGGAAAAAUUAUUAUUAUUUAGAUAAAAAUUAGUUGGGCCGCCUCCCGUGCCCGUCAAACACAAUACUAAUCAAGAAUCAUUUACAAUAUCAUAAAAUCAAUAUAUGAUUCCUAUUUUAUAUAUCCUAUUUUAUUUGUUAAUUAUUUUUAUUUUUUGAUUCUUAUUUAUUAGUUAAAAAUUAUUAUUCUUUUAUGGUUCUAAUUUUUUUGCUAUUAGUUUUUUUAAUGAUUAUUAUAUUUACAAUCCUUUAUUUUCUAUUCGAAAUUUAAGAAAAUUAUAAAACUAAAUCGAACAUAAAAAUUGUACGUAUCACCUUACAAAUUUUAAAUAUAAAUUAUAUUUUAUCUAUGAUUUUUAGUUUAAAUAAAUAUAAUCCUAUUCCUUUUAGCAUUCCUAAAUAAGAAAAAAAAUUGUAUUACUUUUAGAAUCUAAAAAAAAUUGUAUUAACUUUUGAAAUCUUUGAACUUGAUUUUUUUAAAUUUAUAGUUAUAUUUUCUAUCCGAAAUUUAAGAAAAUUAUAAGAAAAGAAUUUUAUUGUUUUUAGAAUCUAAUUAAAAAAAAAAGGAAUUGCAUUACCUUUAAUAUCCUUGAACUUGAUUUUUUGCAUUAAAAUUUUAUUUUCUAUUUGAUAUUCAAGAAAAUUUAAAGACUGUAUUGAACUAUUAUCGAAAUCGGUUGUAAGGUCAUUCAUGCAUACUAUUUGAAUGAGGUUGCGAAAAUCUCAAAGAUAUUUUUAAUCAUAGAGUUGCUAUCUUCUUGAUCUUUAUGGAACGACGUGAGUUUACAGCUACGAAUAUGUUUAGACAAUUUGAUAUUCCGAAAGAUGUUGGUUUUUAUUUUUUAAAUAUAUGAUUUGAGAAAAACUAAUAAAAUAAGAUUAUAAAUUUUAUAACUUUUGAAAAUAAAAAUUUUAUUUUAUUUUUUUUAUCUUUACGAUAAUUUAACUCCGUUCGAUUCUAUUUUGGAUAAAACGCGAGGAUAAUUCAUUCGAUUUCAUUAGUUUUUUUUUUUGCACAAGUAAAGUGAGUCGAUAUUUGAACUGUUUGUUCAUGCAACCUUGCUUAAGGGGAAAAAAGAGAAGUCUGCACACGGCUUUUGAUACAAACUCCAUAACAGCUCUUUAAAGUUGCUACUGACCAAUUGUAUUAUUGUAGUGCAGGGGCUGCUGAUAGAUCACAACUAUUCAUAAAUUUCGAGUUACCGUGAACAAAAAUAACAUGUUGAUACAAAUUUAUGUGAUAUAAUUGUUUAUAUAUAUAUUUUGUAGAUUCUAGAGUAUUAUUAGCUUUAGAAUCCGAUAAGGAAAAAGAGUUAUAUUACCUAAACAAAUAUAUUUUGUAGAUUCUAGAGUAUUAUUGCUUUAGAAUCCGAUAAGGAAAAAAGAGUUAUAUUACUUUUAGAAUUCUUAAACCUCAUUUUUUGAAUUAUAAUUAUAUUUUUCUCUCCAAAAUUCAAGAAAAAUCAGAAGGCUGAAUCGAACAAUUCUGGAGACGCCCGCAUCCUCCUUUAUAUAUAUAUAUUGAUGAUUGAUUGAUACCUGAGUCUACCACAGUCUCCAGUUAACCAAUCACACAAGAAGAAUUAUUUUAGGACCAAUCAGAAUUCAUUCCUAAAUUUUAGACCAAUGAUAUUUCUCCUCCAACUUUCCUUCUGUUAAAUAUUAACCAUAUUAACCACAGACUCCCUUAACCAAUCAGAAAAAAGGAAUUAUUUUAGCAUCAAUCAGAAAUCACUCCUAAAUUUUAGAACAAUAAUUUUCCUCCUCCAACUUUCCUUUAAUUAAAUUUUAAGCACAAAAAUUUACGUAGUAUAACGAAAUUUUAUACCAAUCAUAUUCAUUCUUUGAAUUUCUGUUUUAGCACCUGAAUUUAAAACCAAACAUGCAAAUUUUUUGACAUCUAAAUUUUACACGAGUUAUAUUAGUUUUUUUGAAACUAAUUUUUAUAAAAAUCAUAUUUAGAUGUAACAACUGAAUUUUAGACCAAUUAUAUUUAUUCUGUCAAAAUUUAGGACCAGAAGUCAUUACUAAAACUAAACCAAUCAUAUUCAUUCUCCAACCACCUUAUGUAGUUAACCAAUCAGAAAACAAAAAUUAUUUUAGCACUAAUAAUAUUCAUUAUCUAACUUUUUUUUAUUAAAUUUUAUCCAAAAUACUAAUCACAUACAAGUUAAUCAAUACAUUUUUUUAUUAUACAGUAUAAUUAAUUAACUCUUUUUCAUUAUCUGAUUAUAACUCAACCAAUUAGACUCCUUUUCAUUAUCUAAUUAAAAAUAAUCUAAUUAGAUAAUAAUAGUAUCCCCCCCCAGCAUCUGCCAGCACUAACACGGCUGCACAGCAUGCCUUCCCGGGGAAUCGAACCCGUGACCUCGCUCUGAUACCAACUCUAUCAAUCUUUUUAAGAACAAAACAUUUAGAACCAAAAACUUUAAAGUACCCGAUAUUAGGAGUCUUAUUUCUCAGCAACUCAUAUGGAGUCUUGUUCAAGAUAGGCCUGAUGAUCACCCUGUUCAGAACAUAGCAGGCUGUAUUGACUGCUUCUGCCCAGAAACUUCUUGGCAGCUUGCUUUCUUGCAAUAACGUCCUUGCUGUUUCCUGAAGUGACCUGUUUUUGCGCUCUACGACUCCAUUUUGUUGAGGUGUCCUUGGAGCUGAGAAUUGGUGAGUGAUUCCUCUUUCUUCACAGUAUGUAAUAAAGUCCUUUUGGAAUUCACCUCCAUGAUCACUCCUUAUACCUAUAAGCUUGGUUUUCAACUUAUUCUCAAGAAGUUUGAUUAGAAUUUCAAAUUCUUCAAAUGCACAAUCUUUAGUACGAAGAAAUAAAAUCCAUGAAUAUCGAGAAUAAUCAUCAACAACAACCAAACAAUAUUGCUUACCUCCAAUGCUUUUAUAAGCCUCAGGACCAAACAAGUCUAAGUGUAAGAGUUUUAGAGGUUGAGAAGUUGAUACCAUAUUCUUAGCCUUAUGAGUGCUUCGGAUUUGCUUGCCUAGCUGACAUGCUGAACACACUUCGGUCUUGGCAUACUUUAAUUUGGGCAGACCCCUCACUAGCUCCUUGCUUGACAAUUUCUUAAGCAAGUCCAUGUGAGCAUGACCCAAUCUUUUAUGCCAAAUGGUUGGAUCAGCAUCCACAGCAGCUAAACAGCAGGCUGUUUUCUGCAACUCAAAAUCUAAGACAUAGAUAUUUCCUUUCCUUCUAGCAACUAGAGGAAUCUGGUUAGUACCAACAGUAAUAACACAUUUAUCUUUAGAGAAUUCAACUUUAUGACCAUCAUCAUGGAAUUGACUUACACUAAGCAAAUUGUAUUUCAAGCCUUUAACAAAUCUAACAUUAGAAAUAGAGGUAGUGUCAUUACCAACUUUACCUUUACCUAGAAUAGGGAGGGUCUUACUAUCACCAAUAGUUACACCUCCUCCUCUUUUCAUCUUUACACUCUUAAACUGAGUUUUGUCUCCACACAUAUGCCUUGUACAGCCACUAUCAAUGAUCCAUUGUGUAGACUUGAUCUUAGCAGCAAGACAUAUCUGCAAAACAAAGAAAACAAAACUCAACACUUUGGUACCCAAGUUGGUUUGGGUCCACUUUGGUUAGAAGCACGAACAAAUAUAGCAUUUAAAUCAGUUUUCUUGAUCCACUUUUGGACCACAGUAGGAUAUGUAUGCUGCUUAGUUCUGUAGCUUCUGUUUGGACCAUUCUGGUAAGCUGUCUUCUUGUUCCAGUUAGGCUGUUUUGUCUUUUGAUCUGUUCUGGAAGUACUGUCUUUGAGGAUGUUGCUGGGUUCUGUAGCCUCUGUUGUAGCUUCUGUUGUAGAUUCUGUUGUAGCUUCUGUUGUAGCUUCUGUUGUAGCUUCUGUUGUAGCUUCUGUUGGGACCAUUGAAAUUCUGGUAAGCUACUUUCCCGUCCAGUAGGCUGUUUUGUCUUCUGGUGAUCAUUUCCUCACCAAUCAUCACUAGAAGCAGAUUCUUUCAUCAUCAUCACUCCAAGUCAGAAGUGCUUUAGAUUUCUUCUUUUUGUCUCUGGAAACAGCAGGCUGUUUUGACUUCAGCUUGUAGCAGUCCUUCUUGAAGUGACCAGGCUUUCCACAUUCGAAGCAGUUCUGAUCCUUUGAUUCCUUGGAGGGCCUUCUGCUACUUGAGUACUUAGCCUUAUCCUUGCCUUUCUCCCUUUUCAGCUGACUAUGCUUGUUAAUCAUCCUUUGAAUCUUCUUGGAAAGGAGUGCAAGAUCUUCAUCUGAUUCCUCAUCUGAUUCUGGCUUGCUCUUUUCAACAGUAAGAGCCAAGUUCUUCAUUUUCUCAACUGGAGCAUCAUGCUUCUUGGAAUGCAUCUUUCUCUCAAAUUGUUCCAAUUCAGCAAAAAGAGCUAGAUGAUCCAUUGUAUCAAUAUUGUGAGCAGCUUCCAAGGCAGUUACUUUGGAUUGAAAGUCGAAUGGAACAGAAGCAAGAAUGUUCAUGUUGAGUUCUGAUUGAGGAAUUAUCUUUCCAAGUCUCCCUAGGUUAUUGACAAUGAGUUGAAACCUAGCUUGAGCUUCUUUGAUUGUUUCUCCCUUUUGCAAGCCGAAAGCACCAAGUUCCUUCAUUAGUUGUCCCAAUUUUACUUUCCUUAGACCCUUUGAUCCUUCAUGAUAAGCUUCCAAAGCAUCCCAUAUCUCCUUUGCAGAUUUGAGAGAUGACACCUUGUCAUAUUCAGCUUGAUUAAGACCAUUGAUGAGAGUACUUCUAGCCUUUCCAUUAGCAGCCAUCUUUGUUAGCUCGUCGGUAGUAAGUUCAUCAACAUCUUUGACCUUGCCAUCUUUAUCUAGGAACUGAUAGGGACCUCUUUCAACAACUCUUUGCAUGAGAGGGUCUCUGGAGAGAUGAGCUUCCAUUUGUCCUUUCCACCAGUUGUAGUUGUCCGAACCAGUGAGGAGAGGAGCUCUAAAGUCUGAUUUUCCCUGAAAUUGGUCAGCCAUAGGAUCUAUACUAUUCCUGUUACAGAAAUGUUAGUAAACCUGGCUCUGAUACCAACUUUUAGGACCCUCAGCGCUAACCACUACACCAAAAGCAGCUACUUGUUGGAGAUGGCGCAACUAAGUCUUUUUAAUUGUAGCAGCCAGCACCACGGUUCGAGCUCAACCGAGCUGGGGAGAUGCUGGGCACCCCAACAAAUAGAAUUGGAGAUUUACUUUAAGUAAUUUGAUUUAAUUCAGUUUAAAAAUAAAUAAAUUAUUUUAGGAUGUUAACAAAUAAAAAAAGAGGAAGUAAUUUAGUACCAAUCAAAUAUCAUUCUUUAUUUUAGGCCAAUUAUAUUAAUUUGUUACCUUUAGAUACUGUUAGAACAAAUCAGAGUCCAUCCCGAGAUUUUUUAUAUGACUAAUCAAUAUUUGUAUUUUUAGAUCAAUUUGAUAAGAAAAUUAAAAUUAUACGAGUUUCUACACACUACAGAUUAGAACGAGCUUUUUAUUUACUUUGAUGGCAAAAAAAAACCGUUUCCUUAUGUUGUGGUGGAUAAAAUAUUAACAUGUAUUACAUGACGUACGUGCAUGGUCUUUCGAAUAUUAUAUGAUAUAAAAUUAAAUAUUUACAAUUUUAUAAAAUUAAAUUCACACUCGUCUAAUAUCAAAAUCAUUUUCAUAACUAUAAAUAUAUAAUUAUAAUGUGAAAAAUAAUAUAAAAUAAACACAAGUUAGUAUCCCGAUGGAACUGUUUAUAAUUUACUAAGACGUACCUUAAAUUCCCGUCUCACUCUUAUAGCAAACCCUGUGCUAGAAUAAAAAUAUUGUAUAUAAUUUCUAAAAAUAUUGUAUAUAAUUUCUUUUUGAGAACUGCCUCAGUUUAUUAUAAUCCUCCUAUAAAUAUGCCAUAGUUGUAAGUUUUUUGUUUAUCAAAUUCAUCAUUUCUGUCCCAUACACAGAAAUUAGAGAAUACAUAAAGAUUGUAAAAAAUGUGAUGGAAUUCACAGGAAAAAUCCUCCAGUUUAAGAAACAAUCCUGGUAGGAGUUAAGUCUCGUUAUCAAAGAGCUUCCCACGAUAGAUGUUGCCAUGACAGGUGUUGCCAUCAAAUGCCAACAACAAAGUAAAAUUGUACAAAUGAUAAGACACAAUUUGGAGUUAUGGAUUUUUCUUCAGAAUUAUCAGACUUCACCUGAUGAUAUGAUUUAGACUUCCAUGUAAAAUUAAUCCAUAGAGAUCACAUACUACCUUCACAAAAAAGGCUCUGAAGCAGUCAAAGGUCCUGAAGAAGCAAAAGUGCCGCUGCAUGAACAUCACCAGAUGUCUCGACCAGUGCUUGUAUGUUGUCAUGAGUGUCACGCAAGCCCAACCACCGCAGCUGAGAGAGUUGGUCUUCAUAAAGCUCUUCUAGGGGCUCUGCGAUACAUAACAGGAUAACCGGAAAUUAUAAUCCAAGCAAAGUAAAUGACGUCCAAAAUACAGGUUGCAUAGCAAAAACACCACACACCUAAGCACCACAGUCCUUUCUGCAUAAUAAGAGAGAAGGAAUAAUUUGGACUCAAGGUUUAUAGUGAUAGUACUUAAAAUAGAGAAUGUUAAAACACAUUGAUAAGCCAAGUUAUCACGUCCUCCAUAAUGCAUAACAUUGUUGGUGCAAAAGGAAGAAAAUUGUCACUUAAAAGUAUUUCAAGUGGUCUUACUAAAUACAAGAUCUAUAUUUCACAUGAUCAAAUGGUGAAAGAUCUCUAGUUGGAUAGGUCAAAGCAGUGAAAGUUAAUGCCAAAUAAAAGGCUCGUGAUUACAAUUUGAAGCUGAUAUGAAAUUUGACACUUAAACAGGUUAGCACUCAGCUUCACUGCGGUAGUAUUUUACAAAAACUUGUCUCUCAGCGACUUCAGUGUCAGAAUUAGCUAGGUGCAAGUUAUAAAAUUCCUCAAUUUCGUCAUGGCCUGCCAACAAUAUUGAAAAGAGGCCCAACCACUUAAUGUUUUGUGAUAAGUACCUGGCAGCCCGCCUCAUUAGUAUGAUAUUAUUGGCUCAAGCUGUGGCAGAGGAUGCACGGCUUUAUUUUUGGCUCCACGUAUCAAAAGAACUCAUCCUAAUUAAUGGACUUGUUUGGCUACUUAUUUUUAAAACAAAUCUGCUUUAUCUUUAAGAUGUGGGACUUGGGUUGACACCCACUCAACACUACCCUCACUUUGUGAUUUUUCUUUUGUUUAUUUGUGUUGCUAAACUGAUAUAAUUCUUGCAGUAAAUAUUAAUAUAUGAUAGUAUUUGCAUAAAUGUAUAUGUGUAUUUGGGAAGUGGAUGCUUAAAUAUAGAAUUAUGUGUAUUUGGGAAGUGGAUGGUUAAAUAUAGAAUUAUCGCUGCACAAUCAGAGGGGGGCUGAGACUGCACAACCCGGCCAAUAAGGGCCCAAAUUUAUAAAUAAUGUGUUGUACGUGUUGUUGUUUUACAAGAUAUUUACAAAGAGUUUGAAAAUAGUAUAUUUCUUGUUACAAUUUGUAUUUUAAGUUCAUUUUAUUUAUACAAAUUAUUUUAACUUUAUAUAAAGUAAAAAUUAAUUGAUUUGAAAUUUUACACACCCCAAUAAUUUUACUUGGAUAACUGAUGAGGUACCAGCUCAAUGUUAUGGCAUGCACAGAUUAAAAUGGAGCACAACUUGGAAAGAGGACCGCAGGGUGAUGGUGUGCUUGGUGGUGUUGUUGGUGCUGGUGAUGCAGGUGUUGUGGCUGCUAAUGCUGGGGGUGCUCCUGGUUAUAUUGGUGUAAUGAGACCAAAUAAUAAUGGUGAGGAUGUGGAGGAAUUUAUUCCUAAAUAAAUCCAAAGCGGAUAUAUGUAUGUGUGUAUAUCUAUAUAUAUGCGGAGACGACAACAGUAACCAUUUUUCCCAUUACUAUAUAUCAUUAAUUAUUUGCCUACACAAUAUAACAUUUUAUUAUAAUAUAGAAUAUUAUGAUACAUAAAUUUCAUAUACUUAAAACUGGUAGGAAUUGAAAAAGAUCAAUUUUUAGUGCAUAUUUUAUAAUUUUGAAUGAAUUUUAAAAGAAUAAAAUUCCUCGAUUUUAUUCAUGGCCGGCCAACAAAAUUGAAAAGAGGCCGAACCACUUAAUGUUUUGUGAUAAGUACCUGAGCCGGACGGCCUCAUUAGUAUGAUAUUAUUGGCUCUAGCCGUGACGGAGGUCCAUGCACGGAUUUGUUUUUGGCUCGGCGUAUCAAAAGAACUCAUGCUAAUGGACUUGUUUGGCUACUUAUUUUGAAGACAAAUCUGCUUUAUCUUUAAGAUGUGGGACUUGGGUUGACACCCACUCAACACAACCCUAACUUUGUUUAUUUGUGUUGCUAAACUGAUAUAAUUCUUGCAGUAAAUAUUAAUAUAUGAUAGUAUUUUCAUAAAUGUAUAUGUGUAUUUUGGGAAGUGGAUGCUUAAAUAUAUAUACAAUUAUAGCUGCACAAUCAGAGGGGGGCUGAGACCGCACAGCCUGGCCAAUAAGGGCCCAAAUUUACAAAUAAUACGUUGGACGUGUUGUUUUUUACCAGAUAUUCAAAAAGAGUUUUCAAAUAGUAUAUUUCUUGUUACAAUUUGUAUUUUAAGUUUAUUUUAUUUAUACAAUUGUUUUAACUUUAUAUAUAAAGUAAAAAUUAAUUGAUUUGAAAUUUCUACACACCCCAAUAAUUUUACCUGGAUAACUGAGGUACCAGGCCAAUGUUAUGGCAUGCACAGAUUAAAAUGCAGCACAACUUGGAAAGAGAACCGCAGGGUGAUGGUGUGCUUGGUGGUGUUGUUGGUGCUGGUGAUGCACGUGUUGUGGCUGCUAAUGCCGGGGGUGCUGCUGGUUAUAUUGGUGUAAUGAGACCAAAUAAUAAUGGUGAGUAUGUGGAAAUGAAGAAAAAGAUGGAAUCCUUGGAAGAAAAACUGAAGGAGAAGGAUGAAGAUUUUGAAGGACUUCAAGAUUCAUAUCAAGCUCUACUUGUCAAGGAGAGGAACAACAAUGACCAGUUACAAGAUGCUCGAAAAAAACUAAUAAAUGUGAGUUGUUUGCUGGUUGUCUUACAUUUUAAUUUGGAUUUCAUUGUCAAUGAAUCUGAGUUUUUUCAUGUCUUGCUCGAGUAAUAAUUUCAUUGUCAACAUAUAAAAGAUCCCGAAUCUAGCAGAAACAUUAUUGGAAAAUGAACUGAAAUAUUUAAUAUCUUUUGUUAUGAAUAUCUACUUGCAUGAAUUAUGAGCCAUUCAAGGCCGUAAAAGUUCAGCCUGCAUACUUUAGCCAAGUCAUUCAUGAUAACCUGACUCUCCCUAUACUACAAACCAUGCACACUCGAUAGCAAUUAUCUUUUGUUGAUAACAAUUAUAUAUAAGCAAAUGUCUGCAAUUUCUAGUUCGGGAAAAUAGGAACUGAAAAAUAUGUAUUGUUUUGAUAGUGUCCACCAAAGGUGAUCACUUUAUUGUUUCAAUAGGCUUUGAAGGAUAGGCGGACUAGCAUGAGGGCCUAUACUGGUGUCAAGCUGAUGGGAGACCUUAACCUCAAACCCAUAUUUGCUGCUGCAAAGAAAAAGUAUCCUCCUGCCGAAGUUGAAUUGAAAGCAAUUCAACUCCUGCAUGAGGGCAUUGCUUUCAAUUCAACUUCGGCAGGAGGAUACUUUUUCUUUGCAGCAGCAAAUAUGGGUUUGAGGUUAAGGUCUUCCAUCAGCUUGACACCAGUAUAGGCCCUCAUGUUAGUCCGCCUAUCCUUCAAAGCCUAUUGAAACAAUAAAAGAUCACCUUUGGUGGACUAUCAAAACAAUACAUUUUUCAGUUCCUAUUUUCCCGAACUAGAAAUUGCAGACAUUUGCUUAUAUAUAAUUGUUAUCAAGAAAAGAUAAUUGCUAUCGAGUGUGCAUGGUUUGUAGUAUAGGGAGAGUCAGGUUAUCAUGAAUGACUUGGCUAAAGUAUGCAGGCUGAACUUUUACGGCCUUGAAUGGCUCAUAAUUUACGCAAAUAGAUAUUCAUAACAAAAGAGAUUAAAUAUUUCAGUUCAUUUUCCUAUGUGUGGACAAUGAAAUUAUUACUCGAGCAAGACAUGUAAAGAAAACUCAGAUUCAUUGACAGUGAAGUCCAUAUUAAAAUGUAAGACAACCAAACAACUCACAUUUAUUAGCUUUUUUCGAGCAUCUUCUAACUGGUCAUUGUUGUUCCUCUCCUUUACAAGUAGAGCUUGAUAUGAAUCUUGAAGGCUUUCAAAAUCUUCAUCCUUCUCCUUCAGUUUUUCUUCCGUCUCCUUCAGUUUUUCUUCCAAGGACUCCAUCUUUUUCUUCAUUUCCUCCACAUCCUCACCAUGAUUAUUUGGUCUCAAUACACUAUCAACAGCAGCACCCCCACCAUUAGCAGCCACAACACCUGCAUCACCAGCACUAACAACACCACCAAGCACACCAUCACCCUGCGGUCCUCUUUCCAAGUUGUGCUCCAUUUUAAUCUGUGCAUGCCAUAACAUUAAGCUGGUACCUCAGUUAUCCAGGUAAAAUUAUUGGGGUGUGUAUGAAAUUUCAAAUCAAUUAAUUUUUACUUUAUAUGAAAUUAAACUAAUUUGUAUGAAUAAAAUGAACUUAAAAUACAAAUAAUAACAAGAAAUAUACUAAUUGUAAAUUCCUUUUGAAUAUCUUGUAAAAAAAACAACACAGCAUAUUGUUUAUAAAUUUGGGCCCUUAUUGGCCCCGGAUCUCAGCCCCCUCUGAUAGUGCAGUGAUAAUUGUAUAUAUAGUCAAGCAUCCACGUCCCAAAUAUAGAUGUACAUUUGAUUAUGCAAAUACUAUUAUAUAUUUAUAUUUACCGCAAGAACUAUAUCAGUUUAUAGCAAGACAAAUAAACAAAAGAAAAAUCACAAAUUUGUAAGAUGAAAUAUAACAAGAAAGCUACUGAAGGAGUGAAUUUAUGUUGAGCAAAAUAGCUUCAUCUCGACAUCAAAGCGCAUAUAUUUUUAAGUUUUAUUCAAACAAAUGAAGAGAAGUACCAUUAUUUCAUAUAACAUAUAAUACAUAAAUUUUUAAAUUUUAUCCACAUAAAUGAAGAUAAAUAUUAAGAUUUCUUACAACAUAUAUGAUACAUAGAAAAACUCACGUAUAUACGUCGAAAAUAGCCGCUCUUGUAGUAGUGUAUGUUUCACUUCACCCUUAAGAAGUAUUCAAAUAUCCAAAAUGAUAUACCUUACAAAAUGGAAAGGGAGAGAGCGAGAGAGAGAGAAAGCAAAAAUCAAGCUUGCAAUCUGAAAAUGGAGGUGUCAAAACCAAAUGAUAACAAUGAUUUACAUGCUCCAAUAUAAAGGCGUGUAGAAAGAAUAAAAUAUACUAUAGAAUCUUAAAUUUAGGUGUAAUAUCUUUACUUUUAUUAAUUAUUAUAAGAUAUGUAUUGUAUUGAUCUUUGUUGUGACCUUUUGCAAACAUAUAUUCUUAAAUUUUGCAUAUGUGAUUACAUUUAUGUCUUUUAUAUGUUUUUAAAUUUAUAAAAUUAAUAUUUAUCUCAUUUCAAAUUUCCAGAAUUUUAAAUAAAAUUUUUACAAAAAAUAAAUAUUUAUUAAUACUGAAAUCUUAGUGGCUAAUUAUAUGCAUUUUUUCAUACUAUUAAAGUACAUAAGAUAAUAGUAUCAUAUAUUAAUUCUUUAUAAAAUAGUAAAAAUAAUACUUUUUCCGCGCCACUAAAUUAUUAAUUAUUGUGGUAUUGAAAAGUGGAUGAAAUGAAAGGAACAGGUAAAUUUGUAUUAUAAUGUUUACAAUUUUUUUUUCAAAAUUUGAAAUGUAAGAAAUUGAGAAAUUAAGAAUUACAAAUUAAAAAUAUAGUUGGAACAAAGGAAAUAGUAACACAUAUAAAAACAAGUCUACAUAUAUAAAAUUAUAUAUUCUACUGUCAUAUAUUUUUAAGUUAUAUUGUGUAAAUAAUAUUAGUCAAGCAUUGGUUGUUGGUAUAUUUGAUACAAGAAGGUAUGUUUUAGUUUUUAUCUCAUUAACUCGUGUUGAAAUACAUGCAAAUAUUGAUACUUUUACAGGGGUGUAUUGAAUUGGGAUUUUGAAGGAUUUUUUUGCAUUCAUGAAAUUCGAGAGUAUUCAAUUGGGAUUUUUUAAAAUCCAUUAAUAUCUAGAGGUAUUCAAUUGAGAUUUUAAAUAAUACUACAAAAUCUGGUGGUAUUCAAUUAGGAUUUUAAAUUAUGCUUUAAAUCCGAUAUUCAAUUGGGAUUGUUUAAAAUCCAAUAAAAUCUGAUGAUAUUCAAAUGCUAAUAGAUUUUUUUUGGAUUUGAAAAAAUGAUGGAUUUUGUGGCAUUUCUCAAUGUAUUUUAAGUUUUUUGGAAACCCAUUAAAAUUCAUGGGAUUUUGAAGCAUUAAUGUUCUUAAAUCCUAAAGAAUCCAUAUCAACUAUACGACAUUUUAUUAGAAUUUGCACAAAAUCAAAAUCACAUACAAUCCAUUUAAAAUCCAUAGAUAAAAAACAAUCCAUUAAAAUCCCAAUCGAAUACACCCCUCUUAAUUUAUAUAUUAAUAUGUUAUUGUAGUCCGGUUUUAAACAAGUAUAAUUAAAAGUCGAAUUAAAAUCAUCAAUCUUUUCAUUCAAGCCAAUAAUAAUAUAAAAUUAUGAUCUAAUGUCUCAAAAGUUAAUAGUUUUUAGUAUCUAAAUUUAAUAUAAUAAAAUUCAUAAAAAGCAUAAAUAUACCCCUUGACUUAUUUACGAGUAAAUUUGGUUGGAAGUACGAACAUUCUACAUGAUUUAAUAUAUUGAAAUUCAAAACAUGUAUGAAAAAUCUUUGAACUGAUUUUACUAGUAAAUAUUGAAAAGGGGAAUAACGGAUUAAGUUUUAUCUUAAAAACUUUCUUUUUCUAGUGCAAAAGAUUUAGGAAGAAUAUUUGAAUUAAGUUAAAAGUAAUAUCUACAAAAGGGGAUUAAAGAAUUAAGAUUUAUUAAAAAGAUUUCUAUUUUCUAGAAGAGUUACGUGUGUAAUUGUGAAUAAAUAUCAAUUUGUUGGGCAUCAAUAAGGUGGAACAUAAAAUGGGCCCAUGACCUCAUUAGUGUUGUGAAUAAAUGUCAAUUUGAUGGGUCUCAAUAAGGCGGAUCAUAAAAUGGCCCUAUGACCUAAUUAGUGUUUAGGAUCCUCAAAUUUUGCGGGACUAUUUUAAAGUAUCUGAUCAUAACAAUGGAGCUAUUUUAUCUCUUGAGUUUAUUAUAAAAAAAUAGAUCAUAUAUAUUUUCAUUCAUAUCAUACUUUUGGUAUUUUAUGUUCUGGAUAAAAGAUUGGUGAUCACCAAAUUAGUUAGCGAAAAAAAAAUUGAUUCUCGGUUGUAUCAAAGCACAUGUAUGAUUAAUGUUGUGUUGAUACCUUAUGUAUCACUUAUUAACUAACAAGUAUUGAUUUUUCAUGAAAUAACAUAUUUAAUAAUAUUAAACAUAUUAUAUUUUAUAUAGAGAAUAAUAUUAACUUGUGAACAAAUGAUUAUAAGAUUGUUUGAUUAUAAAUAAUUUAUUUUGUAAACAUGUUAAAAUUUUGUAAACCCAAAUGGAGGACAAUACUAAUAUCCUUUUGAUGCCCAUCAUUCAUAGAACAAAGAGAUUUAGGAUUUAUCAUAUUAGUACAUGUUAAAAUUAAAUGAGUCAUGUUCUAAUGUGAUCGGGCAUUGAAGAUAUCCUUGUAGGCAUGAACCAAAUGGAUUAACAUACCGAUAUUUUUUUCCACAAAAUGGGAAGAAUUCAUCAAAAUACUGAAAUCCAAUCGGAACAAAUUAAACUCCGAAUUGUCAACUAUAUACAAUCUGAUUAUGAAACAAAAAAAAUAAGCUAAACAAGUAGUCAUUUUGUUUUCAAAUCGUUAGAGCUGUAAUUCGAGUUGGGCGGCUCGCGAGCUCACCUGGCUCGAACUCGUUUAACUAGGCUCGACUCGGCUCGUUUAGUUAAGCGAGCCGAGCUCAGGCAAAGGCUCCGGCUCGUUUAAUUAAACGAGCCGGCUCGACUCGUGAAAUUAAACAAGCCGAGUUCGGGUAGAAAUUUAGCCUCGAUUAAGUGUAAAAUUAAACGAGCCGCUCGCCCGACUCGCUAAAGCCGGCUCGUUUAGCUAAAUGAGCCGGCUCCACUCGACUCGUGAAAUUAAACGAGUCGAGUUCGGGCAAGGAUUUAGGCUCGAUUAGUUAAACGAGCCGGCUCGGCUCGGCUCGAUUAACUUCAGCUCGAACUACGCUCGGCUCGAAACUCGGCUCGCUCGGCCCGAAUUACACCCCUACAAAUCGUUUAACACAUAGAAUAUUAAAAUUCUUUAAUCUAAAAAUAUUACAAUGAUAUCUCGAACAAUCCAAUCUACUUCAGUUGUGAACAUUGACCUUCACAUAAGCACAAUUUGUAGCCCAAUGUUCAUAAAUAUCAGUUAAUCAACUCAUAUUGGAGCAACAAUUGCCCCCAAGAUAUGAACAAUUUUUUGUUGUGAAAUGUGAGCCCUUGCGAGAAUCACUACCGUUCCAUAUUUGAUUCAAGCUUUACGAAUUAGCCAAAUUAUCAUGUAAGUCCUUAUUAGAAAUAUUACCGAAAUCCAUAACAAGACUCACAAAAAUAUCAUAACAUAAAACAACAUCCAAAAAAAGGGCAUGAUCAAAAACCUUUGAUAACAAGCACGAACUUAAUAAGAACUCACCCAAAAAGAAUCAGAUUUUGAUUUAUUAAAACAUUGCUAAAUAUGUGAGAUGAUGGAAGAUAGAAGAGGCUUAAUUAGUGAAGGGGAUGAAGAUUGAAUUAUCACAGGUCAGGUGUACUUGUAUAACCUGCCAAAAUAUUUACUCCAGAGCAUUUUUCAUCGUUUAUAUACAUACUUGAUAGACAAGAUCACGUCCAAAAUAAACAUCGACAAAGAGGAUCUUGGGGAUCUCAAAAGACUCGGUGAAAAUUCACCAAUUCCUGAUAUCUCUUCAUCUCCAUCUGCUAUACUAUGGAAAUCUGCAUCGUUCUUGACAUUGUCAAACAACUUGUUUAUAGUACUUAAAAUAGAGAAUGUUAAAAGUACACAUUGAUAAGCCAAGUUAUCAUGUCCUCCAUUAUGCAUAACAUUGUUGGUGCAGAAGGAAGAAAAUUGUCACUUAAAAAAAGUAUUUUAAGUGGUCUUACUAAAUACAAGAUCUAUAUUUCACAUGAUCAAACGGUGAAAGAUCUCUAGCUGCAUAGGUCAUUAAUAUUGCCACAUAAAAGGCUCAUGAUUACAAUUUGAAGCUGAUAUAAAAUAUGUUAACAUACACAAGGGUAUUUAGUAAUAUCGAUCAAAAAACUUUACAAAGUAAUAAUACUAAAUACUGUAAANNNNNNNNNNNNNNNNNNNNNNNNNNNNNNNNNNNNNNNNNNNNNNNNNNNNNNNNNNNNNNNNNNNNNNNNNNNNNNNNNNNNNNNNNNNNNNNNNNNNNNNNNNNNNNNNNNNNNNNNNNNNNNNNNNNNNNNNNNNNNNNNNNNNNNNNNNNNNNNNNNNNNNNNNNNNNNNNNNNNNNNNNNNNNNNNNNNNNNNNNNNNNNNNNNNNNNNNNNNNNNNNNNNNNNNNNNNNNNNNNNNNNNNNNNNNNNNNNNNNNNNNNNNNNNNNNNNNNNNNNNNNNNNNNNNNNNNNNNNNNNNNNNNNNNNNNNNNNNNNNNNNNNNNNNNNNNNNNNNNNNNNNNNNNNNNNNNNNNNNNNNNNNNNNNNNNNNNNNNNNNNNNNNNNNNNNNNNNNNNNNNNNNNNNNNNNNNNNNNNNNNNNNNNNNNNNNNNNNNNNNNNNNNNNNNNNNNNNNNNNNNNNNNNNNNNNNNNNNNNNNNNNNNNNNNNNNNNNNNNNNNNNNNNNNNNNNNNNNNNNNNNNNNNNNNNNNNNNNNNNNNNNNNNNNNNNNNNNNNNNNNNNNNNNNNNNNNNNNNNNNNNNNNNNNNNNNNNNNNNNNNNNNNNNNNNNNNNNNNNNNNNNNNNNNNNNNNNNNNNNNNNNNNNNNNNNNNNNNNNNNNNNNNNNNNNNNNNNNNNNNNNNNNNNNNNNNNNNNNNNNNNNNNNNNNNNNNNNNNNNNNNNNNNNNNNNNNNNNNNNNNNNNNNNNNNNNNNNNNNNNNNNNNNNNNNNNNNNNNNNNNNNNNNNNNNNNNNNNNNNNNNNNNNNNNNNNNNNNNNNNNNNNNNNNNNNNNNNNNNNNNNNNNNNNNNNNNNNNNNNNNNNNNNNNNNNNNNNNNNNNNNNNNNNNNNNNNNNNNNNNNNNNNNNNNNNNNNNNNNNNNNNNNNNNNNNNNNNNNNNNNNNNNNNNNNNNNNNNNNNNNNNNNNNNNNNNNNNNNNNNNNNNNNNNNNNNNNNNNNNNNNNNNNNNNNNNNNNNNNNNNNNNNNNNNNNNNNNNNNNNNNNNNNNNNNNNNNNNNNNNNNNNNNNNNNNNNNNNNNNNNNNNNNNNNNNNNNNNNNNNNNNNNNNNNNNNNNNNNNNNNNNNNNNNNNNNNNNNNNNNNNNNNNNNNNNNNNNNNNNNNNNNNNNNNNNNNNNNNNNNNNNNNNNNNNNNNNNNNNNNNNNNNNNNNNNNNNAACACUAAAACCGACCGGAGAAGCUGGUCGGUUGUAACCUGGUCGGUUAUCAGCUAUUGGUCGGGUUUAAAGACGAAAACCGACCGAAAUGUCGGUCGGUUUUUCUUAUUUAAGAAAGUCGCUACCUGGGCCCUGCAAUGCCAUCUGGAGCCACGUGGACGCCACAGCCACGUGUAAAUUAAAACCGACCGCAGUCGGUCGGUUUAAAUGUUUGACCAAAAUAUGGUCAAUCGAUAUAAGAAUAGUAUAAUCGACCGGUAGUGGUCGGUUAUAAUCGAUUGACCAAAAAAGUCAAAUUUGUUGGGGCACUAAAACCGACCGUCUGUGGUCGGUUACAAUAUCUUGACCAAAAAGUCAAAUUUGUGGCUGCUCAAUAAAACCGACCGCAAGUGGUCGGUUAUAAAGGUUUGACCAGAAAAGUCAAACUAAAAACAAUGACCUUAUAACCGACCGCUGACGGUCGGUUUCCCAUAACCGACCGAUACGACAUGGUCGGUUAACGAGCAGACCGAUUGCAGGGCUUAAAACCGACCGUAUAUAACCGACCGGUCUACCAAAGGUAACCGACCGCGUAGUAAGCAAUCGGUCGGUUUUCUGGCUUUUUUGAAUGGUAACCGUGGUCGGUUAUGUAUACGUCGGUCGGUUUUGUCUGUGAAUUGAAUGGUAAGGACGGUCGGUUUUGUCUUCAGUCGGUCGGUUUUCUGGGUUUUCUAUCAAAAAAAAAAUAAUCCUGCUGUUUCUAUAUACUGCCAUACCUGCUACCAACUACCAACAAUCAACAAUAUCCAAAAUACAUAAACCACAACACCAUAUAUAACAACAAAAUGUACCAUAACUACAAUCCCAAACAUCAAACUUAUAAUUGUCUACAAGGGCAAACCAAAAGCCCUUCACAAGCAUUAACCAAAUUCCAAAUCCAACUUAAACACAAUAUUCAAAACACAAAUAUUCAAAAGCCAAACUAAUCUAAUGUAACAUCUGAAUCGGAAGCAGCUCCAUCCGCAGCGGCAGUAGCACCCGCUCCGGAAGCAGCACUAGCAUCCGCUCCCGAAGCAGCACUAGCAUUGGCACCCGCAUCAGCACCGGCUUCGGGUCCCCCGCGUUCCUCCUCCGACAGCUCCUCUGGAUCAGUAUAAUCCUUCUCCGCUGCGAGUCUGCGUUCCUUUUCCUAAUUGCACAUAUAAUAGACAAUGACAACCAAUAAGAAAAUAAGCAUACUCGAUCAAUACAAGUAGAUAACAAAUAUGAAUUCGUACCUCUUCAACCUUCCUUUCCAUUUUGAGGAGUAUAUCCUCGACCAUCGACCCCACAAUGUGUACCAUCUCCCCACCAAUCAUAGAAUUCCAUUGAACCCUUGUACUUGGAUCGGCAGCUGGAUCGGAGGCCUCUAGUGCGGUUUUUGCAAAAUUCGCGAUCUCUUCUUCAGACAUUUGUCGCUGAAAUUGAAGGGGGUUCGCACGGACCUCAUUGAGCACAUUGCGCACGACCGAGAGGUACACAUUGUCGGGAAUGACGGCUUCUUGUCUCUGACCGGAAGAUCCACCGGCUUCGCCUCUUGUUGAAUCCCUGUAACGUGAGGCGAGAGUCGGAAUAAGUUGACUAGCACGAGCCUCGGGGAAUCCAACAAGGUAGUCCUUCUUAGGCUUUUUGCCUUCGGGAACUCCGGUUGCUGACAACCACCAUUCCAAGGGCUCGUCUCUAUCCCCUGUUUGUGUAACCGACACCGGCCUGCUUUCUAGAAUAGAAGCAUAUCGUGUCUACAGAGAAAUGUGCAUCAAUCAGUACAUUAAACAACUUAAAAAGUAAAAUGGACAUUGAAACUUUAAAAAAAAACCACAAGACAAUCAUUUAAUUACCGCUAUGGCCAUUGCAGCAGGCGUGGUAUACACGGGGUGCUCGGGAUCACUUCCAACCCUUGUAUGCGUCCGGUUCCAUACUUCAAGGCGAGUUGGAUUCUUUCCUCGUUCCUUCCUUUUCAUUUCCUUCCAAAAACAAUUUAAAUCAUCAAUAUAAUAUAUAUGUGAAUUAAAUCUUAAUUAAGAAAUUAAGGUGUGUAUGAUAAUAGAUAUUUAUAUAUACCUCCUUCACUUUAUUAAAAGACCGGGCACCGGCACUAUGCAACCGCUCGACGUUCUUGCGGUUCGUAGAUCCAACGGAUGACCUAUGCAAGUGCCCCUCAUUCUUUUCCCAAUAAUUUAAUAAAUCCUUCCAAAAAAGUUCAGACCAAUAUCCAGGUCUUAAACUCAAUUUUGAUUUUCCGCUUUCCUUUGAUUUUUGCUCAAUAUUUGUCUUGAGCUCAUUCAACGUCCUCUUUAUUGUGUUCUUGAUAUGCUUCUCAAUUAUAUUUUUUGCUUCGGACCGGCUUUGUCCCUUUUGUUGCUUGAAAUAUAACUACAAUUAUAAUAAAAUCAAGAUAAAUUACAUACAUAUGGUUAGACUAUUUACACAUAAUACAAAUAAAUAAAAAAGCAUGCAUACAAAUCACGAUGUGAGCAUAAGAAGAGUAGCUUACAUUAAAUUCCUCGACUACGUGUUUUAGCCAUUCAUCAUCAUGUUCAACAAUGUCGGUGAACGUGUAAUGUCCAACGGGCCACCUUUCACGAACAAUAGCAAGCAAAGUCUUCUUUGCUUGAUCAUCUUCAAUACUACCAAAAUGUGAAAAGAGAUUAUAUGUACAUAUAUAUGUAUGUCAACAAAAUUUAAACAAGUGCAAGAUACAUAUAUAUAUAUAUACAGAUAGAUAUAUAUAUAUAUAUAUAUAUAUAUAAGUUACUACAAGUAGACUUACUGUCCUCCUGAAAUAUUGAUACGGAUUGGUUUCGGAGGGAAUUUUCCAAACAAACCGGCUGAAUGGGAUCGUGGCCUCCUAAUUACCCUUUGUCUUGGAACUUCCUCUUCAUUCGGAUUCUCCCCGCCUUCAUCCGAAUCAGGUGGCUCAUCACGUAUAGCCAAGGUGCUAGACUUUCCUUUACCCUUCCGAGUGGAAGUUGUCUCCUUGGCUUUCCCUUUUCCCUUGCCUUUGGUUGUCUCCUUGGCCUUCCCCUUGCCCUUGCCUUUUCUUGCCAUUAAGGCAAUGAUCAUCACCACAAGGAUGACAAACCACCACAAGGUGCCCUAAUCAAACACCAUAAACACCAUUGGUUAGAAUAUGAAUAAAAAAAUAAUCGACUUUAAAUGGAAACCACAACCCCUUAUGAAUCAAAAUGCAAACCACAACCCCUUAAUUAUAUCACAUAAAUUUCAUUCACAACCAAUUAUGCAAGCCACAACACCUUAUGAAUCGACUCAUUUUUGAACAUAUAAACGCCAAAAUGAAUGAAACCACAACCCCUUAUAAAUCAAAAUGCCAAAAUACAAACCACAACCCCUUAAUUAUAUCACAUAAAUUUCAUUCACAACCAAUUAUGCAAACCACAACACCUUAAUUAUAUCAAAAUGCCAAAUGCAAACCACAACCCCUUAAUACAAACACAAAACCAAAUUCCAAGCCCUCCUUAUGAAUGUGAGUACAAACUAAAAAUUACAAAAAUAUAAAAACAAAUAAAAAACAGAGAUUUCCAAACUAACAUAUACAAAUUAACAUAUACAAACCAAAACUAACAUAUACAAACUAAAACUAACAUAUACAAACUAAAACUAAAACAUAUACAAACCAAAACUAACAUACACAAACUAAAACCUAUCGUUUUCAUUCUCAUGACAUAACCGACGACAAGAACUUGCAUGUAUAUUUCCAAACUAACAUAUACAAAUUUUAUAUACAUACAAUGCAUACAUAUAAAAGCUUGAAAACUAAACAAAUCAAACAAAUUGAAGUUCAAUAGAGCUCUAUACUAACACAAAUUUAAGCUCUAUACUAACACAAAUUAAAAGUUAGGAGAGGGUUUCGGAUUCUACCAUUGAAGAGGAUUUUGGAGAGGGUUUCCGAUUCUUGAUUCUUGCCGCCAUUGCACUUGAUUCUUGCCUUGAAAGAGUUAGGAGAGGGUUUGAUUCGAGUUUGGAGUUUGAAAGAGUUUGGAGAGGAAAGGGGUGCAGAGUACUGUCGUUCGUGUGAGAAUAAAAGAGGAAAGGGGGGUUUUUUUUUGUUUAUAUACUGACGCGCCAAAACCGACCGGCCAUCCGGUCGGUUUUGACUUGGAAAUCUGUGCAGAACCAUCAAACGACGUCGUUUCUGUCGCGCGGGUGUUUUAAUUUUUCACGAAAAAUUUCAUUUUCCGCGUAAUUUUCAAGGUCGGUCGGUUUUACUCUCCAGUCGGUCGGUUUUGUGUUUUUGGGAAAAUAUUUUCUUAAUUUAAUAUUUUGUUUAUAUAAAGUAUUAUUAUAAAAACNNNNNNNNNNNNNNNNNNNNNNNNNNNNNNNNNNNNNNNNNNNNNNNNNNNNNNNNNNNNNNNNNNNNNNNNNNNNNNNNNNNNNNNNNNNNNNNNNNNNNNNNNNNNNNNNNNNNNNNNNNNNNNNNNNNNNNNNNNNNNNNNNNNNNNNNNNNNNNNNNNNNNNNNNNNNNNNNNNNNNNNNNNNNNNNNNNNNNNNNNNNNNNNNNNNNNNNNNNNNNNNNNNNNNNNNNNNNNNNNNNNNNNNNNNNNNNNNNNNNNNNNNNNNNNNNNNNNNNNNNNNNNNNNNNNNNNNNNNNNNNNNNNNNNNNNNNNNNNNNNNNNNNNNNNNNNNNNNNNNNNNNNNNNNNNNNNNNNNNNNNNNNNNNNNNNNNNNNNNNNNNNNNNNNNNNNNNNNNNNNNNNNNNNNNNNNNNNNNNNNNNNNNNNNNNNNNNNNNNNNNNNNNNNNNNNNNNNNNNNNNNNNNNNNNNNNNNNNNNNNNNNNNNNNNNNNNNNNNNNNNNNNNNNNNNNNNNNNNNNNNNNNNNNNNNNNNNNNNNNNNNNNNNNNNNNNNNNNNNNNNNNNNNNNNNNNNNNNNNNNNNNNNNNNNNNNNNNNNNNNNNNNNNNNNNNNNNNNNNNNNNNNNNNNNNNNNNNNNNNNNNNNNNNNNNNNNNNNNNNNNNNNNNNNNNNNNNNNNNNNNNNNNNNNNNNNNNNNNNNNNNNNNNNNNNNNNNNNNNNNNNNNNNNNNNNNNNNNNNNNNNNNNNNNNNNNNNNNNNNNNNNNNNNNNNNNNNNNNNNNNNNNNNNNNNNNNNNNNNNNNNNNNNNNNNNNNNNNNNNNNNNNNNNNNNNNNNNNNNNNNNNNNNNNNNNNNNNNNNNNNNNNNNNNNNNNNNNNNNNNNNNNNNNNNNNNNNNNNNNNNNNNNNNNNNNNNNNNNNNNNNNNNNNNNNNNNNNNNNNNNNNNNNNNNNNNNNNNNNNNNNNNNNNNNNNNNNNNNNNNNNNNNNNNNNNNNNNNNNNNNNNNNNNNNNNNNNNNNNNNNNNNNNNNNNNNNNNNNNNNNNNNNNNNNNNNNNNNNNNNNNNNNNNNNNNNNNNNNNNNNNNNNNNNNNNNNNNNNNNNNNNNNNNNNNNNNNNNNNNNNNNNNNNNNNNNNNNNNNNNNNNNNNNNNNNNNNNNNNNNNNNNNNNNNNNNNNNNNNNNNNNNNNNNNNNNNNNNNNNNNNNNNNNNNNNNNNNNNNNNNNNNNNNNNNNNNNNNNNNNNNNNNNNNNNNNNNNNNNNNNNNNNNNNNNNNNNNNNNNNNNNNNNNNNNNNNNNNNNNNNNNNNNNNNNNNNNNNNNNNNNNNNNNNNNNNNNNNNNNNNNNNNNNNNNNNNNNNNNNNNNNNNNNNNNNNNNNNNNNNNNNNNNNNNNNNNNNNNNNNNNNNNNNNNNNNNNNNNNNNNNNNNNNNNNNNNNNNNNNNNNNNNNNNNNNNNNNNNNNNNNNNNNNNNNNNNNNNNNNNNNNNNNNNNNNNNNNNNNNNNNNNNNNNNNNNNNNNNNNNNNNNNNNNNNNNNNNNNNNNNNACCUAAAAAUAUUAAAAUUAUAUUGAUGAAAUAUAUUCAAAUUUCAAAGGAAAUUGAAAAAACAAUAUAUACCUUUUUCAAUAACCAAUCUUUAAAUCGGGUCUUUAUGUAACAAUCUAAUUGUUGAGGUGUUGUCUCCGGACGUUGACUCAUAACACGAUCUGUAAACCGCCUGAAAUAAAUUAUAAUAAAUUAUUAAUAAAUUAUCAAUAAAUUAUAAUAAAUUUAAAUAAAUUAUAAAUGAUACCUUAGAUAAGGUUGAAUUUCUGGAGAGUUCAGAAGUACAUAUUCUUCUGCUAACUUUCGCUCUUUAUCGGUCAAAUAACGACUUCCCUCUUUACCUAGACAUUCAAUUGGAUAGUGGAUAUUCAAAAACUUCUAAUUUUUCGGAGCCAUCACCAUCAAAACGAGCUUCAUUGCGACGUAUUUUAUUAUGAAUUGAGUCCGUGGCAAAGUAGAAGGAACAAAAAUUAAGAAUCUCCUCUUCCAUAUAUCGUUCGGCAAUUGAACCCUCGACUCGCGCUUUAUUACCAACCUUUUGUUUAAAUUUACCUAAUAACCGUUCAAUUGGAUACAUCCAAUGCCAAUAAGCGGGUCCUGCUAGUCUAAUUUCUUCUGCUAAAUGUAUUACCAAAUGCUCCAUCGAAUCAAACCAAGUCUGAGGAAAAAUUGUUUCCAAUAAACACAAAGCUCUAAUAACCGAUUUCGUCAUUAGAUCCAAAUCGGAUCUCGUAAUCACGGAUGAACAUAAUUCUUGAAAAAAAUUGGAAAUCAUUGUCAAGGCAUCCACAAUUGGUCCCGGUAGAAGCUCGCGAAUUGAUAGAGGCAACAAUUUUUGAAGGAAAAUAUGACAAUCAUGCGAUUUAAAUCCAAAAAACUUACACUCCUUAGCAUUGCAACAACGAGAUAUAUUUGAGACAUAACCGUCUGGAAGUUUCAACGACUCAAUCCACUGACAUAGAAGUUUGAGUUGUUUUCUACUAAGAGAGUACGGAGCUUUUGGUUUUUUGCCAUUUUCAUCAAUCCACAAAUGAGGCAACACACCGAAGUGUUUGCAAUCCGACCUUGCCUUGUGGUGAUCUUUUGACUUCUUACCCCCAACAAUGGUAAAAAAUAUGUUCUCAAACACAUUUUUUUCGGUAUGCAUGAUAUCAAUGGAAUGUCGCAAACUAUGUAAAGACCAAUAAGGGAGAUCAUAGAACAUCGGGGCAUGAGUCCAAUGAUGCUCAACCCCAUAUCCAUCACUUCUUUUCUUUUUGUUAGUCUUUCCGGGUGGUGGAAAGUCUAUGCUAUCAAUCCAAGUUUUAACUUCCUCCCCGGAUAAGCGUCCACGCCACAACCUUUUUUCCGAAUGGUCAAACAAGCUACUCUUCUUACGGUUGCAACCGGUUACUAAUCCAACUUCGAUCAAGAUUUGUCAUCUACAUAAAUAUAUAUACACACCACGUAUGUAUUAACAUAACAUAAAACAUAUACACAUUACAAAUUAUCCAAGAAAUUUAUAUAAACAACAUUCAUACAAAUUAUUCUCAACAAAAUAAAUAAAAAUCACAAUGUGAUCAUAAUUAAGAAGAGUAGCUUACUUUGUUUUUGAUAAUUGAUUCCUUCCUUUGUUGUUCUUCUUUUUCUUCUUCUCCUUCUUUUUCUUCUUCUCCUUCUUCUUCUUUUGAUAUUUGAUAAUUACCAAGCUUUGUUGUAUAAUGAAAGUGGAGAGUAGUUUUUUACUUUUUACCUCAAACAAAACCGACCGCCUGUCAAAAACAACCGGUCGGUUAUGUCUAUUUUAACAAAACGCUGUCGUAUCACUGCUAAAACGCACCUACCCACCGUUUUUUAAAUAAUAAAAUAUACAAAUGGCAGUCAAACCCGACCACCAGGUGGUCGGUUAUGUCGCAAAAUAAAACCGACCGUAUGUUUCUGGUCGGUUAACGAGCAGUGCGCUAUUUUCCCAGCAUUUAAAACCGACCAUGUAAAACCGACCGAUCAAAAGCGACCAAGAAUUCGGUCGGUUUUAUAGUCCACUAAACAGCACUUAGCCAAAAUAAAUCAAGAAUUAAAAUUAAAAUAACCAAAACCGACCGCGGUCGGUCGGUUUUAUAUCACAAAAACGACGUCGUUUCUGCACUUAGCCAAAUAAAUUGAGAAUUAAAAAUAAAAAUAAUCUAAACCGACCGUCGCCGGUCGGUUUUAUAGUACGCAUACGACGUCGUUCGUCGGUGCCGCAGAGCAUUCUCAUGACUUAGCCAAAUAAAUCGAUAAAUAAAACUAAUAAACACAAAACCGACCGAAUGUUUGUGGUCGGUUAACGAGCAGUGCGCUAUUUUCCCAGCAUUUAAAACCGACCACGUAAAACCGACCGAUCAAAAGCGACCAACAAUUCAGUCGGUUUUCUGCACUUGGUUAUGGUAUAAGCGGUCGGUUAUGACGUUAUCGGUCGGUUUACUGAGUUGCGGCAAUGGUCACCUCGGUCGGUUAUGACUGGUGUCGGUCGGUUUUGUCGGUUAAAUUUUUAAAAAAAUAAUUUGACGGAACUGGUUUUAUAUCAGAAAACUCAUAACAAAUGCAACCAUUUAUUCGCAAGUCGUCUGAUAAAAACCAGUCCCGUCAAUGAUAACUCCCUAAAAAAUUGUUUAAUCUUCAAAAUAUUUCAAAUUAAAAUUUAUGCUAAUAACAAAUUAAACUCACACGCUUUAUAAAAUCAAACUCAAAAAAAUAUAUCAAAAUCAAAUCAAACUCAAAAUCAAUUAAAAUAGAUGAGUAAUAACAAUAUUUAAAUCAAAUUCAAAGUCCAAAAUCAAAUAAAAUUAAUCUUAAUAAUAUUUCAAUUUCAAAAUCCUAUCAAUUUCCUAAGCAAUCAAGGGGUAUGAAUAUUGGGAGUGUAACUCAUAGAAUUCAAUACAAGGGUAAUGGAAGGGUGACUCUUGGGAUUGUAACACUAAUACAAUUCAAUGUAGAGACUUUUUAGUUGCUUAACACUUGUUCUAUAAAAAGGGCUCUAAUCUACCACAAAUUAACUACAACUACUACAAUCACAAUCAAAAUUACAAUGGCAGUCACAAUCAACUACAACAGCAACACCGUCACAAUCAAUGGAGUCUCCUAUGGCAUUCUCGACAUCCCCGAUGAUAUUUGGGUGGAAAUGGAUUGGGAUUAUAGAAUCCCAAUCAUGUUCAUGCAAAUGGAUCACUAUCUCGAACAGGAGCGGCUAGAGGAAGAAAGGCGGGCAGCGCUACGCAAGCAAGAGUGGAUGAUUCGCUUCGCGGGGAUGAUGACCGCGAAGUUGAAGCAACAAAAGGAGGAUGAGGACAAGGAGGACAAGGCGGGCAAGGGCAAAGGCGAGGCGGGCCCUUCGGGGAUUUGAAGUUGUUAAAGUUGUUUUUAAGUGUUUUUUUAUGAAUUUUAUUUAAGUAUUUAUAAAGAUGUUUAUGAAUAUUAAUGAAAUGAUUAUAUAUUUUGCUUCAAAAACGGACUCCUUCUUCAUUAUCAUGCAUUCAUGCUUACAAACUCGACUAAAAAUCGAAUUCAAAGAACAUAAACAAUUAAAGAGAAACUAAAAAUCAAAAUCAAACUCAAAUUCAAAAUCAUAUACAUAAAGAAACAUAUAUAUACAUACAUACAAAAACACAUAUAUACAUACACAAAAUGCUAAAGAGAAACUGAGGGAGAGAUCGAUAUACCUUUUAAGUUGGGAUUGAACCCUAAUUGAGAUUGAUAUCCAAAAUCCAAUCGAGACCGAACGGAGUUUAAAAUCCGUAUUCUUCAUGUGCAUUUUGUUGGCGGAGAGGGAGAGGUUAGUUGGCGGAGAGACAGAGAGAGAGGGGAGUAGAGAGAGAGAGAGAGAGAUUUUUGGGAAGAGAAGAGGAAAAAAAUAAGUUGGGGAAAAAGAAAGAGAGACUGGUGGGGGAGAAUCAUAUUAAUCAAAAUUACGACUUAAAACCGACCGGAGCCGGUCGGUUAUGAUAUUUACAUUAAAACGGUGUCGUAACCCCUUCUCAGACGAGUUUAUGUAAUCCAUUUUCCACAUAAAAUAAAAAAAUAUAUAUAUAUGUAUAUAAUAGGAUAAAACCGACCGCUAGCGGUCGGUUUUGGUUUUCGCGAUUAAACGGCGUCGUUCAAAUCAUAAUUUAUUUAAAAAUCAAUUAAAUUUUUAAAAAAACAUAACCGACCGACACCGUGGUCGGUUAUGAACCGUACACGUCAGAUGUAAAACCGACCGCUCUUGUUCUGGUCGGUUAUAAAAUGUCUGGCCUUGCCAGCAAGGCAAAAUGACGUCGUACUGCAGUGUAACCGACCGAUUUAGGACGGUCGGUUUUAAGUCGACACUUUUUUUUGGCGGUCGGUUUUAGCCGGUCGGUGUUGUCCUGUUUUUUUGUAGUGUAAGCACCACAGUCCUUUCUGCAUAAUAAGGGAGAAGGAAGAAUUUGCACUCAAGGUUUAUAGUGAUAGUGCUUAAAAUAGAGAAUGUUAAAGCACAUUGAUAAGCCAAGUUAUCACGUCCUCCAUAAUGCAUAACAUUGUUGGUGCAAAAGCAAGAAAAUUGUCACUUAAAAAGUAUUUCAAGUGGUCUUACUAAAUACAAGAUCUAUAUUUCACAUGAUCAAAUGGUGAAAGAUCUCUAGUUGGAUAGGUCAAAGCAGUGAAAGUUAAUGCCAAAUAAAAGGCUCAUGAUUACAAUUUGAAGCUGGUAUGAAAUUUCACACUUAAACAGGUUAGCACUCCGCUUCACUGCGGUAGUAUUUUACAAAAACUUGUCUCUCAACGACUUCAGUGUCAGAAUUAGCUAGGUGCAAGUUAAAACUCUCUUAUAUAUCAAGACCUGAACAAAUAAGGACCAUGGCUUCGGAGCCUGCAAAAGAGUCUAUUUGAAUUGUUGAUUAAUCGCCAGAGAUGGUUUAGAACCACUAGUAUCAUUAUCUAAUGGAUCUUUCCGUUCUAAUACUCUAAUAUCCGAGAGUUAUCAGGUUUUAUCAAAUCUAUUCCUAUCUACGGAACUCUAUUGGAUCAAAUGACAAACACAUUAUUUUAAUUAUAUUACAUUCCAUAUGACGUAGGAUUCAUGAGAAAAUUAUAAACUGAUUACAAAGAUGUGUUCUAAAUAUUAUGUAAUUAUUGACGAGCAUGAGAAAAAGCUCAUAUCUUAAUUGAGAUUACUAUGGUGUAUUUAUAUAUAUUGGAAGCUUAUCACGAAAAAAUGUUUUUGUGAGCCAACAUUCACCGACCAUAAUAGAGGAGGAACAUACCAUUCUCUUCUAUUCUCUUCUGUAAUUAAUGUUUUGCUUUAGAAAAAAUAUCCUUCUUAGGCUAAAAUCUGCUAAAGUAUGCUCACGUAAUAUGGUAAAUAGUAAUCAAACUGACAUGUUUCCCACAAUAGCGAAAAAAAAUUGUGCAGGAAAUUUAACAUACAGGAGGAUUGCCAAUCAACUUACUUGGGCAGGCCACCAUAUCUACGCUGCCUUUUUGGCCAAACAACCUCUUGUGCCCUAUUUGCACAAGCAACAACACUCCCUAGACCUAUGUGCUCAUCAACACAACUAAAUUGGAAAAGAGAAAAAAUUCCAUAAUUAGUUACAAAUCAAAAUGGAAAGUUGUACUCGUAUCGAGUGUGCAUGGUUUGUAGUAUAGGUAGAGUCAUGCAAGUAGAUAUUUAUAACAAAAAAGAUUAAAUAUUUCAGUUCAUUUUCCUAUGUGUGGAAAAUGAAAUUAUUACUCGAGCAAGACAUGAAAAAUAACUCAGAUUCAUUGACAUGAAGUCCAUAUUAAAAUGUAAGACAACCAAACAACUCACAUUUAUUAGCUUUUCUCGAGCAUCUUGUAACUGGUAAUUGUUGUUCCUCUCCUUGACAAGUAGAGCUUGAUAUGAAUCUUCAUCCUUCUCCUUCAGUUUUUCUUCCCUCUCCUACAAUUUUUCUUCACUCUCCUUGAGUUUUUCUUCCAAGGACUCCAUCUUUUUCUUCAUUUCCAUAAUAUCCUCACCAUUAUUAUUUGGUCUCAUUACACCAAUAUAACACCCCCAGGAUUAGCAGCCACAACACCUGCAUCACCAGCACCACGAAGCUGCACACCAUCACCCUACCGUAGGGUCCCUACGGUCCUCUUUCCAAGUUGUGCUCCAUUUUAAUCUGUGCAUGCCAUAACAUUAAGCUGGUACUUCACUUAUCCAGGUAAAAUUAUUGGGGCGUGUAUGUAAUUUUAAAUCAAUUAAUUUUUACUUUAUAUAAAGUUAAAAUAAUUUGUAUAAAUAAAAUGAACUUAAAAUACAAAUUGUAACAAGAAAUAUACUAAUUGCAAACUCUUUUUGAAUAUCUUGUAAAAAAAACAACACGUCCAAAAUAUUAUUUAUAGAUUUGGGACUUUAUUGGCCAGGCUGUGCGGUCUCAGCCCCCUAUGAUUGUGCAGCUAUAAUUGUAUAUUAAGCAUCCACUUCCCAAGUACACAUAUACAUUUAUGCAAAUACUAUUAUAUAUUUAUAUUUACUGCAAGAACUAUAUCAGUUUAGCAACACAAAUAAACAAAAGAAAAAUCACAAAGUGAGGGUAGUGGUGAGUGGGUGUCAACCCAACUCCCGCAUCGUAAAGAUAAAACAGAUUUGUCUUCAAAAUAAGUAUCCAAACUAGUCCAUUAGCAAAUCCGUGCAUGUGGGCUCCGCCACGGCUAGAGCCAAUGAUAUCAGACGAGGGGGGCUGUCAGGUACUUAUCACAAAACAUUAAGUGGUUGUGUCUCUUUUCAAUUUUGUUGGCCGGCCAUGAAUAAAAUCGAGGAAAUUAUUCUUUUAAAAUUCAUUCAAAAUUAUAAAAUAUGAACUAAAAAUUGAUCUUUUUCAAUUCCUACAAGUUUUAAGUAUAUGAAAUUUAUGCAUCAUAAUAUUCUAUAUUAAAAUAAAAUGUUAUAUUGUGUAGGCAAAUAAUUAAUGAUAUAUAGUAAUGUGAAAAAUGGUUCCUGCCGUCCUCUCCGCAUAUAUAUAGACAUACACACAUAUAUAUCCGCUUUGGAUUUAUUUAGGAAUAAAUUCCUUAAUUUGGUUGGAAGUUGAACAUUCUACAUGCUCAUGCUUAUAAAGAUGUAUAAAAAGAUAUAUGAAAUUCGUAUACAACAUUGAAAAAUUGUCCUAACACAUCGACAAUCAAACGGGUAAAGUAAAGAAGGGGUGCAAAUCAUUAGUACAAGAAUACUUUAAUUUCUCUUCCUCUUGUUUGUCUUGCACAACCUUUCCAUGAAAUCGACACCCUCACCUAAGGUUGCCUUCUUUCCUUCUUUGAAAUUCCACAACUCGGGAACGGGAUAUCUUCCACUUGAAUUGUACUCGUUUAAUUCUGUUAGUGCCUUCACCACCGAGUUAUACACUUCAUCACCCCACUCACUCUUUAUGAUCACCAGGCUUUCAUCUUCGUCAUUGAUAACUCUCUAACAUGUCACAUGAAAUCAAAACAUACAAUAAGGAAAUAGAGAGAGAGAGAGAGAGAGAGAGAGAGAGAGAGAGAGAGAGAGAGAGAGAGAGAGAGAGAGAGAGAGAGAGAGAGAGAGAGAGAGAGAGAGAGAGAGAGAGAGAGAGAGAGAGAGAGAGAGAGAGAGAGAGAGAGAGAGAGAGAGAGAGAGAGAGAUCGUGAGCAAGGAAACGAGAAUAUAUAGAGUGGUCUAGAAACUGUCCGGUUACAAACUACUACAAUGUCAGGGAGAAUACAAGUCAUUAAUCACAGUGAUGCAUGAGUGACUGUAAAAAGAUAUGGUCUGCGUAAAAGGGAGAAGCUAUGACUUUCGAGUUGACAAGUAAAUUUAUCUACAGAAUGCUUACCUUGCUAUCUUCACCAAAUGUUAUGACCUUAAAGGGGUACCAGUUUGGAUCCCGAAGUUUCUCCUCUAGCAGGGAUGAAAAUUCCAUUGCUUUCAAUUCAACUUCGGCAGGAGGAUACUUUUUCUUUGCAGCAGCAAAUAUGGGUUUGAGGUUAAGGUCUCCCAUCAGCUUGACACCAGUAUAGGCCCUCAUGUUAGUCCGCCUAUCCUUCAAAACCUAUUGAAACAAUAAAAUGAUCACCUUUGGUGGACACUAUCAAAACAAUACAUAUUUUUCAGUUCCUAUUUUCCCGAACUAGAAAUUGCAGACAUUUGCUUAUAUAUAAUUGUUAUCAACAAAAGAUAAUUGCUAUCGAGUGUGCAUGGUUUGUAGUAUAGGGAGAGUCAGGUUAUCAUGAAUGACUUGGCUAAAGUAUGCAGGCUGAACUUUUACGGCCUUGAAUGGCUCAUAAUUUACGCAAAUAGAUAUUCAUAACAAAAGAGAUUAAAUAUUUCAGUUCAUUUUCCUAUGUGUGGACAAUGAAAUUAUUACUCGAGCAAGACAUGUAAAGAAAACUCAGAUUCAUUGACAGUGAAGUCCAUAUUAAAAUGUAAGACAACCAAACAACUCACAUUUAUUAGCUUUUUUCGAGCAUCUUCUAACUGGUCAUUGUUGUUCCUCUCCUUUACAAGUAGAGCUUGAUAUGAAUCUUGAAGGCUUUCAAAAUCUUCAUCCUUCUCCUUCAGUUUUUCUUCCGUCUCCUUCAGUUUUUCUUCCAAGGACUCCAUCUUUUUCUUCAUUUCCUCCACAUCCUCACCAUGAUUAUUUGGUCUCAAUACACUAUCAACAGCAGCACCCCCACCAUUAGCAGCCACAACACCUGCAUCACCAGCACUAACAACACCACCAAGCACACCAUCACCCUGCGGUCCUCUUUCCAAGUUGUGCUCCAUUUUAAUCUGUGCAUGCCAUAACAUUAAGCUGGUACCUCAGUUAUCCAGGUAAAAUUAUUGGGGUGUGUAUGAAAUUUCAAAUCAAUUAAUAUUUACUUUAUAUGAAAUUAAACUAAUUUGUAUAAAUAAAUGAACUUAAAAUACAAAUAAUAACAAGAAAUAUACUAAUUGUAAACUCCUUUUGAAUAUCUUGUAAAAAAAACAACACAGCAUAUUGUUUAUAAAUUUGGGCCCUUAUUGGCCCGGGAUCUCAGCCCCCUCUGAUAGUGCAGUGAUAAUUGUAUAUAUAGUUAAGCAUCCACGUCCCAAAUACAGAUGUACAUUUGAUUAUGCAAAUACUAUUAUAUAUUUAUAUUUACCGCAAGAACUAUAUCAGUUUAUAGCAAGACAAAUAAACAAAAGAAAAAUCACAAAUUAGUAAGAUGAAAUAUAACAAGAAAGCUACUGAAGGAGUGAAUUUAUGUUGAGCAAAAUAGCUUCAUCUCGACAUCAAAGCGCAUAUAUUUUUAAGUUUUAUUCAAACAAAUGAAGAGAAGUAUCAUUAUUUCAUAUAACAUAUAAUACAUAAAUUUUUAAAUUUUAUCCACAUAAAUGAAGAGAAAUAUUAAAAUUUCUUACAACAUAUAUGAUACAUACAAAAACUCACAUAUAUACGUCGGAAAUAGCCGCUCUUGUAGUAGUGUAUGUUUCACUUCACCCUUAAGAAGUAUUCAAAUAUCCAAAAUGAUAUAACUUACAAAAUGGAAGGGGGAGAGAGAGAGAGAGCAAAAUUCAAGCUUGCAAUCUGAAAAUGGAGGUGUCAAAACCAAAUGAUAACAAUGAUUUACAUGCUCCAAUAUAAAGGCGUGUAGAAAGAAUAAAAUAUACUAUAGAAUCUUAAAUUUAGGUGUAAUAUCUUUACUUUUAUUAAUUAUUAUAAGAUAUGUAUUGUAUUGAUCUUUGUUGUGACCUUUUGCAAACAUAUAUUCUUAAAUUUUGCAUAUGUGAUUACAUUUAUGUCUUUUAUAUGUUUUUAAAUUUAUAAAAUUAAUAUUUAUCUCAUUUCAAAUUUCCAGAAUUUUAAAUAAAAUUUUUACAAAAAAUAAAUAUUUAUUAAUACUGAAAUCUUAGUGGCUAAUUAUAUGCAUUUUUUCAUACUAUUAAAGUAUAUAAGAUAAUAGUACCAUAUAUUAAUUCUUUAUAAAAUAGUAAAAAUAAUACUUUUUCCGCGCCACUAAAUUAUUAAUUAUUGUGGUAUUGAAAAGUGGAUGAAAUGAAAGGAACAGGUAAAUUUGUAUUAUAAUGUUUACAAUUUUUUUUUCAAAAUUUGAAAUGUAAGAAAUUGAGAAAUUAAGAAUUACAAAUUAAAAAUAUAGUUGGAACAAAGGAAAUAGUAACACAUAUAAAAACAAGUCUACAUAUAUAAAAUUAUAUACUCUACUGUCAUAUAUUUUUAUGUUAUGUUGUGUAAAUAAUAUUAGUCAAGCAUUGGUUGUUGGUAUAUUUGAUACAAGAAGGUAUGUUUUAGUUUUUAUCUCAUUAACUCGUGUUGAAAUACAUGCAAAUAUUGAUACUUUUACAGGGGUGUAUUGAAUUGGGAUUUUGAAGGAUUUUUUUGCAUUCAUGAAAUUCGAGAGUAUUCAAUUGGGAUUUUUUAAAAUCCAUUAAUAUCUAGAGGUAUUCAAUUGAGAUUUUAAAUAAUACUACAAAAUCUGGUGGUAUUCAAUUAGGAUUUUAAAUUAUGCUUUAAAUCCGAUAUUCAAUUGGGAUUGUUUAAAAUCCAAUAAAAUCUGAUGAUAUUCAAAUGCUAAUAGAUUUUUUUUGGAUUUCAUAAAAUGAUGGAUUUUGUGGCAUUUCUCAAUGUAUUUUAAGUUUUUUGGAAUCCCAUCAAAAUCCAUGCGAUUUUGAAGCAUUGAUGUUCUUAAAUCCUAAAGAAUCCAUAUCAACUUUACGACAUUUUAUCAGAAUUUGCACAAAAUCAAAAUCACAUACAAUCCAUUUAAAAUCCAUAGAUAAAAAACAAUCCAUUAAAAUCCCAAUCGAAUACACCCCUCUUAAUUUAUAUAUUAAUAUGUUAUUGUAGUCCGGUUUUAAACAAGUAUAAUUAAAAGUCGAAUUAAAAUCAUCAAUCUUUUCAUUCAAGCCAAUAAUAAUAUAAAAUUAUGAUAUAAUGUCUCAAAAGUUAAUAGUUUUUAGUAUCUAAAUUUAAUAUAAUAAAAUUCAUAAAAAACAUAAAUAUACCCCUUGACUUAUUUACGAGUAAAUUUGGUUGGAGGUACGAACAUUCUACAUGAUUUAAUAUAUUGAAAUUCAAAACAUGUAUGAAAAAUCUUUGAAGUGAUUUUACUAGUAAAUAUUGAAAAGGGGAAUAACGGAUUAAGUUUUAUCUUAAAAACUUUCUUUUUCUAGUGCAAAAGAUUUAGGAAGAAUAUUUGAAUUAAGUUAAAAGUAAUAUCUACAAAAGGGGAAUAAAGAAUUAAGAUUUAUUAAAAAGAUUUCUAUUUUCUAGAAGAGUUACGUGUGUAAUUGUGAAUAAAUGUCAAUUUGUUGGGCCUCAAUAAGGUGGAUCAUAAAAUGGGCAUAUGACCUCAUCAGUGUUGUGAAUAAAUGUCAAUUUGAUGGGUCUCAAUAAGGCGGAUCAUAAAAUGGCCCUAUGACCUAAUUAGUGUUUUGGAUCCUCAAAUUUUGCUGGACUAUUUUAAAGUAUCUGAUCAUAACAAUGGAGCUAUUUUAUCUCUUGAGUUUAUUAUAAAAAAAUAGAUCAUAUAUAUUUUCAUUCAUAUCAUACUUUUGGUAUUUUAUCUUUUGGAUAAAAGAUUGGUGAUCACCAAAUUAAUUAGCGAAAAAAAAAUUGAUUCUCCGUUGUAUCAAAGCACAUGUAUGAUUAAUGUUGUGUUGAUACCUUAUGUAUCACUUAUUAACUAACAAGUAUUGAUUUUUCAUGAAAUAACAUAUUUAAUAAUAUUAAACAUAUUAUAUUUUAUAUAGAGAAUAAUAUUAACUUGUGAACAAAUGAUUAUAAGAUUGUUUGAUUAUAAAUAAUUUAUUUUGUAAACAUUUUAAAAUUUUGUAAACCCAAAUGGAGGACAAUACUAAUAUCCUUUUGAUGCCCAUCAUUCAUAGAACAAAGAGAUUUAGGAUUUAUCAUAUUAGUCCAUGUUAAAAUUAAAUGAGUCAUGUUCUAAUGUGAUCGGGCAUUGAAGAUAUCCUUGUAGGUAUGAACCAAAUGGAUUAACAUACCGAUAUUUUUUUCUCCCAAAUGGGAAGAAUUCUUCAAAAUACUGAAAUCCAAUCGGAACAAAUUAAACUCCGAAUUGUCAACUACAAUCUGAUUAUGAAACAAAAAAAAAUAAACUAAACAAGUAGUCAUUUUGUUUUCAAAUCGUUAGAGCUGUAAUUCGAGUUGGGCGGCUCGCGAGCUCACCCGGCUCGAACUCGUUUAACUAGGCUUGACUCGGCUCGUUUAGUUAAACGAGCCGAGCUCGGGCAAAGGCUCCGGCUCGUUUAAUUAAACGAGCUGGCUCGACUCGACUCGUGAAAUUAAACAAGCCGAGUUCGGGUAGAAAUUUAGCCUCGAUUAAGUGUAAAAUUAAACGAGCCGCUCGCCCGACUCGCUAAAGCCGGCUCGUUUAGCUAAAUGAGCCGGCUCGACUAGACUCGUGAAAUUAAACGAGUCGAGUUCGGGCAAGGAUUUAGGCUCGAUUAGUUAAACUAGCCGGCUCGGCUCGGCUCGAUUAACUUCAGCUCGAACUACGCUCGGCUCGAAACUCGGCUCGCUCGGCCCGAAUUACACCCCUACAAAACGUUUAACACAUAGAAUAUUAAAAUUCUUUAAUCUAAAAAUAUUACAAUGAUAUCUCGAACAAUCCAAUCUACUUCAGUUGUGAACAUUGACCUUCACAUAAGCACAAUUUGUAGCCCAAUGUUCAUAAAUAUCAGUUAAUCAACUCAUAUUGGAGCAACAAUUGCCCCCAAGAUAUGAACAAUUUUUUGUUGUGAAAUGUGAGCCCUUGCGAGAAUCACUACCGUUCCAUAUUUGAUUCAAGCUUUACGAAUUAGCCAAAUUAUCAUGUAGGUCCUUAUUAGAAAUAUUACCGAAAUCCAUAACAAGACUCACAAAAAUAUCAUAACAUAAAACAACAUCCAAAAAAAGGGCAUAGACCAACAACCUUUGAUAACAAGCACGAACUUAAUAAGAACUCACCCAAAAAGAAUCAGAUUUUUGAUUUAUUAAAACAUUGCUAAAUAUGAGAGAUNNNNNNNNNNNNNNNNNNNNNNNNNNUCAGGUGAAUUAUAUUGCCNNNNNNNNNNNNNNNNNNNNNNNNNNNNNNNNNNNNNNNNNNNNNNNNNNNNNNNNNNNNNNNNNNNNNNNNNNNNNNNNNNNNNNNNNNNNNNNNNNNNNNNNNNNNNNNNNNNNNNNNNNNNNNNNNNNNNNNNNNNNNNNNNNNNNNNNNAAGAGGAUCUUGGGGAUCUCAAAAGACUCGGUGAAAAUUCACCAAUUCCUGAUAUCUCUUCAUCUCCAUCUGCUAUACUAUGGAAAUCUGCAUCGUUCUUGACAUUGUCAAACAACUUGUUUAUAGUACUUAAAAUAGAGAAUGUUAAAAGUACACAUUGAUAAGCCAAGUUAUCAUGUCCUCCAUUAUGCAUAACAUUGUUGGUGCAGAAGGAAGAAAAUUGUCACUUAAAAAAAGUAUUUUAAGUGGUCUUACUAAAUACAAGAUCUAUAUUUCGCAUGAUCAAACGGUGAAAGAUCUUAGCUAGAUAGGUCAUUAAUAUUGCCACAUAAAAGGCUCAUGAUUACAAUUUGAAGCUGAUAUAAAAUAUGUUAACAUACACAAGGGUAUUUAAUAAUAUCGAUCAAAAACCUUUACAAAGUAAUAAUACUAAAUACUGUAAAAUCAGAAUACAGUUAAUAAUCAAAACUCCCAAUGGUCUGAUCGUCUUGGAGAUACUGGCCACAGAAAAUCAAACGUUAUUUAUUCACUAGAACAUUCUGAUACAGAGUUAACACACGUUUGAUUUGACGUACCUUAAAUUCCCGUCUCACUCUUAUAGCAAACCUUGUGCUAGAAUAAAAAUAUUGUAUAUAAUUUCUUUUUGAGAACUGCCUCAGUUUAUUAUAAUCCUCCUAUAAAUAUGCCAUAGUUGUAAGUUUUUUGUUUAUCAAAUUCAUCAUUUCUGUCCCAUACACAGAAAUUAGAGAAUACAUAAAGAUUGUAAAAAAUGUGAUGGGCUAAAGCGAAAUCGAAAUUCACAGGAAAAAUCCUCCAGUUUAAGAAACAAUCCUGGUCGGAGUUAAGUCUCGUUAUCAAAGAGCUUCCCACGAUAGAUGUUGCCAUGACAGGUGUUGCCAUCAAAUGCCAACAACAAAGUAAAAUUGUACAAAUGAUAAGACACAAUUUGGAUUUAUGGAUUUUUCUUCAGAAUUAUCAGACUUCACCUGAUGAUUUAGACUUCCAUGCAAAACUAAUCCAUAGAGAUCACAUACCACCUUCACAAAAAAGGCUCUGAAGCAGUCAAAGGUCCUGAAGAAGCAAAAGUGCCGCUGCAUGAACAUCACCAGAUGUCUCGACCAGUGCUUGUAUGUUGUCAUGAGUGUCACGGAAACCCAACCACCGCAGCUGAGAGAGUUGGUCUUCAUAAAGCUCUUCUAGGGGCUCUGCGAUACAUUACAGGAUAACUAGAAAUUAUCAUCCAAGCAAAGUAAAUGACGUCCAAUAUACAGGUUGCAUAGCAAAAACACCACACACCUAAGCACCACAGUCCUUUCUGCAUAAUAAGGGAGAAGGAAGAAUUUGCACUCAAGGUUUAUAGUGAUAGUGCUUAAAAUAGAGAAUGUUAAAGCACAUUGAUAAGCCAAGUUAUGACGUCCUCCAUAUUAUAUAAUGCAUAACAUUGUUGGUGCAAAAGCAAGAAAAUUGUCACUUAAAAAGUAUUUCAAGUGGUCUUACUAAAUACAAGAUCUAUAUUUCACAUGAUCAAAUGGUGAAAGAUCUCUAGUUGGAUAGGUCAAAGCAGUGAAAGUUAAUGCCAAAUAAAAGGCUCAUGAUUACAAUUUGAAGCUGAUAUGAAAUUUCACACUUAAACAGGUUAGCACUCAGCUUCACUGCGGUAGUAUUUUACAAAAACUUGUCUCUCAGCGACUUCAGUGUCAGAAUUAGCUAGGUGCAAGUUAAAACUCUCUUAUAUAUCAAGACCUGAACAAAUAAGGACCAUGGCUUCGGAGCCUGCAAAAGAGUCUAUUUGAAUUGUUGAUUAAUCGCCAGAGAUGGUUUAGAACCACUAGUAUCAUUAUCUAAUGGAUCUUUCCGUUCUAAUACUCUAAUAUCCGAGAGUUAUCAGGUUUUAUCAAAUCUAUUCCUAUCUACGGAACUCUAUUGGAUCAAAUGACAAACACAUUAUUUUAAUUAUAUUACAUUCCAUAUGACGUAGGAUUCAUGAGAAAAUUAUAAACUGAUUACAAAGAUGUGUUCUAAAUAUUAUGUAAUCAUUGACGAGCAUGAGAAAAAGCUCAUAUCUUAAUUGAGAUUACUCUGGUGUAUUUAUAUAUAUUGGAAGCUUAUCAAGAAAAAAUGUUUUUGUGAGCCAACAUUCACCGACCAUAAUAGAGGAGGAACAUACCAUUCUCUUCUAUUCUCUUCUGUAAUUAAUGUUUAGCUUUAGAAAAAAUAUCCUUCUAAUACUAUAAUCUGCUAAAGUAUGCUCACGUAAAUUUUUUCACCCGACUCUCUCUCUCUCUCUCUCUAUAUAUAUAUAUAUAUACAAACUAGAAAUAUAUGGUAAAUAGUAAUCAAACUGACAUGUUUCCCACAAUAGCGAAAAAAAAUUGUGCAAGAAUUUAAGAUACAGGAGGAUUGCCAAUCAACUUACUUGGGCAGGCCACCAUAUCUACGCUGCCCUUUUGGCCAAACAACCUCUUGUGCCCUAUUUGCACAAGCAACAACACUCCCUAGACCUAUGUGCUCAUCAACACAACUAAAUUGGAAAAGAGAAAAAAUUCCAUAAUUAGUUACAAAUCAAAAUGGAAAGUUGUACUCGUAUCGAGUGUGCAUGGUUUGUAGUAUAGGUAGAGUCAUGCAAGUAGAUAUUUAUAACAAAAAAGAUUAUAUAUUUCAGUUCAUUUUCCUAUGUGUGGAAAAUGAAAUUAUUACUCGAGCAAGACAUGAAAAAUAACUCAGAUUCAUUGACAUGAAGUCCAUAUUAAAAUGUAAGACAACCAAACAACUCACAUUUAUUAGCUUUUCUCGAGAAUCUUGUAACUGGUAAUUGUUGUUCCUCUCCUUGACAAGUAGAGCUUGAUAUGAAUAUUGAAGACUUUCAAAAUCUUCAUCCUUCUCCUUCAGUUUUUCUUCCCUCUCCUACAAUUUUUCUUCCCUCUCCUUGAGUUUUUCUUCCAAGGACUCCAUCUUUUUCUUCAUUUCCAUAAUAUCCUCACCAUUAUUAUUUGGUCUCAUUACACCAAUAUAACCAGCAGCACCCCCAGCAUUAGCAGCCACAACACCUGCAUCACCAGCACCACGAAGCUGCACACCAUCACCCUGCGGUCCUCUUUCCAAGUUGUGCUCCAUUUUAAUCUGUGCAUGCCAUAACAUUAAGCUGGUACUUCACUAAUCCAGGUAAAAUUUAUAGUUAUAUAAUUGUAUAGUUAUGUUAACCAGUAUGAGAUAAAACUGAACAAACAAGGCAAGUAUUUUGUGUCAAAAGACAACUGCUUCAUACCAGUACUGAAUACAAAGAUUAAUAGUAAAACCUACUGCUGAAAACUGCUAGCUAGAAAACAGGAAACAAUAACUCCUACUCAAGCACGAUGCAAACAAAUAACUACUACGAAAAAAAAACUAACUCUACCACCCACUAAACUUAUUUAAUCAGCUCCUAUAAAAUCUCUACGGCUAACAUGUUUGAAAUUAUUACCAACAGUCUCCCUCCAUAAUUUCAAACAUAUAUCAGCCCAGAACUUUGAUACCCAGCAAGUUCCUCAUUCUCUCAAACUUCACAGCAAACAAAGCUUUAGUUAACAGAUCCACCUUCUGAUUCUCACUGCUAAUAUGCUUGACAACGACUUCCCCACGUUCAAUACACUCCCGAAUGAAAUGGUACCUAAAUCAAUAUGUUUGCUCCUCCCGUGAAAAACAGAAUUUUUCGCCAAGUCUAUAGCAGAUAUAGAUUAGAACAGGAGGCACUUGUUCACCAGUCAAUUCCUUCAGCACAUUCCUUAGCCAUAUUGCUUGACACGCAGCAGCUGUGGCCGCCAUAAACUCCGCUUCACAGGAUGAUAACGCAACACACCGCUGUUUGUGGGAGACCCAAGUGACUAGACAUUCGUUUAGAUAAAACACCAUUCCCCCAGUGGAUUUUCUGUCUUCAAUAUGUCCUGCAAGAUCACUAUCAGAGUAACCUGUCAAAACGUUAUUGCCAGCAUCCUUUGUAUAGAUUAAACCAUACUCCAACGUGCCCUUUAUAUACCGUAAAAUUCUCUUAGCUGCAUUCAAGUGUAUAGUGGUUGGUCUUUCCAUGUAUCGACUCACAAUGCCUACUGAAAAAGCUAUAUCUGGUCUGGUAUGUACCAGGUACCUCAGUCCUCCCACUAUACUCUUAAACUCUGUUGCAUCUACAGCUCUUCCAC